rnacentral:lncRNA from 1 species
UUUUUUUUUUUUUUUUUUAAGUUUGAGGGUAUUUAUGAAAAGUUUCAAUAGUUUAGGGGUAUUUUUUAAACAAAAUUUUAGACGGUAAAAAUAUUUUUUAAAGUUUAAGGGCAUUUUUAAAAAAUUUAAAAAUUUAUGAGUAUUUUUUGCACAAACUAGAAUGUUCACGAGCAAUUUUUGUAAUUUAAUCUUAAACCAAUGUCUAACAAAAGACAAAAUCAAUAGGUACAUUCUAUUUUCGAUUUUGGGUGGCCCAAUUAAGUUGUUUUCUUUCCCUUUUCUCCCUUUUUUCCCCUUCUUUUAAUCCACAAGUACUUAGGAUAGAAUUUGAAAGCGAAAACUAAUAAGGGAAUUGAUUAAUGAGGUUGAUGAAACAUCUAGUGGUUACUAUUACGUGGUUCGACCUUAUGCAAACUCAUUGCAUAGGAUACCUUCACUCGCAUGUCACCUAUAUGAAUGUGUUGGAUCAUUGCGUUUGAAUCAAAUAUAAAAUGUGUUGUAUCUAUAGUGUGCUACCAGGAUAAGGUACCCACCCUUAUCCCUAUGCUAUAGACUCUUUAAACUGAUCUCAAACAUUGAUCACUGUAUGUCUCUACAUAUUGUUCAAGACUCAUCAAACAACUUAGGAUGUUAGUUUAUUGAAUUUAGGUUAUUAAGACAAAACUAAUAAUAUACACUACAAGAAAAUAUGUAUUUCUUGAUGCACAACACGAAUGUUGAGAGAAAAAGCUUCUUCUGACUCUGUAGAUGUUUCAUCGGAAAAGAUUUACAAUCCCGAUGCAACAUAAGACGACAUCAAUAUAAAGUAAUUAAUUAAUAAAAAAAAAAUCAAACUUUUCUCGACGCUGUUAUGCAUGGUGUUGGGAAAAGUUUGAUUUUUUUUUUUAAAGAAUAAACUUCUCUCGUUGCCAUUAUAUAUGACGUCGGGAAAAGUUUGAUUUUUUUUUUUUAAUUUGAAACUUCUCCCGACGUCGUUAUGCAUGGCGUCAGAAGUUCCCCUUUAAAAAUUUGAAGACCGUAAAAAAUCUCUCAGUCUUCUUACUUUUCUUCUCCUUUUUCCUCGAAUGUCUCUUUCCCUUAAGAUUUACUGCCACUUGUUGUCCACCGUCCUUUACUUGUUGUUGUCGUCGACGCUUGUGAGCCGUCGUCUGCCCCUCAUUGGUAAGUGUUUUUUUUUCUUUUUUUUUUUUUUUUUUGAGUUUGAAAAAUAAUAUUAAAUAGGUAUGUUUUUUUUUAUUGUCAAGACCUUCCUUUUGUGUGUUUUUCUCCUUGUUGUCACCAUCCGCCGUUGCCCUUCCACCAUUGCUGUCAACCGCCCCUUGCCAGUAAGUUUUUGUUCUUACUUUUUUUUUUUUGUUUGAGGUUGAGAAAAAAAUAUUAAAUAUGUGUGUUACUUUUCUAGGUUUCUUCUAAUUUUGCUAAUUUCCCAUUCGUUUUCUUCUAAUUUUCUAUUCAUUUUUCUUUCGUUUUCCAUUCCAGGUUUCUCUAGUUUGCAAUAUAUUCUUUUUUAAAUAGAGAAUUUUUCAAUGCACAAAAUGUAGCAUCGGGAGAUCCUCUCUCGACAUAUUUUUCUCAACUUUGAUCUUGAUGCGAAUUUAUGCGUCGAAAAAUCCUUGCUGAAUGCUUUUUCAUAUAUCUCCCGAUGUUUUUGUGUGUCGAGAGAUCUCCAUUUUCUUGUAGUGAUAAUUAAUAACAUUUAUUAUAAUAAUAACACUUUAUUAUUAACGGUCAAUGAAUUAUAUUUAUAAUCUACGAGUUUUAGGACAUAAAUCCCAAUAUUAAUAUUUGGUACAUAUAUCGUUUAGAUUUGACCGUUAAUUGGUACACGAUUGUUUAUAUUUGAUAGUUUAGAUUCGGAGCCAAAUCUAAACCAUUUUUUUCAAUAUGCUUUCAUAUACAGAUCGUUUAGAUUUGGAUAUUGAUACACGAUUGUUUAGAUUUGGUACAUUAUCGUUUUUAUUUGGUACUACUUUCAUUUAGAUUUAACUAUCCAAAUAAAAACGAUUUUUAAAGAUUAUUUGGUACAGGAUCGUUUAGAUUUUUCUAUUUUUGGUACAAAAAUCUAAACGAUGUAACAAUAUCCCAAUGAUUUUUUUUAGCAUCUUUUAUAUUUGAUACACGAUCUUGAACAACCAAUUAACAAUUUGAAAAGAAAGUAAAAGAAAAAUUAAUAUUUAUAUUUGGUAUGCGUCCUUGAACCAAUUAUCAAUUUUGAAAAGAAGAAUAAGAAAAUUAUAGAAGAGGAGGAAAAUACGAUAGACUCAAUUCCAAAGAAGUUUUAGGUUAAGCGAUCUUAUCCACAACUAAAAUGAAAAGCAUAUAUUCCAAAGUGACAAUUUGAACAUAACUUUUCUUUUUCCUUUUUGAUUAAAUAAUGAAAGUGGAUACAUAACAUCUUUUUCCAUAUUAAUUAAUUUAUAGCUAAUAAUAAUUUAUUAAUUUGGAUCACUCAUGGAAUUUCCAAGCAGAGAAGAAAUCAUAUAAAUAUAAACAAAUUAAACAAAAAGUGGUGAUUAAUUUUAUCAUAUUUUCAAAUCUUACUUUUUUGAUAACUUCUCUAAUUUUUAUCUUAAAAGGAAAAUAAAAUAAGAAAUUAAAUCUACUAAUUUAUUUAAACAAAAAGUAGACAUAAAACAAAGUUAAUAUAUAGUAGAGAUCAAACUUAAUAAAUUAUUAUGCACCACAAAAUGAACUAUAUGUUUCAUUUGACCCAACUUUUGUUUCAAUAUUAUCGUUAUUCGUUAAAAUACGUGUAGUUAAUAUUUUUUAACACUUAUUUUCAAUCCAAACUUAAUAAGACAAACAACUAUAAUCGAUGAAAGUUGAUGAGAAAAAUUAAUUUAUUCUCUCAUACAUACCAAAGUGUUAGAAUUUCCUAGUCUUUUGAAGAUAAUCAAGUAUAUUCAAAAUAAUUGUUUGAAAAGUUAUAAAUGUUAUAGAAGCAAUAUUCUUUUACCAUGCAAUAUUGUCACUUUCAAGUACACAUAAAUAGAAUACAACUUAUCUCUUGUUGGUAUUUAAUUUGCAUGCAUAACUUUUUGAUCAAUUCAUCAAAAUCUCAAAUAUUUGAAGUAGUACAUAUUCUUCAAUAAUUAGAUUAAUUUUGGAUAACUACAUGCAUGAUAAAACUAUUAUUCUACUUGAUAAGAGCAUGAAAUCAAAUGAAUAGAAAGAUAUGCAAUUUCUUUAGAUAUUGUCAGUUUCUUUGUCACUAGAUUUUCCAUUUCUAUUGGUCAUAUGAGUUCUUGGUUGGUUUAGCCAAUUUUGUUAAAUGUUUAAAAGUCACAUUGAAACUCCUCAACCCUCCAAGAAAGCACUAAAUCCAAGAAGGAUAUGAUUGAUAUGACGUAAUUUGAUACAAAUUCCAUGUAUGUAGGAUUCUCUCUCUCCAAUAAGAAUAUCAAGCCUCUCUUUUUCUUAGUCCUUAUAUCAAUUCCAGUAUCUUUGUGGGGUAUAUGAAAGAAGCUGCAUAUUUUCCCAUUCAAAUUGUAAAGUACUAGUCCUAAAUCUUUUUAAGGUUUUCUUACUAGUAGAAGAUUAAGAAGGCUUGGCCAGUAAUUAGAAAGAAAAGAAAAGAAGGGUCUCAAUAAAUGACUAAAUAGAUCAUGGAUGGCUGCUACUUAAAGAUUAAAAUUCUAUAAGUUUUCUAGGAUUGGAUGGAUUGUAUGAUUAGUUUAGUUGAACUGUAAACAAACUGUGACCCAAUCACUCACCAAUAUUUAUAUACAUAUACAUAUAUAUGUAAAAUCAAUAGAAUAUUUAGGAGAAAAGAAAGUUUGGUUGAAUAAAUCCACUCAUUUUUCAUGCCUAUGAAACUCUAAAUAUUUAAUUGAAGUUCAGAUAAAGAGUGGAAUCUCUCUUAAAGGAGCAAAUUAUGUGGCUGAAAGUGAUGUAUAAAGUGUAAUAUAUAUAUAUAGAUAGAUAAUACACAAAUUGGUUGAAAGUGAUGUCUAUUAAAGUGAUGAGUGUAAACUCUAAUGCUUUUCUGAAGGAAAAAAACUUCUGUUACUCAGCUUUGACUUGAAAAAAAAAGAAAAAACUACUUUCGGUUCAUUCUCUCCAACUUCAUGAAAGUGGGGAAAGAGAUAACUGAAAACUUUUCUUCAAUUUGCUAAUCAUUGUUUGAUGGAAACUUACAUUUUUUUUUGUUACUCAAGUCUGGAUUUGACAGCGUUUUAGUUUUGAGGUAAAGCUGUGUUUGAAUUCAUUUUCUGAAAAUUAAGCUUAUCCAUGUCAAAUUGUUAUUCACUUCCAACUAGUGUUUGCAAACAAAACCAUAUAUCUAGAAAAAAUAGUUUCUAACCAGGGAAGUUAUUAUAAAUGUUAAAAUUCCAUCAAAUAUUUAGCAAAAUUUUAGAUUCUAUCAACCAUAAACAUAUCAUAACCACUUAUACAAGUCUAUUCGUGUUUAUUAUUGAUAUAAUCUAAAAAUUUUGUUAUAAUUUAUAAAUAUUUUGAUUUAUUUUAUUAUCUUUAAAAUUGUAUCUUUCGAAGUGUUUAGGGUUAGGACCUGCACACACAAGAGAGUACCUGAGCCCAAUAAAUCCACUUUGCCUCAUUGAUAAUGAGAAAAUCGUUAAAAUAGCAAAUUCUGAUAUAGAAAACUGAAAAAUAACAAAAAUAAGAAAUAAUAAGAUUUUUUGCAAAUUAAUUGUGUCUACUUUUUCUUUUUCUUUUUUUCAUUAUUUCGAGAAACCUUUAAUGAGUUUCAAAUUUGCCCUCAUCAUCAUUUAAUGGUUGAUUUUUCCACAUGAUUUGAUUUAAAUUUGAAAUUUAUGUAAAUCUUUUCAAGUAUUUCUUUGGCGGAUUUCAUAUUUUUUAUUCCCUAUUUUCCAUCUCUCCCUUAUUUAUUUAUAUACAAAUGAUUUACAUAUUUGAUUUUCUAAAUCUUUAAAACAUUCAUCUAAUUAUUCAAUACUCUUUUGGGUGAUAUUUUUUAUUUUCACCUCUCAACAAAGGAACAAGACGAAGAAUCUCUAUGUGUUACCAUAUUUGGUAAACAUCACCUAAUAUCAAAAUCCCAAUAUCCCUCGUAAGGAAAAGAAAAGAAAUGUCAAGGAAAACCAGAGAUUGUGAGAUCUUGUGAGUAGCAAAACCGAACUUGCACUGAAGGGCAUUGAGAAGGAUAAUGGAGUAUGAUGGAAGCAAAGAAUUGUAAAUUUCUACUCAGAUUCUGUCGCAAAAGUUAUGAAGUUGCUGGCCGUCGAAUGUCUUCUUCUUCACGGUCGAAAGCUCUCAAAUUGCUCAAUAUCCACGUUGUCUUCUGUGAGUAUAAUGGAGGUAAGAUAGAACGGUUUUUGUAUAGGGAAAGUAAUUUCCACUCCUUUCCAAAACCAUAAAUCCCACGAUUUAUUCCAUUUAUUUAUUUUUUUAUAUAAAUUAUCAAUUCAAUAAUAUAAAAUGGGCAAAGAUGUAAUUUGGGCUUUAAAUUUGUGUAAGAUAGUGGCUCAUUAGUAAUUUUGAGAAAAUUAUUAACAAUUUAGGUAUGUAAUAUCAUAUAGCAAAUUUGGCUAUAUGAGUUAAAAAUCAUUUCUUAAAUAUAGAUAGGGUACAUACACAAACUACAAAUAUAAAUAUACUUUUUAAAACAAUAAAAAGUAAAAAUAUAAAGAAAUGUUGCAAUUCAACAAAUAUGAAAACCACGUAUUCCAAAAAUUCAAAAAAUGGCUAGUGUAUUUACGAAAUCUAAAAAUAUAACAAUGUUUCAAUUUUGCCCUAUUUAAUGGAUUGUAUUAAUUAUAGACAAGGAUGAUCAUGUAGAAAAUAAACAUAUAAAUAUACAUUUUAAAAUAAUAAAAAAUAAAAAAUAUUAAUCAACUUAUUCUACGUAUCAUAUCAAAAAUAUUAAUGAACGUAUUAAUGCCUCUCGGUUAACUUGUCGUGCAUAUUGGAGAAUUCGGAUGAAUUGGUUCUUUGGAUUGAAUUUUUCCCCCACAUGUUUUAAGUUUCUCUAAUCACUCAUAACUUUCAAAUUACAUAAAAAAAAGAAUUGUCUUUGUACCUAAAUGUGAGAUUCAUUCGGUAUGCUUAGAUUCAAACUCCUCUGAAAAUCAAUACACGAUUUUCAACAGAACCAUCAUUUCACCUUAGUAUGAUCUUUGUGCCACACACAAAGAGGAUACGAAACACACCUCAAGUGUAGGAGCUUGCAAAUGCCUAGUUCAUUUUCUUAUGACAAAUUAUUUUAUUGGUCCUAAAAACGGCAAUAUUACAAAUAUAUAUAAGAAAAAAAGUUUACAAGACAGAAAUCGUCAUAUUGACCCAAAAAGGAAGUUGUUACUUGAAAUCAACCCCAAAUCUCGAUAACUUAAGUUUUAUUUGCAUAAUAAAAUUUGUAACAAAUCAUAUUAAAAUAACAAAACCUUUCCCAAGAAACAUAGCAACAAGUAUGAAUUGAAAUAAUAUAUUUUUGGUACUAAUUUGACAUCCAUUUGAAAAGUGAAGAAGGUGAAAAGCAUGCAUUGUUUUCUUCAUUUUAUAAUAUCUGUAUUGAACCAUGUAUGCCUCUAAUAUGAAUAUCUUUAUGGAAUUGUUGGUGUGUUGUUUUUAUUAGAAUAGGAUAAACCCUUCGAAACAAAUUCAAGUCGGCAAACCAAUUCCAAAACCAUCUCUCAUCUCUCGUCUCUCACCUCUCCUGCCCUUAUACUUUAUUCCUUUUUCAUGUGUUAAUUCCACGUGAAUUCAGUCCUUAUCUUUUCACCCAAAGAUACAAAUAAUUUAAAUAAUUUAGGUGUGAAACCACUUCAAGAAUAUUGGUCGGUUAUACCCUGUUGAGGCCAAUUUCCAAAAUUUUGAGUUCCAAUACUUCAAAUAUAAACCUUCCAAUUCCAAAUCCCUUUCCACUAUUUUAAUGGCGGCUACAAGCACGUUUCAAAAAAUUAUAUAAAUUUAUAAAUACCCUUUCAUUCUUCUAACUCAGAUCUUCAUCUUUUCCAUUUCAUGUGCUAUAUUUUGAAGGUGGCGAACCAGGGUGGCGGAGAUGGAGACGGCGACCGAGAUGAGCUCGAGGGGAUGUUCUCCUCGUCUGCCGGGGAAUUAAUGGCUAUGGUUUCGGCUUUGACUCAUGUCAUUUCUGGCGGCUCUGCUGCUCCGGCGACGGUGCGGACGGCAGUGGGAGCGCCUGCGACGGGUUGUAGAAAAAGAGAGAGGGAAGAAGGAGGAGAAAGUGGAAUGAUUGUGGACUCCACAGCAAUGCAGAGUUUUUCCAUGCCCUCCCCUGCAAUUUGUUAGUUCUUAAUUCUUUCUUAAAUUUUCUUUUUCUUUUUUUCUAAUCUUUUUGUCUUCUUGGAAUUUAUUUUAUUUUUGUUCUUUACAUUUGUUUUAAAAUUUUCAUUUUCAUCCAUUAAGCUUCUUUAUUUUAAAUGCUUUUACACGUCUAAAACAGAUGACUUUAUAGAUUAAUUUUAUAAAAGCUACGGAUGAUUUUAGAAAAUAAACUAAAAGGAAUAUAGCAGAUGAUUUUAUAAUAUUUAUUUUUUAAAGCUCAAAGUUAAAAUGGGUAACAUUUAUAUAAAUUAGAUAAAAUAGAAAUUAUACAGUCCAAUAAAUUUGAGUUCAACUUUCAACUUUAAUCUUAUCUCUAAACUAAAUUAUAAACAUGACCUUAAAUCAAAAGGUCAAAAUACAUAUGAUUAAUCAAAGAUUAGGGGUUGCUAUCAACCUUCCUAAAAGGAAUUAAAACAUUUAAAAUGAAAAUGACCACUUUCAAAUUUGAUCAUAUAUUAUUUUUAUCAACCAAAUUUGACUAUCUUUUUUCUUGUCAACCAAAGGUGAAUUUUGUAAUUCUUGUGUGCAGUUCUAAGAGAAGAAGGAGGUUCAAGUUCAAGUAACACCAUCUCCGUCGUGACGGCGGCAACAACGGCACCUACAAUGGCGGCAGCAUUUUCCGGCGAGGAUAGAAUAAGAAGAAGAUACAGAGGAGUAAGACAGAGGCCAUGGGGAAAGUGGGCUGCCGAAAUUCGUGACCCCCAGAAAGCUGCUCGAGUUUGGCUUGGCACUUUCGAUACUGCAGAGGCCGCCGCUCGAGCCUACGACGGCGCCGCCUUGCGCUUCCGAGGGAGUAAAGCCAAGCUCAACUUCCCUGAAUUUGUCUCUGUUUUUCCACCGUCGUCUUUGCCGUCAGCCACCCAUUUGGCGUCGUCUCCUGUGGUGGUACCACCGCAAGAUGCCAUCGGAAACUAUCUACAGUAUUCUCGUUUGCUUCCGAACUCUCGCGAAACCUCUAGCCAGCCGGUGCCGGCGUUUGAGAGAGUGCUCUGUAAUUCGCCAUUAGUGAAUCCAUCCUCUUUGGUUUCAUCUUCCGGCGUUUCGAAUUUUCCUUUUCCAUCGUCUGAGCAACAAGUUAGACACUACCUGCCACCGGAAAACCAGAGCCAAGGCAACGGAGGUUCUUCGAUGCCGUUUCCGACGGGAUUCAGCUAUCGUCCUCCGGCAAACGGGUGAUGGUUAAUGAUUGGACCGUUGAAAUCUAGUAGUGCCUACUGCCAUUAAGAUUUGACAGUUCUUUAGUAUUUUUUAAAAAUAUAUAUAUAAUUGUCAAAUGCUAUAAUUCUUUAAAAUUUUUAGGCUAAGAUACACUUUUACUUAAGCAUUUAAUAAUAUACUUGGAAAUUUGUAAUACAUAUUUUUAGGUUUAAAUGGUUUUUUUGUAAUAAAAAAUAUGAACGAAAACGUUAUCAAACGAAUCUGUUUAAGAACAAUAAUAGAAUUUUAAUCUUAUUUUUAAACUAUAAAAUUUAUAAUAAUUUAAUUUUUUUAAUAAUUUAAUCACUAUCAUUGAAAAAUCUUAAAAAUUGAAUGUUAUUUUUCAUAAGUUGGCAUGGUUCUUGAUGUAUAUGAAAAGGUUGGAUUUUGGAUUAAUUUAUUGAUUUUAUAUGGGUAAGAAACUUUGUUGUUGUUCUUAUUAUCCUUAUAUAAGAAUUUCGUAUAAGAAAUUUGCUUAGGAUAAAACUUAGAAUCUAAUAAACAAGGUUUCUUGAUUAUAGUAUGAGUAUUUUAACUUUAUGAAAAGACAUAAACGUGAAUCAAGUUCAAGUAAUAGUCUAAAUAGUUUAUAAUAUAGGAAUAAAGUUGGGCGCGCCUUAUUCUGGUCGGGACACCAUGGAUGCAACCCACCUUGUAGUUAUUACAAGUAGAGUGAUCCCAAGCGAUGCUCAUGUAGAAACAUGCAAGUAGGAGCAUCUUAUGCAUUGAGAUUGUAUAAGAUCAGACCAUAAAAUAGUCACUUUUAUAUUAUAACACCUUUAACUUAUUAAAAUUGACUAUAUUUCGAUUAUUAAUGAUCUAGGAUAAUUCGACCUUAAUCUUGAGCUAACUAUGAACUUCUGUUCACACGAAAUUAUUCUUAGAUCUACAUAGGUGAUUGACAGUUCAUCAACACUAAUCAAAUAAACCUUCUAUUUCAGUGGUAAGAUUGGGUGGAUGGCUAGGGAAGUAGAGUACAAGAUAAAAUUCACUUUUGCACGCUUUUAGGGUUGGUAAAUAGAUUGUUCCUAUAAGUGCUGACUUCAAGUUUUGAACGAAGGGGUUCACUCUCUCAUUGACCCGAGAGAGAUUUGAUUUAUAUGUUGGACCUUAAAGCAAUUGUUCAUUAGAGGAUCAACUGAGGGUUAGGGAACACGAUAUAAUCUUAUGGGUAAAACGGUAAAUUGACUUAGUCAAAUUUACAAACAACCUAUAAAGAGUUGACUUACCUAAUUAUGGAUAUAUCAGGUGGACAAAAAUGCUACGGGAAGGAGAGUACAACUAUGAGUUAUAGUGGACAAUACUCCUCAUUAAUUAACGAAUGUUGAUUAACUCAGUUAAAAGAGUUUAGCUAGUUAAUUAACCUUGGAUCGUUGGAGCUCAUGAUUUAUAGAUCCAUUAGGUCGCUCUAUUAGCUUGUUAUGGAUUUAAACUUAAAACAGAGUGAUUAGGAAUAAAAAAUGUUCGAAUUAGUUGAGAAAAUGAAUCGUUAAUAAUAUUUAAUAAUAAUUAACAAUUACAGGUUGAGAGAGAAACAAUAUACUUAAAUAUCAUUAAUUUGAUUAGGGAUUUAAACAAUUGGAUUGAUUGGGAUACAUGGUGAAAUUAAUAAUAUAUUAUUAAAAUUAAUUUAAAAUUUUAAUUAAUGAAAUAUUAUUAUUUAAUUAGUUAAAAUAAUUAAAAAAUUAAUUAAUUAGGUUGAUUAAUAUAAUUAUAUAAUUAAAUAAUAACUUUGGAAAAUUAAACCAACUUUCAAAAUUCAUUUUUAAAAGUUAAAAUGUUUGACUCACCAAAGUGGUUUUUUUUUCAAUUUUUAGUACAUUAUGAGUAGGAGUGAGUAUGAUAAAGAAAAAAUCCGAGCUGACCGACCAGAUCAAAGUUGGUCAAUCAAAUAAUGAGAGAGGUUGGUUUUAGAAAGUUUCAAAUCGAGAACUUUCAUAAAAUAUUUUAAUUGCUAAACUGACUCGACUCGAUCGAAUCUAACUGACCAACCGACCCUUACACAUCAAAUCAAGGUCGAUUUGACACUUCAGUUGGAUUUUAAAAAAAUCGACUUUGACCGACGAUCACCCCUAAAUUUAAGUAAGCACCUUACUGGAGGAAGGUGUAGUUCUCACCAUCUACCAAAGGUAAAUUUCUUACUUAUUAAAAUUUGAGAAUAAGUACUUACAAAUUUUAAGCUUACAAAGGUUAAAUUAUUGUCAACUAAAUUUUAUGGGCUAAAUUUCUAUUUUUUCACAAAUUUAAGUAUCAAAAGGUGAAAAGUUUAUUUUAUAUGAACAGACAGCAAUGUUGAUCAGAAAUAAAUAUGCAUACACAUAAUAUAAAAACAAGUCAAUAAUAACAUAAAUAAUACAACACUCAUGACUUAUUAUCAAAUACACACUUAGUAUUAAUACAAAACUAAUGCAUAACAUCAAACAAUAAUCCAUUGUAUAUGCCAAACGGUGAACUCAUGCAAAAAUUAUAUAAGUGGCAACAUUUUUUAAUUAAAAUCGUGCAAAUCGAAAAAUCUUAAAUGUCAUUUGUCCAAGAGUUUUAAUUAUAUACUAAUUAAAAACAACCCACUAAAAUUUAGAAACACUUCAAGCAAAUAUUGGUUGAAUGAAAACUAAAAAUAAUUUUCAUGAUUUACACACAGAACAUGGUUGUGGAAUAAUAUACAUAUAUAUGAAAUUCUAAAACAAAAUCAACAUGAUCCAACAACAAAUUGGUAUAUGAAUAUUUCCUCAAUUUCUCAAUUUUAGUAGUUCGAAGCUAAUGGGGUUUUCAAUAUUAUCAUAAAAUAUAAAUUUGUCUUAAGAUUGUUAACAGUAUUAUCAUUACAACAAACAGAAACUCAUAUAUGCAUUAUAAAUCUGAGUCCAACGAAUUCACGUUGUCUCCCUAAGAUAAAUUUACUCAUCCUAGUGCUUGAGUUUUGAGAGUAGUUGUCUCCCACGAUAGAACAGAUAAACUUUUUUCUAAGAGUAGCAACAUGUCUAGAAGAUCAACAAACGAAACUUUGUGGAUCGAUCGAACGUCAAGAUUAUGGAUAAUGGAAAAGAUGUGUGUUCUUUUAACCGAAUAGAAAAUGAUUUAUUUAUAGACUUAUUCGUGGCCAUUUGAAAAGUCAUGUCUUUUUCUAUAAGUUAGUUAUUAAUUUUCAUGAAGUGAUGCAUUCACUCAUAAUGCAUCCAUUCAUGAAGAAACACAAAACAAUUACCAUUUAUUCCAACAGUCGCCUCCAUCCGCAAGCCAAGCUAACAUGUUUUCUCCCAGCUACGUGCGCCAAUCUGCCUCCUCUCAGCCACUGCAACCACGGUUGCGUGAGGGGUUUUUUUUGGUAUUUUUGUUCGUUUUACCCGCAUUUAAGUGAAUCCAAUGAUAAAUUUAAUUUUGGAUCUAAUUAGGGUUUUUCUUGAUGGUUUUUUCGACAAAUUUUGGAAGGACUAAUUUGUGAAAAAAAUUUCAUCAAAGGUUGAACUAGUUUCAACCAAUUGAGUAAGUUUGGAAAAAUUUUGGAUGCUAGCCAUGGGUAAUUUUAUUAACUAAGGUUGUUAAAUUUUCCCUUAUGAUUUAGGAUCGUGUUUAUUGAGGAAAAAUUUACUAUAAGCAAGCAAAUAUUUUAGCUAAUAUGAGUUAUUCGAUUCUACUACUAGACCUUUGAGUGGAAAGUGAUUCUAUUACCUUUCACUCAAAAUUUAAGAGUCUACAUGUACUGGUUAUGCAUGGACAAUACUAAACAACAUUAUAGGAUUGUUGGUUGAUCUUGUGUGAUGUAUAACUUACGUGUGGUUCGACGGGAUCCCUAGCCGAUCUAAAAUGUAUGCUCUUAUCAAAUCUCGUGAUUAUUCAAGUUAUUUUUCUUGAUUUCUGAACUAUUGUUUUGCAUUAAUAUUUUCAUAUUUGUCAUUGAAUACUAUAGACGAUUUGUCUCUUUUCUUUCUUCUUUUUUGUGAUUCAUUCAUCUUCUCUUUCUAGACUUCUUCAUCUCCUCUUCCAAAUUUUCUUUCUUCUAUUUUUAAACAAUUUAUUCUUGUUUAAAUCUUCUAUUUCAUCUUCACUGUUUUCAGCGAGAUUAUUUAAAGCUAUUUCAUUUUCUUCAUAUUUGAUAAUAUCAAAGUUGUUUAAAUAUCAUUUUGACCUGAUCUAAACAAUCGUUUACCAUUGUCAACACGAUCGUUUAUUAUGGUCAACACGAUCUUUUAAAUUUGAAGUCCAUUUUCCAUCAUCUAAAAAAGAACGACACAAUUAUGUGGAUAUGAUCUAAUCAAUCACUUACCUUAAUCAACACGGUUGUUUAGCAUGGUCAACAUGAUCGUUAAAAAUUGAAGUCUUUUUUCGAUCGUUAAAAAGAACUACACGAUCAUGUAUUAUGACCUAAACGAUCGUAGAUCAUUCAUUUAGACUAUAGUACACAAUCAUUUAGAAGAAAAUUACUCACACGCGUGUGUAGUCGAUUAAUCGUGUGUUGACUGUGGUAUUUUGGUAUUUUUCAUUGUAGGUCUGUGGGUUUUUUUCGUUUUCAAAAUUUUUCUAUAGAGUAUAAAUAUUUUACCGGUUUGUUCUAUUAUUUAAAGACCCUUUAAAAAAUUUUAAAAUGUAGAGAAAAUUUAUUGAGUCUUUAAAUGAUUAAUUUUCAUAAAUAUAACAAAACACGGCCCGUAUAACAAAAUAAAAAAACAUAUGAUAUUUUUAUAAAUUUCAGGUUUGCCCUUGAAUAAGGUUAUCAAUUUUUUACUUCUUUUUCUUCUUGUUUGCAAUUUAUUCAUCUCAUUUCAUAUUAUUACUUCUUCAUUUUACAAUAUUAUGAUUAUUUAUCUAAACAUUUACCAAUUUCUUCAUUUCCUUUUCCACAUUUUUUUCUUAUUCUUCAUUUCUCAUUUUUCUUUUUUUCUUCUUGAUACAAGAUCUAAACGAUCGUGUAUCAAUAUCUAAACAAUCAGUUAUCUAUCCUAGAUAGACAGAGAUAGGCCACUAUCACUAAUAAAUCGUUUUGAUUUGUUACAAGAUCGUUUAGACUAUGUAGAAUGGUACAAGAUCAUUUAAACUAUAUAGAAGGGUACAAGAUCGUUUAGACUUGCUAAGAGAUCGUUUAGGCGGGGUAAAAAAUCAUUUUUCGCACGUGUGUAACUAAUUAAUCGCAGGGGCAUUUUGUAAUUUCAUGUCGUGGGAUUUGUUGGUUUUUUUAAAAAGAAAUUAUUCUAUACCAUAUAAAUAUUAAAAAAAAUUCUUUUUAAAUUUUAAAUUUUAUAAAUUUAUAACCUAUUUGACAUUUAGAAAAACUCGAAGACCUACUAUAUACAAUUAAUUAGUUUAAAGUUUUGCAGCAAAAAAAAAAAAAGAAAAAUGAUUUAAAACAUAAUUGGUAAACAUGUUAAAUAUAUGGAGGACUAAACUUGUAGUUUAAUACAGUUUCAUUCAUUAAUUUUAACAAGACAACUGCAAUACAUAAACACAAAAAUCGUAGUGUGUAUUUUUAUUAGUAUAUACCAAAUAUGGCCCUUCCUUUUACAAUUUUGUAAAUAGAACAAAUUUCUUACUUUUUUAUCUUAAUUUUUUUAGAAUAGUGUAUAGCAAAUAUGACAGUUUAAUUUUACAAUUGUGGCCAAAUUUUCAUUCUUCUUAAAUAUGUUAUUCUUCCCAAGUUAUCUUUGAACGUAUUUUUUCUCCCACUUUUUAAAUUCUUAAUUAUCCUUUCUCUUACGUUCACUAUAAUCUGUUCUUCCUUGUUCGUCCUCACCCAUAGAUUUCAAUUGGUUUCCUCUUUUUAAGUUCUAGCAAAUGUGGCACAGGUUAAGGUUCAAAACUCAUAUCAUGAUGGAAUUUUUUUAUUUUGAUUUCAUCUUUCAUUAUUAUUGAUUUCCAUUUCGUCCUUAUGAUUUUAGGAGUUUGAUUUUUUGUAUUUGUCAACUAUUUGAAUUACUUUUUUUAAGUUUUAUUUAUAGUUUUGCUUCUUUUUUUCGGUUUCGUAUUAAUUCCAAUCUGAUCUAUAGUGGUUGAUGAGUAAAAGAAUUUAACUUUAUAUACGAUUGUUCUCUGCUUUCUCCGUGUAUUUUGAAGUUGAAUCUAAUUUCAGAUGAUUUUAUUUUACUUUUUUUUAUUGGUUUUGUUUUAGUUGUAACUUGUAUAUUAGUUUUGUAUAUUAGUGUUGUAAUAUACUUAAUAUUAUAUAUGUUGGUUGGUUGAUAUACUUACGGCAUGAUUUUCAAUUUUUCAAAAUUUUUGCAAUUCAUUGUAGCUAUGGUCAAGUAUCUAAUCAUUUUUUUUAUCAAAUGUAUCAAUUUACAACCAACGCAUUACUAAGGAUAUGAGCUGUAUAACUCAAUUUAUCAUUAUCAAAUACAUCAACGAUAUAUUAGUAAAGUAUAUUAACAUAUAAGUAAAGUAAAUCAUUAUUAAGUAUAUCAACAAAGUUUACAAGUGGAUAUCAAUAGUGUAUCAGUAGAAUUUUAAUUAUAUCAAGUGUAUUCGUGAAAAAUACUAAGUGUAUCUACAAUGCAUCAAGUGUAUCAAACAUAUCACUGUGUAUCAAACGUAUCAAAUUCGUUGAGUAUACUAGUGAAACAUAAUAAAUUUAUCAAUAGUAAGAAUAAGUGAAACAAUGAAUAUUAGGUGUACCAAAAAGUAUGAAUGUAUCAAGAUUCAAAGGAUAUCAAGAAGUGAUAAAUAUAUCAAGAAAUAUCAAGUGAGUUAAGAAGUAUUAAAUGUAUCCAAUGCAUAUUAGUAACAAGAAACAAGAGUAUUUAAAACAUUUUACCUAGCUAUUUUUUUUUACAAUUUUUACAAAAGAAAUAUAUAAAUGUGUGCUAUCGACUUGAUUAUUAUAAUUUGUUUCAUCCUUUGAUUUGUUUUGACUUUUCUUGUAAAUGCCCUUAUCUACAAAAUAUGUAAACCAACUUAUUAACAAUUACAAAAUAUAUAUAAAAAAAUGCACUUCUAAACUAAAAAAAAAAAAAACCUAUAAUGCGUAAUUAUCAAAAUCUAAUCAAUCAAAAAAUAAAAGACAAGUAUUAAAGUGAAGCAAAAUUUAUUACACAUUGAAAUGGAAACAUGAUCAAAUGCAUCAAGAUAUGUAUAUAAAGGCAGCAACAUAUAUUCGAGUUCUUCCAAAUGCGUAUUCGAAUUCCAUCAAAGAAAGACAUUAACAAAACCCUUGAGCUAAUACAAACUAUAAAAGGGAACAUAUUUAAUUAUCUAUUAGAAGUAGAGUGAAUGUCAGUUGAGUACAACAUUGCACCACGAACAAAAAAUUAAAAAGAAAUCAGCCUGGCUAUUGAGUCAUCAGAAAGCAUAAGGAGGGGCCUCAAGAAAUGAAUUGAGAAUGUGCCAGAAUAUAAUGUUGUGAAGUAUAAACUACCAAUAAAGAAAUAGGAAAAAAAAUGUUUGACAGCCCAAAUCACUACUCAUUCCAAACAAUUACAACCAAUACCAAUUCUACCUUUCUCAGAAAUUAGAUGGAUCUUCAAGCAUAAACAAAAUGAAGAAAAUAAGAAAAGAACAAGAAACAAUAAUAGGGGGAGAGAAUUAUAUAAUUUUGUACCUAAAUGGGAUUCCAUUUGCUUUCCCAUCACAUUAUGUUGUUCAUUACUGCAGCUUUCCCAUCUUUAAGUGCCAGAAAAAGGAGCUUUCCUUCCAGCUAAAAGAAACGUCAAUCUAAACUCAAUUGUGAUACAUUAUCCCUGAAAUGCCUCUUUUGAUGUUACGUAACCUCGGCUUUCAGUCACAUUCGAGUUGGCAAAGACCUCAGUUGCAAUUUCCCAGCUACCACUUCUUCUUCCCCAACUUGAAUGUCGGUCUGAUCGAAUUGUUGGUGCUUGAUGAUCAGAUUCCAAAACAGGGUCAGUCUCUGGGGCAUUAAGAGGCGGCCCAUUACUUCCUCUACUACGUAUGUCCUCUGAGAUUUCAUCGAUGUUACGACGCUGGGAGAUUUUCAACAAGUCUUCCCCUAUAUCAAGAUCGUCUUCCACUUUUGACCGUGGAUGUGAAGCCAAGUCAUCUGCUGCAGCACGAGGCAACUGAGGAAGAACUUGAGGCCUUGGCACCUCCUCUUGGAUGAAAGCUCGAAAAUUAUUCCUUGAUGGCUUUACUUUUGAGCAAAAUACUUCAAGAAAAUUAUUUGCACAGCCCCGAUUGAAAACAUUGAUCCUAUUGUCAGCUCUGUACCGGAAAUUUUCGUAGGUUGUCUGUAAAAACAUAUAGUGAAACCACACAACUAAUUAGUUAGGACCGAACAUAACCAAUCAUCUAAUAAAAAAAUUGUAAGACCUAUGCAUUUUCAUUUUCUUCAAACCAUUUGUACUGAUAUCCAGAAAUUAGAGAAAAAAUAAGCCAUACAACUCCACAAUAGCUCCUUGAUUUUAAGAGAUCAAUUGCAUUUUAUUUGAUACGACAGAAGGCAAAAUAAGGUGAAGUUCUAUCCUUCAUUGCCAUACAGAAAUAUCACCAUAGUAUUUGUUAGCACUAGCAGUGCAGAGCAUUCAAAUUCCACAAAAAUGAGACUAAAGUUUUACUCAUUAAUCCAUCCAUGAAAGGAAAUAAUCUCGGUUUAAAUCAUUUUGUGUCGUUAAAAAAAUUAUAUUAAAAAAGUAACUUUGGGGGAAAAUAAUUUUUUUUCAGUUCUUGGAAGAAAUGACUUUUUGUUGUUGCUUCUUUGCGCAGCUGUAUAAGCCUUCAAGUAACUGUAGGUUUCUCUCUCCUUAUACCAAUGGAAGGAAGUUGGAGGAAAAGAAUUAUGUUUAGCCCCAUAUUUGGUAUAGUUAAUCCAUUUUAAAUGGAACUUUUCGAGCAAGUAGUGCAAUAACUACUUUCAAUGAAUUAAGUUGGUAUUUUUCUAAAAAGAUCUUUGGCUAGCACUCUUGAUGAAGCUGGACAAGACCGAUCUUAAAGAAAUUGACUCAGCUAAUCAUGUUAGACUCGACUUAGACCUUUUAUUGUUCACUUUUCGACAUACUUUUACCACUUUAGGUUGGUAAUUCUAUGUUACAAUGUCAAAAUUUCUGUGGCUUGAUCUUUGAGCUUGAAAUGGGUUGAUAAUUGUGUGAUCUAUGAGUUAGUUCGCAAACAAUUUUCUAAUUUAGUGUAAAGAUAUUAAUUGCACUGCUCAGUUCAAGUUUAGGGUUCAACGGGAUGAUCUUAAAAGUUUGUCGCUAACACUAAUCAUGCAUGUUGAAGCUUCCCUCCCCUCAUUUUAUAUGAAUUUCUAUCAAUCAAACAAUUUCUCAUAAAAUAUUCAAAAUAAAUAAAAAACAUCCAGCCCACAAUACCCCAGGAUGAAAUUAAUCUUAUAGCACCAGUUUAGACACAGCUCCUUACUUCAUUUGAAGUUGAUUCGCCAAGAAAUAAACAUAUCACAUUGAGGCAAAAACAAAGCAGUUUAUGAUGCAUCUUCCAUUUUCGAAGAUUGUAGAGUAGAAAAAGAAAAUACUAAGACGAAGUGAAGAACCAACCUGAUUAGUGCCAAUAAGAUACAAAUGGAAGCCAGUUAGACCACCAACAAACCAAAGGGAGACAAAGCAGUAGGCCAUUAAUAUGACUGAUGCAGGUGAUUCUUUCAUUGCCUUCCAAACAGUGCUCUCAUAUUGAUCCAUCAGAACCUUGAUAUACAAUGCUGACAUUGCAAACACGUACAUGCAAAGAAGUGUUGAAGAAGAUACAAACAUAAAGAAGUAACGGUAGUUCCGCUGCAUGAACCCAAAAAUGGAGAGAUAAUAUCAGCUGUCAAAGUAGAAAAACACAUAAAUCUCUUUUCUCUUUUCAUUGGUUCAUUCAUAUUUGUGGAUUGCAGGUGCGGGGGGAUGAGAAGCAAGAAAGAUACAAGGGAUUAAACAUUAAAAUCCAACCACCUACCAACCUACACCCUACAUCAAGAUUGAAAGGAACCAAAAGGGAGAGCCAAAACCCAACACACAGCAUAGAACAUUAAGUGGAGAAGGAAAUUGAAUCAAUCUGUGAACAGCUUACCAGUCCAAUACAUUGACCCACCCAAGGGCAGUGAUGAUCAAAAUGUUCCACACAAUUGUUGCAAAUUGAGCAGUGGGAGCAACGAGGAGGACGAUAUAGCAUACACGUGUCACAAUACUUUACUCUUACUGGGAGCCCAUUCACAAUAACUUCUUUUGUCCGUGGAAACUGGAGACUUGGAGUUUGCCUUCCCCCAACAUCAACUGAUACUGAAGAGUCAAAACGGAUUUCAUCCUCUGGAGGAUGUGAAUUGCGAGGGAUUAUUCCUGGGUCCCGGGCUGAAGUAAGGAAAAGAAGUACCAGUACCUACCAUCACCAAUAACUAAAUUACAUCUCAUCAAGGCCUUAAAUUCAAUGUCAAACUACAAAAGUUUGCUUUCAAAAUUUUCUAAGUUUGUUGGACAGAUAGGUAGUGGUAAAAAAAAGUGAGGGAGCAACAAGAUGCAACAGAACAACAUGACCAAGAACGGUAACAGUUGCAGAUUUUCCUAGAAAGAAGAUAAUAAUAAGGUUCAGAUUUGGGAUUAAAUGCUUGUGCAAAAAUCGACAUUCAGUUUUCAUGACAAUAACUUGAAUGAGAUAACAUCAGAAAUUCCAAAGUAAAGGUGUAAACAUAAUUUCAUACAACGACUCCAACAAAUCAGACAUCACAUAAUUUCACAAAUGGUAGGAACAGUGCUUAACAGUAAAACUUCCUCUGAUUACACAGAUGAGAUACUAAACCAUAUAGAAGUCUGUUUCCUUGAUUAAUAAAACUAAAUUUCUUUUAUCUCUCAAGUUACUGGUAACCGCACUUUUUUGUUCUCAGUUCACAUUAAUAGAAAACUAAAUACAUAGAAUAUAGUAUGGUUAAGAGAAUAUGCAAAUAAAGAAAGAACAAAAGAAAGAAAACAGAGAACAUAGAAGAGAUCAGAUAUUUCAUCAAAGAUAGAACAGUUCUUCGUAUCCAAUUUGCAUAAAACACUUUCCUUCUAACAAACAAUAAUUUACACAAAUACUUAAACAUUAAAGAAGGGUCAAGAGGUCUAACAUAUACAGUAAAAACAAUGGCGACCACCAGAAUGGCAUAUCCUGCAUUAUAUGAUGAAAAUUUGUGUCGAAGAUGUCUUGCAACAAAUGCACAAAAGAUGAUAACUGGAACUGUAAUCAAAAGUAUUGUGACAAGCAACGACCUAGCAUCAGGCCCAAAUAUUAGUCUCCCACCAAGGAUAAACUUCUGCAAAAUCACAAGCAAAAAGAAAUGAGGGGAAAAAAUAUUCAAUAAUAUAGCACAUAAGUGUAAAGAUGGAGGUGGGGAUGAGUAUUUUAAUAUUUACGACGGGUAAAGGUAUCAGAACAGUGAAACUCUAGCGAGUUUAUAAGCUCCAUACAAGAAUAAGAAAAGUUGUAGGGUAAUAGGGUUAGGGAAGUAGCAUCCACAGGUUGGCUGUUAACACCCUUAAUGUAGAAACACACGGCAACCCCAAAUGAAAUGCAUAUAUAAAGCAAAAAAUUAGAAUGCAUGGCAUCAACUGAAAAUUAUAUCAUUCUAAGAUGCUAUUCUCUUCUCACUUAGGCUACUCCCGAAUGUAAACAAAGUUAACCACCACCUUCACUGUUUUAUAGAUGAAUAGCACAUUGAAAACAAUUAUUAAGCAACUAAUAAAUGGACUACCAUAGCAGAUAGACAAAAUUUGAUAACGUCUUUUUCUAGUUACAAUAGAUAUAAUUCUUAUUCCACCCGCCGUGCUUGUUAUGACCAGCCUACUACAAAUCUGAGAAGGCCAAUUAAAUAACAUCCAUGCAAUUGAAAAUGUUUCAAGUCACUUCAACCACUCUGAUCUGGACAUCCAGGCAAGAAAAAAUACAUUAUAAAUGUGGACCAUUUUGAUUCUAAUAGCCCUAUUUUAUGGAGUACUUCAUUCUUAUCUAUAUAUCCUUUCAUUUGUGUCUUGAAGUUUUAGAGAAAUAGAGAAAUACAUUUAAUGUAGCUCUCACAAAAAAGUGUUCCAGUUUAAUAACAGGAUUUUUUAGCAUAUCAAUCUGCUUUAAUUUCAAACAAUCACAACUUACACAAACAUGAUGUGGAUAUUGCAAAGAGACAAUAAAUAAAAUAUCCAAACUGAGAGGAUGUUAGCAACCAGGGUAGUAUAGGAUGCCUUUGUCCCACAUUGGUUAGAAUCGGAUGACCAAUGUGAUACUUAAGUGGCUUGGCUCUCCCACCCCAAUAGCUAGCUUUUGGGGUGUGGUUCUCCAAGGUGCUUAAGUACCUCACAGCAGAGUUGCACCAAAGGUCCAAAAUUUGAAUAAAAAAGGAUGGCAUAUUGAUAGUAUGAGCCAAAUGUUCCAUAAGACAACUACUGUUAAACCUCUCAUUCUCAGACAUGCUUAAGAAUCCUACGAAGAAAAAUGCAAUGAGCAUUUUCAUUUUAAAUUAUUACCAAAUCAAAGUGAAACCAGUGCUAAUUCAUUAGCUAAAGACAAACACAAAAUCAUACCAAUAAGUUAUAUGCCACAUGAUAAUUUCCAAAAUCAAGUCUAAAACAUAAGGAUGGUUUAUAAUAAAAUACAUUUUUUUUCAUAUUUAUUAUUUUUAAACAUUUAAAUGAUUCCCCUGUUAAAGUGUAUUAGUUUAUGAUACUAACCCAUUUAAAGCAUAAUGUCUUAUGUCGAGAUAAUCAUGAUACAUCCAAAUAUAGUUAUCAAUUUUCUAUAUGAAUUGACAUAUCUCAGCUAAAAGGAAAUUAGAAGUCAAUAAUGCUUAUCCAUUUUAUGUAUUUCACUCCAAGAAUGCCAACCAAGUGUGUGACACGUCCUCUUUUUAUUUUGAUAAAUUAGUGUUCAAUGUUUGCCCAAUAAGUGUCAUACCCAUACUCAAUUGGAUCAUCUUCAACUAAUGUCUAGCACAGUUGGACUCAUACUCAAUUGAUUCAUGGUUCAACUAAUACUUAAACUUAACACUAAGUGUCGAAGUGUGAAACACAGAUACGUUGCCCAAAUCAAAAUGUUUGUGCUUCAUAGGUGCUACACAUAUUACUAUCAAAGACAUGACGAAAUCUCUAAUGGUUAGCACUUGGCAGCUAUAUGGUGGACACAUACCUCGAAAAUAAGUUUGUCUACAAUUCAAAAUUCACCAAACUUUCUUAGAAAGCAAAGAAAUUAAAACCUCUUCACAGACAGAAUAACUCAAGCAUAUGGCCAAAGAGACCAAUGGUCUAAUAUUCUUACUUUUUCUGAACUAUUCUACUGGAUUUAGCAUUUUAUCGAUCUGACGAGAGACUGAAUUAGUCGUUCUCACCUAUACUCCUCUGUUCACUCAAAAGAGAGAACUCUGCGACACGAAGCAACACAGAACGUAGAUUGAACAGAAACGAAACAACAAACAACCAGAACAAGAAAAGCUUAGAUAAAUGUAACCUCACCAAUGAGCAUGUCAAAUGAAGUUCCAGUAACAAAGCAACCCACUACUAUCCUCAGUUAACUCCCAAGGCAAAUAUGGGAAAACGAAAAGAACAAACAAAAUACACAAUGAAGCUUCCUUUUCAACUUUUCAAGUGGACAUAACUCAGGAAGCUAGAGCAAUGGCACAACCCAAAAGACCUAAAAUUUUGAACUUUAAGGACGAAAAACAAAAAUCAACAGCAAACCCUCAAAAGUUAACCAAUAUCCCACAGUGAAAAACAAACGAUAAAACAUCAUAAUGAAAAAUAAAAAAAAAUGGGAAACUCACAUUACUCCCUUUCCAGACUUGGUAUACGCGAAUCGCCAUGAGGGGAUGAAGCCUUUCAGUUACGCAUGAAACAGGAAAGUGGGAUUUGAAAGUACUGAACGCUCAUCUCAUGGGGCGUCGAAAACCCACAAAAUCACAUUGAAAAAACACAAAAAAAAAAAAAAGAAAAAAAAAGACUACAAUUGGGUGCGAUCCAGAGAAUUAAUUAGAGGGUUUUGGAGUGAUUGGGUUUUUGGGUGUUCAGAGUGUAAUUAAACAAGUUAGAGAGCGGAAGAAGAAGAGGAAAAAGAGAGUAGUAGGUGAUUGAUCUGUGCUUGUUGUUAAUGUAAAAUGGCGGUUUUGCAUUUUGGAAUUUGCUUGGAAUUGUGGCUUUCUUUUUCCUUUUUCUCUUUUCCUCUUUUUUGCUUUUUGCCUUUCUCAGACUCUGUGGAAUGUUUUCGACCGAAAUUCUACACAUAAAAGGCAACGCCAAAACUUCUUUACCCAUCAAAAAGCAAAAACCUAAUUACAUUACAACUAAGAAUCUCUCAUUUCGUUCACUAUUAAGUUUCUUCUCAUUGACCAUAUGGAAACCUUUUCCAUUUUCUUAAUUUCCAAGUUUUUCUUUCUUCUUUUUACUUCAACAUAUAAACACUGACAUUUUGAUCCACAAUAUCAUAUUUAAUCCGUUAAAAUUACUUGUGGUAUAAUAUGAUUAAUUAGGUUGUUAUAUAUAUGUUAUGACAAUUUGUAACUAAGUAAAUGAAUGGAUGAGAAAAGAAAUGACUUGUAAUGGAAAAAAAAUAUAUGGUUGCUCGAUCUCAUGGUAUCCAACUCAAAAACCUUAUAACUUAGUAAAUCUUGUAGAUCAACAAGAUUAUUUAAAUAACAAAGAUCUCACUUAAAUUCUUUUAAUCAAUUUAAUAGGUAAAACCUAUAGGUUGCAAGUGAAUCUAUAGAAGAAAAAGUAGGGUAGAUUGAAAACUAGUAGCUAAAGGUUAUACCUAAGUAGAAAGGGUUGAUUAUGAAAGAACAUUUUCUCUUGUAGCAAUGUUAAAAUCUUUGAAUCAUCUUAUCUAUUGUCACAUAUUAUGACUACGGAAUAUGUCAAAUUGAUGUCAAAAUAGUCUUUUUGAAUGAAAAUAUUGAAGAAACAUUAAUAUGAGCUAACCAAAGGAGUUAACGAAACAAGGUCAUGAGCAAAAAUCUUGCAAGCUAAAACGAUCAUCUAUGGAUUGAAAAAAGCAUCUAGAUCUUGGGAUAUAAGAUUUGACUAUAAACCCCGAAUCUUAUUGAAUUUGGAUCUUUUUAAGAACGUGAAUGAAUUUGUUAUAAGUAGAUUUAAGAUAAGUAAGUGAGCUUGAGAAGUGCAAUGAUAAGUGUGCUAUGGGAGGUAAAAAGGAAGGAAGGCUUUGGUGAUUUGGUUUAAAGAGGUUAGUUGGAAAAGAAGAGAGAAUUUGACUAAGUUUGGGAAGUUGGCGUUUUGGCCAUAGCAUAGACGUUUAGAGGUUAUUUUAAUGUUGGUUAGGCGAUUUGGAGGUGACCUAGGUGAGAAGAGUUGUGUGAGAACCUCUAAAGAAGUUAAUUUGGGCUAGAAGAGGACUACAACCAUUUGUGGGUUCUGUGUGAAAAUUGUUAUCAAUUCAAUUAUAAAAGACUUUUCAAAUAAAAAAUGAAUAUUUUGUGAAGAAUAUGAAUACCAUUUGAAAAUGAGUAGUUCAUAUAGAAUCGAACUUUUGAUUGAUCUAGGUACUUGGAAGCCUAUAGAUGAAGACAUGGUCUCUAUGGAUCUCAUUAAAUAUUGAGAUUCGAAGGUGGAUCCCAUUGAAGGGGAUUCAGAGGAGUACAAUGACUCUUCUUAUGAAGACCGUAUUUCUUCUUCUCAAAUAGAGACAGGAUUACGUGAGGCUAUUCAAACAAGCUAUGCUAGGCGGCCAAGAACGUCUUGUUAGUGUAUGUGUUCGAGAGGUGUAGGAUAACCUCUAUUGGUGCUUGGCAAAUUGACAUGUUAGGCAAGAAAAGUUUAGUUAGAGGUUAGUUGGCAUAAGGGCAUGUACUGUUUGGAGGUUUGUAGUGAGACAAAAGAGGUUAGUUGGUUUUAACUUGGCCUUUUGGUAUGUCCUUGACUCUUUGGUAAUUUGAUUAGGCGAGAUGAGAAACCGGUGGAGUUGUUCAAAUGGUUCCACGUGGCCUUUGCAUGCUUAAGUUAAAUUUCGGCUGAGGAAGGUGUCAAUAAAGAUUCAUGAACGACUUAGUAGAAAUAGGUCACUUCAUAUUCAUUUUUCUCCCAAACUACUUGUGCAAAUUGGAUUAUUUUGGUUUCAAAAGUUCACAAAUUAAGUCUAUUUUCUAAUUUGAGGCUGUCAAUUUAAUUUGAGAGAGGGAAAGCUGAGUUUGAACUAAAAGAAGAGAGGAAGGUCAUUCUCCGGUGAAAUCUGGAAAAUAUUUACUCUAAAGAGGAUACAAGAUGUAAACAAUUUUGAAAAACAAUUUUUCUUAAUUAAGAAAAAGCCCAACAUGUUCACGUUGUGGGCUUAUAGUGUAAAUAUUUUCGCGUCUUGUUCUGUGAAGUUUGACAGUAUAUGGUUCCAUCUCAAAAUCAAUUGGUCAUGGAAGGAAUAACCCAUCUAUGUUAUAUGGAGUAUGAGUCUAGUUGAUUUUUCUAAGGUGAGACUCUCAACUUCUCCAACAUGUUCUAUUUUUGAAAAAAACCCUUAUAAUUAAUCAAUGACAAUCUAGUUAUAAUUAUUAAAAUAACUAAUUAAUUUAUGAAACUAAAGUAGUUAAAUUCAAGAAUUCAUAAAUGAAACAAAUCACUACAAUAUUUACAACUUGGAUAAUAAAAAUAAAAAAUUCAUGAAGUUAGUAAAAUAUUUUUAUAAAUUUCAUAUUUGUCUUUGAUAUUGGGAAUGAUUUGUCACUUCUAUUUCUUUUUCUUGUUUUGCGAUUUAUUCAUUUUCUCUUCUAGAUUUCUUCAACUCUUCUUCCAGAUUUUCUUUCUUCUAUUUUUAUUCUUCUUUAUCUUUCUUUCGGCUCCUCUUCCAGAAUAUCACGAUAAUUUAAAUAUCACUUUCAUAUGAUUUAAACAAUUGUUUACAUAGUCAACACGAUCGUUUAGAAUUGAAGUCAUUUUCUCACUAUUUAAAAAGAACUACACGAUUGUGUGAUUACGAUCUAAAUGAUUGCUUACCAUAGUCAACAUAAUCAUUUAGCGUGGCCAACUCGAUCGUUUAGCUUUGAAGCAUUUUUUCCAUCGUUAAAAGAAACUACACGAUCAUGUUGAUACUAUCUACACGAUCAUGUAUCAUUUUUUACAUGGUCGCAUAUCAUUUUCUACACGAUCGCAUAUCAUAAUCGUUUAGCAAAAGAAAUAUGCACGUGCGUGUUAACAAAAACAUUUUUUAUAUUUUCCAUUGUGGGUCGAUGAACUAACUUUAUUCGUUUUCAAAAUUGUUAUAUUAGGUGUAAAUAUUUUGCUAGUUAGAUUUUUUUAAAAAAAAACCCAUAAUUCAAAUAUAAUAAUUAAAAAUUUAAAUUUAUUUCUAUAUUAUAAAAUCAAACUUAUAAACAGUGAACUACUCGAAAUAUUUCAUAUUUGAUUUUUAUGAAUGAUACUAUAUUUUGUAAAUAUCUUGAAAAUGAUUGAUUAUCAUGUAUAAAUUAAUUUUUUAAAAGAGUAUAAAAUCAAUGAAUUUAAAUAAUAUAUAAAAUAAAAGAAUAUAUGCAUGAAUUAAAAGAGGAAAGAGAGUAGACAUUUAGAAAACCCACGCUUUUGGAUGGGCAUAACUCAAGGGUAUAAAUUAAAAGAUGCAUGAAAUAGCUUAUUUCCAUGUCUAAAGCUUCAAAACUUGAACCAAAAAAGAGGAUAUGUAUCCCAUACCUACUCUCAUCCUCCAAUCCUACUCUCAUCCUCCAAUCCAAACAACUCCUUAAUAAGUUUGGUUUUGUCUAUUUGCCACUGGACAAAGAUCAAUGAUUGGCUGGAUAAGUUGUGAUUGGGGACCUUUUUAGAAAAUAAAAAAUGUACAAGGUUAGGCGACACCUGAUUCAAGGUAAGGGUUGGGGUUUUGAGGGAUUGCACGAUUAGUUUGAUACAUUUUAGGAGCUAUUACUUUAAUUAGAUACAGGAUGGUCUUCUUCUAAUAAUUUUCCUUUGUGGCAAGGGAUUCUCUCCACCACCUUCAGCCCCUAAGUGGUUCCUUUUCCUUAUAAGAAUAUAGUUCUUUCUGUUUUAUAUAAGGCAAAAGAAAUAAGAAAUAAGAAAUGAGAAUCGUUCUAUAUUUAUUCAAGAAAUCAAAUUGUAAAUCUAACAACAUUUUAAAACAGAAACGAGACAGUAUUCCAAUACCAAGGUUAUGAAUAGAGGUCGUGGAACCUUAUUUCGAGACCAAAAACAUGUAAAUCAGAAGCUAGUAAGAAGGAUCUGUAUACGUUCCAAGCUUACUAAGAAAUAAGAGCAUGAUGAAGCCAAAUCCAAGGGAGCAGAAGUCUACGAGUAGCUCACUUCUGGCGCUUGUAUAUUUUACCCAAGAAAGACUUGAGAACCGCUUGAAUUGCUUUGCUGGGUUGAGCUUCAAUGGAGGCAUUCAGUUUAGCAUAGCUCUGACUCUCAUACUCUGCAAAUACACCCUACCCAAAGGAAACUAUAAUAAGUAACUGAAAGAGAAAGGACUGAAGUUGUGGAGUUGCGACCCUGGUUUUUUGGUUCCAUCAAUAAUUUAGAUGCUGAAUUUUUGAGUAAUUCACAGCAAGUAUGCAAAAAAGUACUUAAAUAUAAAAAAUUAAAAGUGUUUUAACUUCCUUCUCUGAUUCUUCUAAAAUUUUGCAAAGAAACUGGUAAGAUUAAUGUGCAUAGAAAACAAACAAGGAAUUUAAAACGUCAUAUUUUUCCUUGUUGUAAAAUGAGUAAGGUUUUAGUUUUUAUGAUGUAAGGUCAGACCUGAAGAUCGAGAUCCUUGUAGAUGGCCUUUACUUUGGCCACAUUUUCUGGGUCUGGUUUCCCAUAAGCCUCCUGGUAAAACAAAAAAAUGAAGCAACUUCUUGCAAGACAGAUGAGAAAACAAUCAAGGAAUUUAAAACGUGACAAUUACAUGUAAUAACUUCUUUUGAUUGUCGUUGCAUAGCUCCAGAGCUUUCACAACCAACCAAGAGCAUUUAAAAUCUUCAAUGUCUGUUCCCACCUGACAACAGUUGAUUCAAGAACUUCAUGAAUAAAAGAUUUGUCAGAACCGUGCAAGGAGUGAAAAGUUCAACAAGAACAGGGCAUGACUCACCUUUCCUAUGGUUUCAGGAUCGCCAAAACAAUCUAGAUAAUCAUCCUGUUCACAUUAUCACAAAGUCACAUGACAAGAGAUUAAAAGAACACACACAAAAAGAAAAAUUUUCUACUUGAGAAAAGAAUUAAAAAAAACUUCGAGAAAAUGGAGCGAAGUUUAUUCUUGCACCUCUUGAAGACAAAAGCUAAAAUCCUCGGAUUAAAAGCAGAUAAGCAUUUAUGUUUGAAGAUGUGGUUAAAGAAGAUUAAGAGAAUGUUUUUGAAUCAAACAUCGGCUUAAACAAACAUUUCUUAAAAAACCUAAGUGUAGUUCAGAUAAUGUGAAUGCGACCUCAACCCUAAGAAAUCUAGAGAAAAUCAGAAUCAUUAAUCAACCAUUCAAGUGAAGGUAAUAUACCUGAACUUGAAAAUAAACACCCAUCUGAACAAGAAUGUCCUUAACUGCAAUAUGAUUCUCAAGAUCUUCACCUGCCAUAACCAGUGCACAAGCAACCUGCAAUCAUGACAAAAACAGCUCACGGUCAAUCAAAUCUAUCACAAACAAUACUGAGUAUUUUAUUAGAGAAAUGAUCUGCAGAAUAAAACUUCACACUAUGUAUUUUAUAAAAAUGGAUAAUGCAAAGCCACCAAAGAAGCUACUAAUUCUUCAACCACUUCACACACACUGCUUUCUUAAAGUGGAGCAAGGAAAAGCUACUCACCGGAAGGUAAAAUGAAUAAUAGGCAGUCUUGUACUGUACAAUGCGCCGAUGACUACAAAAGUUACAUUAUAUGUGCAUUAGAAAGCACCCCAAAAUAAUAUAUGAAAGUGAAAACGAUUGAAAUGUUCCUGGUUUACUUGUUCUUUCACACAUAUAGUAUGGCAUAUACCGUUUUGACUUUAUUGCCCCAAUUAAAGAAACCAGAAAAAGGUUUUGAGAGUUGAAACUUACAGUGAUAGUGCAUAUUUGGAAAGAUCUUUUUCUCCUUCGAUGGUGGUUAUCAAAUCAAUCAUUUGUCCUGAUGCUGUUUGAAACUCAACCUAUUUGAACAUAAAAACGUGAAUGUUAGCAUGUUAUUAGAUCAAGAUUGGAAUAAACCCAUGUUAGUCAUUGCCAAGAAACUACCUCGUUAAAUAAAUCGAGCAGAUCAACGUAAUAUGGCUUCCCUUUGAAGUGAUUUUUGAGCAUUCUAGGAAUAUGAUUUCUAAGAAGAACUCCAUCGUUUACUGCAAUCAUCCCAACCUACCAAGAAAACCUAGAACUGUUCAGCUGUUAGUGCAAUAACAGUUACAGAUUGAAGAAUGCUAUACAUUGUUUCCUAGAAAACCUUGGGUACUCUAAACCAGCAAGGUUGACCACGUCGUGUGACAGAGUUAUCCAUAAUAUCAUCGAGAACAAGAAAAUAAGCCUGGAGCUGCAGAGAUUUGAGAAAAUUCAUGAGGAUGUGGAUAUCAUCUUGUUUAUCAAUCCUCCAAGCAGGACAACAGAAUGAAUCAUAUAGUUAUAUCUUACCCAUUCAAUACACCAACCAAGAACACUAGUAAGAAAGAUUUCGUCUUCAGUCAGCUCCUUCCCUUCUUUCAAUAAUCUAUAGCUAUCAAUAACCGAGAGCCCUCGGUUAAGCUUACCUGCAGGAAAAAUGAUUUCACAUUAGAAGUUAGCUUACUUCCUCAUAAAAAAUGUCCAUGAAUAGUCCGACAUGUCCAAUAAUAUGAUCAAUGAACAGAAUCUUUCGCAUGAUUAUUUCCCACCUCCAGGCACAUUGUAGUCCAGCAUCUGUAAAGGACCGAGAUAACAAUAAACAAAUGGGAAUAUAAACUAGAAUCAACUGUAAAGGACCGUGAUAACAGCAAACAAAUGGGAAUAUAAACUAGAAUCAACAGUUAACUAGAAACUAUGUCGAUGGAUGACCAAAAGCCUAGUAAGACAGAAACUGAUUGGACUGAAUAGUAUAUCAAGUGUCGUUUGUUUAAGCCCACUCAAAUGUGGACCCGAUUAAUUUGACUAGUGAAACGCAUCAUUCAAACCAUGUAAAUCUUAUAUUGCUAACCGAUGUAAACAAUAUAUAGAUCUAAGGACCUCAUUUCUCGGUUUCUUAACUGUACAAUCAAAUCUACGACUACCAUGACUGAAACACGUUCCAUUAGUUCCUUUAGCAGUUCAUAAAACAGCUCACAAUUACAAAAUUAGGCCAACAAUUUCAAAAUGGCACACGGUAAUGGAGAGCACUCGCCUUUUCAGAUGAGUUGGCUAAUCGUAAUCAAGUAAAGAGCGAAGUUAAGAAGUAAAUUGGUGGAAUUAAAAAAAAAAAAAAGUGUUACUCGUAUUAACUGAAGAAAGUGAAGAAGCAGAAUAUUAUCCCUCUAGAGUUUGGCAUUGGAAAGGAAGAAACAAAAUGGAGACAGGAAGCACAUAGAACCCAGAAGAACAGAAGGAGAAAUGGAAAAGAAUCAAAGACGUUACCCGUUCGACCCAUUGGCGAGAAGCAUCCGUAAACUCAAACGCAGGGUCCUGAAGAAGCUCAGAUUUCAGAACCGAGUAGACCUUGAGGAAGGUUGACUUGAGAUCCGCCAUAGAAGAGAGAGAAAUGAAGAAGACACAGAGAGAGAGGAAGAUAGAGAAAUGAAAAAGAAAACCUAGAAGAAUGAAGGAUCGAUGUAGCUUGAAAAUUGAAUUUCAAGGAUGGAAAAUGUUGGGAAUGCAACUUCUCAUAUGCCAGUUGAAAUUGCAAAUUGGUAGGACUAAGUGAGAGAAGGCGAGGUUCUUUCUAUUCCUCUCGGCUUUGACGAAGGGAAGGAGAGGUAUUUUAGAAUAAUAAAUAGUGUAGUAAGAAAUCGAGUGGAUCUUAAUCUCAGUUAUGAGAACGCGUGGCGAUUUUUGAUAGAGUUGAUGAUUUGAUGAUGGAUCCAGGCUUUAAGUUUGAACGAUGAUGAUGGAGAGUUUGUGAAACUGCACGCAUUGGAUAGAAGCAGGGAAAUCACGUGAUACGUUUAGAACAACCUGUUAUGAACAACGCGGAUCACAUGUUUUUGAUUUCGCGGAUUUCGCAAUUUCACGUUCAUAUGGUGGUUUCUGAACCGAACUCUUUGUUUCGGUUCAUGCCCGGUUCAGUCGGUCUUUCUGUAAUACUUUUGAUUGCUUUUUUUCGCGGUUGAGGUUUGGAAGUCCGGAUUGUCAAAUGGUUGAGUCCUGGAGGUCUUCUGAUCUGAGUAGUUGUUGGUCUAAAAAGGGGAAUGGAGAUGGCGGUUUGUGGGUGUGAUGUGUGAAGGAGGCGUGGAAGUUCAAAGAUGAGAGGAGAAUGGAUAUAGCUACGGCCGGCGAAUUGCAAAAGGAGAAGCCCGUGGUGAAAACUGAAGUCCCAAAGCUUUCAAGUGUGGGAUAUGGCCGCUGAAGAGCGCCUUCUCUUUCGGAUUCCACGUUUUCUUUUUUGAUCAAUGGUGUGCUCAACAAAGUUUACGACUAUUAUGGGUUAUGCGAUAAAAUGUGCAUUCUUAUUCAUGCAUUGCUAUAAUGAGAAUUAAACAUUGUCACACAAGUUUUCUCCUAUGACGCUUAAGUGCAAGCGAAAAUAAGUUUUCUGGUAAGUUCACGGUCGAACAUAGGAAAUUUAAACUCUUAUUUUAUCUAAUCGCGUACUAAAUGACAAAGUAUACACUAUACACUAAGGAUAUGAACAAUAUAAUAUUGGUUCUAGAUAUUUACACUGUUGUGCUUGGCUGUGCAAGAUGAACACGAGAGUAUGACAUAAUGAGAUAUGAACUCAGUGUAGGCAUGGCGGGGAAGAAAAAUCGAAUUAACUAAAGGCCGUGAUUAAUGUUUUAAUACUUUGGGUGACCUAAAACAUGUAUUAACUAAUAAUUAAUAAGGCGAGCAACAUCUCGGUGCUUCAGUCGUACUUACUCACCUUUCGUGAUACAAUACUCAUGAAUAAGCUAUGAUUUAUAUCUAACAAUCUUAAAUACAAUAACAGUAGCUAAUUUUUACUUGGGAUGUACACUUUUCAGUGCUUUCAACACACUCACCAACCUUUAAGUGAUGUAUGCAAAGGAUGAACUUGGCAACAAGAAUGCACGACUGCAUUCUUUCCUCCAUCUGCUCAACUAAAAGUGGUUUUCACUUGUUUAUUGAUUACGACCUCUACUCAAGCCCUUCUUUUGAAUGAACAAGGUUGAGAUACCCACACUUAGCUGAGCAGAACUCUUACUGAAUUUAUUAUGAUUCUCUGAAUAUCACAAACAUCAAUUAUUACUGUUCAGUCAACCAACUAUGUAGAUUUGGGUAGACAAAAAUAUGGGAGAAUGGAAGAAGAAAAGCAUUGUUUUCAUAGAUAAUAUGUUAAGUUUUUCAGUCAUCAGGUUUGCUUACAAAACAAUACAAUAUAAAAAUUACAAGAUGGAAAAACAACAGAUGAGUUACGCCACAGAGUUGAUCUCUCAUACUAUUUGGCUCUGAUUUUUGUCUAUAUCUGAGGGGAACAAUGGAAGGGAUGGAUCUCUCUCUUCUUUAUUGUAGGCUUUCAUCUAAAACUCAAGGGAAGGGAGAUGAAUGGGUGGAGGGAGGAGCUUGCUUUUCCGACCAAAAUUGCACACCGAUUAAGGAGUAAGACGCUUUAUUUAUAUACGAGGACUGAUGUUGACAAGCUGCCAUGCUCCAUUACAACCUCUGAAAAGCUGCAAUUGGCCUUGCUCAAACGUCCUUUUGUUGUUUCUCUGAAUUUUCUGCCAACCGAUUUUGUCCCUGUUGCCUUAAUCACAUAGCUUGUACUUUUAUUUCCGCAAAGGUUGGGCUGGACUUCUCAUAGAAACAUAUUCUCGCCGAGCUUCAUUCUUUUUCGCCUAAAACAACCUGCGACAAGAGCACUAAAUACUAGUGAAUCAGGGAUAAGGUUCUAUUGUAUUAUGUGAUUCGCAAGUUAACCAAAUCGCUAAUUUUUUCCUCUAUUUUCUUCUCUUUCCAUGCGAUAAGACCUCAUUAUUUUACUCAAAAUGCUACAUAACUUGUAUUUCUACAAAUUAUCACGUACUCCCAUUAAUUUUUAGAUAUAUAUAUCGAUCAACAACGUUUUCUCUAAAUCCAAAAGAUGUGAUGUGAUAGAAAUACAAGAAUGGCCGUGAAAGAGAAUCGAGAUGGAGCACUCUAAUUUCAUCUAAUUAACAUGAAAUUGAAAAUUAAGCAAAAAUAUUAUUUCAAGAACACCAACCUUUGAAUUUGAAAUUCUCCUUCGGUUCUUCAUCGUUUUCGUCGAUUUCAAGUCGUGGACGACCAUAAGAGUCUUCUCUAAUAUUCUUUGUGAUCUUUGGAACGCAAUUUUUGUGAUUGAAUCUGUGAUUGAUUUUAUGUAUCUUUUAGAGAAAACGAAAAGUAUAAACACUUCAUAUUUUUCUCCAAAAUUUUCUCAUUCACCUCUCUCUAUUUCUCAAUUAAGCAAGUAUAUAUAUAUAGAAUUAUCAUGAAAAAGUAAUUCAUAUGGAAUUGACACUUAAUUGAUGAUCAGAUGAUCAUUAAAAUUUAAAACUAUUUGAUUUUCAAAUAUUGAAAUUCUAAAAUUCUAUUAUUCAAUAUUAAUUAAUCUAAUUAAUUAAUAUUAAUAAAAUAAUAGUAUUAAAUUAAAUCUUGAUCAAUCCAAUUGAAUUAAUUUGAAUUUCUAUUCAAAUUUUUCGAUAUUUAAUAUUUAAAUAUCAUUUGUUUCUAAAAACUUGUUAAUAAUAAUAAUCAUUUACAAAAACUAAUUCGAACUAUUCAAAUUUUUUAUCACUCUAUUUUAAAUUUUGUUAUCGUAAUGAACUAGUAGAUAGACCUAGUAGACACAUAUAGGCUUAAACGAUGCGAGAGUAACGGUCUAAAAUCUUUUAGACCAAGCUAAUCAACAUUCGUUAACUAACAAGUCAUUCUACUAAAAUUCUAUAAUUGCACUCCUCCCACCAUAGAUAUAUUUAUGUCUACUUGAUAUAACUAUGAUUAGUAAGUUAACCAUUCACAAGUUUUUCGUAAUCUCAACUGGGUCAACUUAUCGUUUUACCCUUGAGAUUACUUCUUGUUCCUUAAGUACCACUCAUCCUCUAAUGAACAAUUGGUUUAAGGUCCAACUUAUAAACCAAAUCCCUCUCGGGCCAAUGAGAGGGUGAGACUCCUUGUUCAAGACCUAAAUUCAAUGCAUAAGGGAACAACCUAUCUAUUGACUUUAAAGUAGAGGUGUAAGUCCAACCUGAAUAACCCAACAACUCAAAUUACCCAACCUAUAUUAGGUUAACCGAAAAUAACUCAAAAGAAAAUUGAGGAUGGUUUCUAUGUGGGGAGAAACAAAACACCACCUCAAACUCAAUUCACUAAACUACAAUAAUAUCUAUCAAGAUAUAACUACAUCUUUUAGUAACUAAUUAUUGUGAACUUAUACAUUCAUACGUUUUUUUUAACUCAACCUAUUAAAAUCAAAUGAACAAAGUCCUUUCAUUAACCCAAGUCAUAGUUAAAUACAAAUGGGUAACACAAUAGUAUUAUAGAUGUACGUCUUGAACUCUAAACAUAAACAUCAUGCACAGUCUCAUUCCUUCAAUACAAUCCAUAAUAUUGUACGCUACUCUCUAGCAUACAAAUAUGGAGUACUGUUUUUAGAUUUUAGAACUAUACCUCUCUGUAUGAAUAAACUUCACAAUGAAAUUAAACUCACUAACUUAACCAUUACAAACUUACAAUGCCAAAUUAAACAAAAAAAAAAAAAAAAAAAGAUGAAACUUGGAACGAAUCACAUAGCUUGAAGUUAGUUGAAUCGAGUUACCUUAGGAGUUUUCGAAAUCGUUGCACAACAUUUAAGUAGUCGAAACACGAGCCCAAUCGACCAAACAAACCCAAACCUGUUUGGUGGUGGUGAUAGAAGCUGGACGACAACAAAAAUUCUGGAAUUUGUGAGAUGAAAUCGAUAAAGAAGAGAAGAAAACAUUAGAAAAAAGAGGAAAGGGCCACUGAAGGCUUAAUUUACACUUAGGGUAAAAAAUGUCCAUGAAGUUUUAAAAUUUUCAAAAUAACCCUUAAACUUCCAAAAUGAAUUCAAAGUAUCCCUAUAGUUUUUUUUUUUUUUUUAUGGAAACCACUGGUGUUUUAUUUGAAUCGACCGAAAUUGUUAAUAUUGUUUUACCUUUUCAUUAUCCAUCCUUUUUCUCCUUCCCUUCUUCGGUAACAUCUUACUCCCUUUUACUAACUAUUUGACAUCUCUGCGAUCUGAUAGUAUCAUUCUUACCUGUACUCACAUGCAUCCUAGGAAAAUUCUCAAGAGGUCACACAACAUAGAUUCGUUCCGAGCUAUGCACACUUAACUUUGAAGUUCCUAUGAUCGAGCCACCAAAAAUGUAUUAACUUUUAGUUCUUUAGUCUUUCUUAACCUUACUUUUAUGCUUUAGGAUCCGUCUCAUUCAUAUGUGAUUUUGGUUUAUUCAUACUCCUCUCCUAAACUCAGGGUGUUACGAAGUUGGUGUAAGCUAAAAACUAAGUAAUUAAUAAAAGAAAAUACCAUAGAAUUGAUAUGAAAAAAAAUCAUGAUAUCUAUAUAAUUUGUUUUUAAAUUGAUUCUUUUCAAACUUAAGAAAACUUCAAAGAAAUCCAUGAUCACCAUUAAUAUCGUAGGAGAAUUUUUUAUUAUUUUUAUUUUUUAAAAUUUAUUUUUGUUUUGAGGAACUGGCUUUUGUUCAAAUACUAACGAUAGAUAUAUUUUUUUAACUUCUAUUAAGUUAAAAGUACUUUUAAAAUAAAACAUUAAUAGUUUUCCUCCAAAACUAACACAAGUAAUUCUUUUUAGCCCUCUUGAAAAGUUUACAAGCAUUUUUGAAAAUUUUGAAACUUUAUAGAUAUUUUUUACUCAAAAGUGUAAGGUUUAUGAACAUUUUUUUAAUAAUUUAAUUUUAUUCUUAAUCAUCGAAUUUGACUAACGUAACCUUUUUAUUCAAUAAAAGAUCUAAAUCAUGAUAAGAAAUUGAGACGAAAAUAGACUUAUUUAAAAAACAAAAAAAACAAAAAUUAAAAUUGAUUCAAAAUAAAGAUUAAUAUUUCAAAAUAUGACUUUUUUUUCUCCCCUACUUUAAUAUACUAUGUUUUCCUAACCAUGGAGUUAGACUGAGUCUUUAAAAUCAGCUUUUGUAUUUGUUUUUUCUCUAAUUAAAUAAAUAAAAUAUGACUUUUGUAUUAUUUAAUGCUGAAAAUUUUAGGCCUCCAUCAGUAACUAUUUUAUAUUUUAUUUUUGCUUUUAAAGAUGAAGUCUACAAAUAUAACUUUCCUUGUCAACUUUCUUAUAGUAUUAUGGGAUACUUACAAAUUAUUUAAUAAUUAAAUUUAAAAUAAUUAAGUAUAUAACAACAUUUAAAAAAAAUUACAAAUAUAAAAAAUUUGUCAAAUUCUAUCGAGUCUAAAAAUUGGUCUAUCACCGAUAAAUCAUACCAGUUUAUCAGUGAUACAAGUCUAUAUAGUUUUGCUAUAUUUGUAAUUUUUGUAAAGUGUGUUAUAUCCUUAAUUAUUAUUUCUCAAAUAGUCAUCAAUUACAAUUACCCUAUUAUUAUCUACUUUUUAUCAAUUAUUUAAAAACUUCCUAUAACUUGAAAAUUAAAAAUAAUAGUAGCUUUUAAAAUUUAGUUUUAGUUUUUCAAACUUGGUUAAAAAUAAGCCAUCCAUAAAAUAGAAAGCAAAAAAAAUGAAAGGAUUAAUCAAACAUAGUUGCCUGAUUUUUUUUUAUUAAUAAAUUAUAGCAAUUUGAAAAUUCUAUUAAAAAAAAAAAAAAAACCCUCCAUUUAGCCAUAUAAUUUUAAUUAGCUCUAAUCAGCAUUAAAGCUAUCUUUUAGAAGUUAGUUAGUUGUUGGCUUAAUUAGGUUUAGCUUAAAAGGUGGCUAAAGAAAUAAUACAUAAAAGAACUCAUUAGUCACAUGUUAAAAAUUGUACAACCCAAAUUCAUUGGCUGCUAUUCUUUUUUUUUUUUUUUUUUUUUUUAACUUUUUGGCAUUCUAAAUUGAUUAUUCAAAUUUGUACAUCUUAUCCAUAUAUUUAUUUUCACAUAAAUCAACUUUAAAACCCUACCUUUCUUUUUUAUAUUCUUCUCAUUCAAAAAACACAAAAAUUAAUCAAAAUGAGCAGAGGAAUGGGUUCUCUUACAUGUCUCUUCCUUAUCGGAUCACUCUUCCACGUUGUUGCUAUCGACCACAAGGUUGGAGGUGAUUUUGGUUGGAACUUACCCCCAACUCUCACAUUCUAUUCUGAAUGGGCUCGUAAUAACACUUUCUUCAUCGAUGAUACUCUAAGUAAUUAUAUUCUUAAUGUCCUACUUUUAAUUAUUUUCAUUUAUUUUAACUAUUUUGAUGGUUUGUUUGGUAAUAUUCAUUUCUCAUUCAUCGUUGUUUAAAUGAAAUUGUUUGAGUAUAUUGAUAAUUCACGUUUUUUUUAACAAAGUUAUGUGAAAUUUUAAAUAAAAUAAUUGUAAGAACUUAUUUUGAAAUAUAGUCUUUAAAAUUCAAUGUAAGAAAUUUUGUGAAAUCCAUUUGGUUAAAAUACUGUUUUCGUUCAAAGACUUUGGAGCUUAUUUAGCUUAAUCACUUUUAAAUGUUAGUUUAGUCUACAUGUUUUUCAUAAAUCUUAAUUUUAAGUUCUUCAAACUUUUAUAUAUAUAUAUAUAUAUAUAUAUUUUGAAAUUAAUUAAAAAAUAAAGAUACUUUUGAAUGCAGUUGUUUCAAAAAUAUUAAAAAUGUGAGUAUAAAAUAAUUUUAUUUGAAAAAAGUCAACAAUAUAAAUGGAUUUGAAUUUCAAACGUUGAAUUGAGAACGAGAAAUAAAAGUGUUAUCAAACAAACAUUAAAUGGCUCAAUCAAAACAUGACUUUUUUUUUAAUGUAGGAUUUGUAUCAAGACUGAAUGAGACACACACUUUCUCUGAAGCAAAUUCUAAGAAGGAUUUUGACGAGUGUGUAAAGCAAGGAAUAGUUUUCGAUACUUCAAUAAACUUUACCUUACAAAAUAACCGUCUUGGUCCUCGUUAUUUUGUUUGCACAGAUGGAAACCAUUGCGAUAUGGGUAUGAAAUUUACCAUUGAAGUUUUACCCAAAUCAGUAAUUAUGCCAAACACCGCAGUAGAAAAUGGUGUGUUGAGGCCUAUACUUUUCUUCAUCACUAUUAUCGCUAAUCUCGUCUUUCUUUGAGAGCCCAACCUAGCCAAUCAAACCAACAUUGUUUCAAUAAUAUUCUUAUUAGUAAUUAAGGAAUCUAUACUACAUUCAAUUGUUUGAUUGAAUUUAAAAUUUAAAUUAUAUAAAGUAUAUGUUUUUCAUUUCUACAUUUCAAUUUUUAACGAUCUCGUCGUGUAUUUUAUGGUUCUUAAAUGAGAGUACUCAUAAUUUAGAGAUCCGUAAGAAUGAUGUUAUUAAGAAUUGCAGUGAUGACAUUUCUACGAUGGUGUCAUUUUUUUUUUGACAAAUAACUCAUCUACAUUUUAUUCAAUGAUAAAUUAAGUUUUAACUUUUAGACUUUCGAACGUGUAUUUAUAAUUAACAAAAUUCUUAUCUCUAAUGCAAGAUAGUCACAAAACCUUAUUGGAUACAUGAUAUUUAUAAUUGAUGAAUAUUUAUUUAACAUAUAAUAUUUUUAUCUAAUGCAACUUAAGUCUACUUUUUCAUUAAAUUGUUCAAAACAAAUUAGACUAAAGUUUGGGCAUGUAUGUGAAGACAUUAUGAUUAGAUCAUAAUAAUAAGUAUAGAAAUUGUUACAAACUAAACCAGAUGGAUAGCAUUUUUAACAUUAACCCUUCCAAAAUUCACUACUACAAAUUUGGUCUUCUCAUAUGCACACAAAUUUUUCAUGACCAUCAAAAAAAUAUUCUUUUUGAUACAAUGUUUAUCUUGACGGUCAUGUACGUCAAGGAAAACUCUCUUGUAUCUUAUGUUGAAGAAAUACGAAAAAACAUAAAAAAAUAUGGAUUUUUAUUUACUUAUGAAAAAAGUUCUCUUAGUUUUGUUGAUGGUCUACAAACGUCGAAAAAACUAUUUCUCGAUGAUGUACAAUAAACAUUAGAGAUAAUAUAUUAGUUGAUUGGUAAUACCCAUUAAGUUAGAUAGACAUUGCCCAUCAUAAAAAAAAUUAAUACAUUUGUUUUGGAAUUUUCGAUGAGUUUAAAAUUUUAUUGAUGAGUCUAGGGUUUCUUGAUGAACAAAGACAAAAAAAAAAAAAAAAAAAAACAUCAUAGACAAGGUCCAUCGAGAUUUUUUUUUUUUUUAAUUAUGGGUUUAGGAUAAGAUCGUGGACAAGACCUAUAGAAAAUGAUAUGCCCAUAAAAAAAAUAUUAUUUUCUACUAAGCACGAAAUUCGAACCCUCGAUAACAAACUCAUAAAACACGAUAUUUAUCAAUAAUAUUCUUAAAGUUUUACUAUUUUUUUAAAUUAUUACUGUUUAUGCAUCAAUAAUACAAUAUUGUUUUUUUAAAAAAAUUAAAUAUUGUAAUUUAAAAUUUUUAAAAUUUGUAGAAGUUGUAGAACGUAGUUUAACUCAACUGAGAACAAUAUAUAUAUGGACAAGAUGUCUUGGUUCAAAUUGGGUGUGCACUAUCAAAUUUAUAAAUUUGAAUAUCAAUCUUACAAAUAAAUAAGUAAUUUUGGGUGUUACAAUAUCAACUAACAAGAAAAGUGGUGUAUUUUUUGUGACUUCUCUGCGAGCAACAGCCAAGACCUUAUACUCCGAUGACCCAUCCUUGCGCAUCAGAUUGACGUGCUCUUGCACUUGCCUUGCUCCACGAUCCAUGCGACGGCGGUGAUUUGAUUAUAUGUUGUUUAAUCAUUGAACUAAUCUUUAGAGUUUGAAUAUCUGAAGUAAGAUUCUUCUUUCGGGAAAGAUAGCGAAGCUGUUAUUAUAUUCAGCCCAGAAGCAUCCUCGCUGGGUCCUUGAAGAACACUUCAUUUCUCUGUUACGAUCAUGUAAGACAGUUGCGCUGCUUCAGAAAGUUCAGGCCCAGAUUAUUACCCAUGGUUUUCAAUACAAUGGAUAUGUAGCUCCCAAUGUGGUAACUUCAUGGGUUGGUUUGAAGCAAAUGGCUCAUGCUCGCCAUCUGUUCGAUCAUUUUCCCGACCCAAAAGUAGAGCUUUGGAAUGCGAUAUCCAGAGGGUAUUUCCAUAACGCGUUUUACAGGGAAGUGGUUUUCUUGUUUGGGAAAAUGAAGAGCAUGGACGUGAGACCCAACUGCUUCACAUUUCCUCUUGUCCUCAAAUCUUGUGCGAAGAUCGGAGCAUUUGUGGAAGGUGAAGAGAUACAUUGUGAGGUGAUUAAGGGAGGUCUUGAAGGGAACCAAUUUGUGGCUACUACGCUGAUCGAUGUGUACUCUGGUGGGAGGGCAAUUGGGUCUGCGUACAAGCUGUUUGUUGGAAUGCUGGAGAGAAAUAUAGUUGCUUGGACUUCCAUGAUUAGUGGCUACAUUUUGUGUAAUCGUGUGGCACUCGCUCGAAGACUUUUUGACUUAGCACCGGAACGUGAUGUUGUGCUGUGGAACAUUAUGGUGUCUGGUUAUAUCGAAAUAGGGGAUAUGAAAGCUGCCAGAAAGCUGUUUGAUACAAUGCCAUACCGAGAUACGAUGUCUUGGAAUACAAUGCUGAAUGGUUAUGCCAAUAAUGGGGAUGUUGAGGCUUGUGAGCAGCUGUUUGAGGAGAUGCCUGAGCGGAAUGUUUUCUCCUGGAAUGGAUUGAUUGGAGGAUAUGCUCAUAAUGGGUGUUUCUUUGAAGUAUUGCGUUGUUUCAAACGGAUGCUAAUAGAUGGCCUUGUUGUUCCCAAUGAUGCCACCCUUGUCACUGUUCUAUCUGCUUGUGCAAGAUUAGGAGCUCUUGACUUGGGAAAGUGGGUGCAUGUAUAUGCUGCGACAAUUGGGUUUAAAGGAAGCAUUUAUGUUGGAAACGCAUUGAUAGACAUGUAUUCAAAAUGUGGUUUGAUAGAGAAUGCAAUGGAAGUUUUUGAAAGCAUGGAUUUAAAAGAUCUUAUUACUUGGAACUCUAUGAUUUGUGGCUUGGCAACCCAUGGAUGUGGGGCAGAUGCAUUAACUUUGUUUCACCAGAUGAAGAUCAAUGGCGAAAAACCAGAUGGAAUCACCUUCAUCGGGGUGUUGUGCUCCUGUACCCAUCUUGGGUUAGUUGAAGAAGGCACCUCUUAUUUCAACUCAAUGGUCAAUGAAUACUCAAUUGCGCCUCAGAUUGAGCACUAUGGUUGUAUGGUUGAUCUAUUUGGCCGAGCAGGUCUUUUGGACCGAGCAAUUGAGUUUGUGAAGAGGAUGCCAAUGGAAGCAGAUGCUGUCAUCUGGGCUGCUCUACUAGGUGCAUGCAGGAUUUACAAAAAUAUAGAUUUGGCGGAGUUAGCUCUUCAAAAACUCAUUGUGCUUGAACCCAAAAACCCUGCAAACUAUGUCUUGCUAUCAAAUAUUUAUGGAGAUCUUGGUAGAUGGAAAGAUGUUGCACGGUUGAAGAUUUUAAUGAGGGAUACCGGGUCUAAAAAAUUGCCAGGAUGUAGCUUGAUUGAGGUGAAUGAUAGCGUUGUUGAGUUUUAUUCUUUGGAUGAAAGGCAUUCUCAGAGCAAGGAAAUCUAUGGAGUCUUAAAGGGAUUGAUGAAAUUGUUAAGAUCAUUUGGGUAUGAACCAAAUAUGAUGGAACUCCUGCAGGGAUCAUGAGAACCAAAGGGCCACAUGGAAAUGCCUUUUGAGUGUCCGAGAUGGUGUCUUAUGUAGCUGCAAUUUCUUUCCAUACUGGUUAUACUGCUGUAUCAACUAAUAUUUAAUUUAACCUCAGCUCUGUUCAUGGUGCCGAACUAAUCUAACUACAAACUAAUAUUUAUUGAUUGCAGUCUUGGAAGCUAUUAAAACUUCCAACUGCUGUUUGUAAUCCUGUGAUUGAUUUUCAGAUACCCGCCCUCAGUAGAAAUAAAACUCUCUCAAUCUUCAUUUUGCUUUCACUUUUUUGAAUCAUUGUCCUGGAGUUCGGCCUCAUCGAACCUCGUCUAACUACUUGACUUUAUCUGAAUACUUUUCCUAAUUUUAUUUUUCUUCUCACACCUAAUGCGCAGAGUUGAGAUAUUUGAUUUUUACAUUUAAUUUUAGUGUUGUUGGUGCUCUACUUUGCAAUAGAGAAUCAUCGGUUGUGUCAAAGAUGUUGGGAAGAAACAAGACUUUGCUCCUACUCUCAUUCAUCACUACUACAAGAAAUUCUGGUAAAUUCUUAUUUAUUUCCUCUACACAGCAGUCUGCACGCAAAUUUUUUGUUGUGUUAACUGAUGUUCUGGGAUUCUAAAACAUACGAUUUUUUGAGUUUUGAUAUUGUAUCUUGUAUUAGCACAUACGAAAAAUACCCUAAAUUCUUAGGGUAAGCUUUUGGGUAUCUCAAAUGUCUAAGAUAUUCAUAUGAUAUCAGGUUGUGUUUGGACUCUUCUAAUUAUCAUGUUUUCUCCAAUCAAUAUUCAUAGAUAACUUGCAUCUCAUGUCAAUCUCGAGUCUAGGGUGAAAAGUCAGAUCACUAUAUCAAUAUCCAUAAUGAUAGGAAUGUUAUGAAGAGUGUAUCGGUAAUUAGUUAGGGGAUUUAUCAGUCUUGUUGGCUGUAAACAGACACUACAGCAACAAUAGCCAUUGGUUACCAAAAGAAGGAAGAAAAAAACAGCUAUUGAAAAGAUGUAGAAAAAAUAGGCGCCAGUUGAAAUUUACAUUUCCUUCUCAUUUAAAAGUUAAAUUCACUUUUAAUUGGCAUUUCCCUUUUCAUUUCACUUUCUCUCUUUCCCCUUGGAAAUUGCAAGCUUCUCUUAGUCUCUUCAUUAUGGUUGCCUUGGCUGUCGUUUCCUCCAUUGUCUCUACUUCAAACAAAAUUCUAGCCUCAUCCUCAACAUGGUUGACUGCCAUCCCUCUGCAAUGGGCCCAUGACCAUCCUCAAUGCUGAUUGAUUCCGACUCCUUUGCCAAGUCUUCAAGACAACGAGCAAUUAGACAUCAUCCUUAAUGGCUAUAAAGGCCCACUCCUUUCAAAAUUCUCUCAUACUUUCUGCACUGCAACAAAAAAACCCUUAAUUUCUCUCCUGUAUGUAGUGCUUCAAGAACGCCGUUGCAAAGUUCUGCUCCUAUUGCUUCUAAUGUUAAAUGCUAGUCAAAUUCGUCAUAGUUGCUUUUUUAUUCUGCUCCGAAAGAAUCCUAGAAAAUCGAAUCAAUCUCUCUCACGGUUGUAUAGCUUCAUUGGAUUUGCAAAGAGAACCAACGUUGAGGUACUUAUUUAUAGAAUUCAUGGGUCUUUGUUCUUUUUGAUGCCCAAUCCUUCCUAUGUCUACAAUCACCUCCCUGCAGAAAUAAAUAGGUUUUAGUUUGACUUAGUUUCAUAGAAGAUUGGAAGAAAUUAUGUAAUUUUUUUCAAGCAUGUGGAGAUUAUCUCUCAUAUUUGUUCCAUUUUUUGUUGUUGACUUUUGUGAAAUCUAGGGCUGGACAUCUUUCUCGUAGUAAGUAUUUACUAGUCUCUCUUCCAACCAAGCUGUUUGUCUACAUAUUCAUUACUACGUAGGUGGGACAAUGGUUGUCAAGAAUAUGAUGCUAUUAUUUCCAUUAGAUUAUUAUUUACUUCUUGUGAGCUAUUAAGCAUGAGGAGUUCAGUGAGCAAGUAAAGAAAUUGUCCACAAAGUUAUUGGCAAAAGAUGACCAUCUCAGUUGGUCGCAAAGGGGACAAACAAUGCUAAAAUUUAUUGUGGGUUGAUUUUUGACCGGAUGUAUUGUAUAAUUUGUACUAAUAAACAGACUAACUCGUGAUAAUUGAAAUUUUAAUUACAGAAUAUUAUGGUGAAUUGUGGGUGAUUUGUUGUGUAGUUUUUUCUGUGUGUAUAUUGCACUAAUAUUCUAGUUUAUGUCAAGUAAUUGUGCAAUAAAAAAAAAAAAAAAACAGAAGAAAAACACUUGGCCUUAGAUGAUUUGUAGGUGUAAAACCAGUUUUCUUAUAUUUUGACAUGUUUGAGAUGAAUUUUGAAAUGAUUAGUCCAUACUUUUUAAAGGCUCACUAAUUCAUAUUCGGUAGGGAAGAGAUUAGUUAGUGUUUUUUUUUCACGACUUGAAAUUAUGUUACUUUCAGAUUUUGAUGCUCAUCUGGAUUAGAAUGAUGAUAGAUCCCAUAGUAAAGGUGUACUCAUAUGUAGAAAUAAAAGUGGGAAGAAAAAUAAUGAUUGGGAAUUGGUAAUUCUAAUUGUGUGGACCCUUAGGACUGUGUUUGUUAGAGAGAGGCUAAGUAUUCUCUUUAGAUAUCUAGAAGUGGUAAUUCCAAGUAUUUGCCUAUUUACAUGUCUAGUAUGGUAAGAGGAGGGUAUCUUCUUCCUGAACUAUUUUGGUGUAGAAUUCUCAAUAGAGAAGUGGAGAGAGAUUGUGGUGCUCUCAAAUCCUUCUUUACCUGUUGAUAAAUAAAAUUGAGGUUGAGACCUCACAAUUUUGGUAUCAGAGCUAUCGUUUCUAAAAUGGUUGGUAAGAUGAAAGUUAGGGUGAUCAAACUGGAAGCAAGUCUGGUGGGAGUAACCACAGGGAUGACCGAGAUAGAAUGUAGAGUAGAAACAAGGUUCUUGCAAGUAGAAGAAUGAAAGUUAGCAUUUGAAAGGAAGAUGGAAACACAAUGUGGAGAAGCAGAGAUUUGAAAGAUAAUGACAUAAGAGAAGAUUGAGGAUAAUCUUUCAAAAGAUAAUGACAUAAGAGAAGAUUGAGGAUAAUCUUUCAAAAUUGAACGAGGAUUUGAAAUUGUUGGUGCAAGGGAUGGGGUGAUUGGAAGUGCAUCGAAAGAGUCUAUCUCGAGUGAAAAAACUAUCACAGACAAAGGAAAGGGAAUAAUGAAUGAGAAACAAAAUUAGGGAGAAAAAAGUGAACAAAAAACUAACCCGGUUGGGGAUGAAGAAGUUGGAGUACUGUGUGCACCAAAUCAUCGAGAGAUGCCCCUCUUCGACAUGAGGCUAUAGAAAUUGGAGGUACCAAUAUUUAAAGGGAAGAAGAAUAAAACGUGGACGGAUGGCUACAUCAUGUGGAACACUAUUUUAGGGUGAAUAGAUUGAUAGAGAGGGAUAAGUUGGAUGUAUCUGUCCUUUGAUUGAUUCAUAUUAUAGAUAUUUGUUAUGUUCUCUAUGGUCACGUCCAUGUACAUGCAUGUAUCAAGUUGAUGGAUCAACAUCCAUGUAUGAAAACGAUAGAUCGACCCUUGGGUCAUAAUAUCCUGUAUCAGUCUUAGUGAAUUGCAUAAAUACAACCUCCGCAUGAUGGUUGGUCAUAAUCAACACCAUCAAUCAUAUUACAAUUUGUAAACUAUAUAAAUUCCAAAAUUUUGUAAGUAAUUUUCUAAAAUUGAGAAAAAACAACCAAUAUUUGAAAAAUUCAAUAUUCAUGCACUUGACCAAUAAAAAUGUCAAUUUUAUAAAAAAAAUGAAAAAUGAAUUAUAUUACACCGUUUUAAGAACCGUUGGUUGGAUUCUUAGUCAAAUUUUAAAAACAAAAAGCUACUUUUUUUAGUUUUCAAAUUUUUAUUUUUUUUUUCAAAUCAUCGGUAAUAAAGAUGUUUUUUGAAAAUAAAAGUAAUGUUUGUAGACUUGGUUAAAAAACAAAACAAAUGAGACCUAAUACACUUUAUUUUAGUUUAGAUGUUAUGUUUUAAAUAUAAAAAAUUAAAUAAGUAAAUAAAAAGUUAAUAAGUAGAGUUAAUUGGAAAAAUAAGGCAGAGAAUAGAAACAACAAGAUAUUUUGAUUAUUAUAGCAUUUCAAGUUAUUAUAUUUGCAUCCGUUUAAAAAACCACUAAAUGCCAAUAUUCUUAACACCAUCUUCUUAUCGUCUAGUUCUAUUCAAACUCCCUUCUUUAAAUACUUAAUCAUCUUUUAGCCCGUAUGAUGUGGGUACAGCUCUCACACUUAAACUGAACUCAGUGAGCCUAGAGGCUAAGAUGUUAAUAGUCCAAGUGAUAGAAGAUGACCAAGAGAAACCAUAGGGCAAGAAAAAACCCUAGUAGCUUGACAUUUAAAAAAUGAGCCUAGAAGCUAAGAUGUUAAUAGCCCAAAUGAUAGAAGAUGACUAAGAGAACCCAUAUGGCAAGAAAAAACCCUAGUACCUUGACAUUUAAAAAGUUAGGUAGUGGGUCCAAUGGGUUGAACAAUCAAUCCAGGUCAAAAGGAACGGAGCGGGUCGCAGCAUUGAGAAUGUUACGAUUAACCCUAGCUGAAUUUUUUCUUCGUUGUCCAUAACUAUUGCUCCUCACGAUUCUGGUGCAAAAAAUCUGAUGUCCCAACCAUACCGAUAACGAAAUCAGGAUAAAAAAGGAAAAGGGAUUAUGUUUCAUGUGAUAAGAAAUUUAGUUCUGAUACCGUUGCAAAAGAUGAGAAUUAAACAUCAUUGCUCUUCAAGAAGGAGAAACUUAAGUGAGGGAACUGAUAACGUGGUAGAGGAAGCAUAAAGACAAUGGGACGAGGAAAUCAAUACAGAAAUAAUGAAUUUGUUGGAGACGUGAGGUUAUGGUGCUGAUUGAUCGGGAAGUUACACACAACUUUAUCUUGGUCAAUGAGCUAAAAAUUUAAGUGGAAACCUUGGGCGCAUAUGACAUUAUUUCUACAUAAGCAUGUAGAGGCUAGGCAAGAAGAGUCAAGUUGUGUUUUGAGUCUGUAUGCAGUUUCUUUUGAAUGACUAUGUAUUAAAAUUCAAUUGUACUCCGUUAUUUAAAAGUCAACUAGAUUUACUUAUUUCGUUUGGAUUCAUACUCCACAUUUAAGCCUACGUGUCAUUGUCUUAAAUUUCGCUUACUAGGCAUUAUGAUGCUAUCUCACGGAGAGACUCACAUACAGUGUCUAGACAGUCAUGUCUCCACUUGGUUGUAUGGAGUGACUUUUGGGGUGGGGGCGUGACAGUUGAGGCCGACUUGACUUGUGAGGCCACUAUUGGUUUGUUAUUUCCUUGCUCUAUUGUCUUUUUCCUCUUCAUUCCAUUUUGGUUUUUGGUCUUAGAAUCCAGCACAACAAUAACCACCAAGUCAAUCAAGUAAUAAAUAAACGACAUAGUGAAGUGAUUAGAAAAAAAUGAGUUCAAUCUAUAAGGUCAUCUAUCUAAAAUUUAAUAUUUUACUAAUUUUCUUUUAGUAUUAGAAGUGUGAAAUGGAUUUGGUAGUCGGGGUCGUUAUUAAUAAAAAAAAUGCAAGAAUUGAUACGAUUACCCAAAAAGAAUUAUCAAUACAAGAGUUAUGCAAUAGUACAAGAAAGGAAUAUCAAUUAAAGAAUUUUUAUCUAUUGUGUUGUGAAAAUUCUUCUGCCUCAAAUCCAUCCAAAUGUUACCCUAAAAAAGAAUUAUUACAAAAUGAAGCAAAUUAGUGCAAGAAAUGGAUAGAACCCACAAGGACUUUGUGAAUAGAUUUAUACAAUUCUACAUAAAAAAAACUAGAAAGAAGAUUCAAGAAUCAAAGUAAUUCAUAAAACGGAGGAUUUUGGAGUUAAUCAAACAACAAAGCAAAGAAAAACAAUUAACCCUUAACUAAUUAGUUCAAGAACAAUUGUCCUACAAUAAUGAAUAAAGAAAUAUGUAACCGUUAAGAUUAGGAAUGAUACAUGAAUGAACUGGUAUCACAUCUAAAUGAGAGGGAUCUUGACGACAUGAAAGUAAUGUUAAUAAAGAUUUAAAAGAAUUAAAAGUAAUACCUAUACCAACAAGGUGCAUCUUUCUUUUCGGUAGCUUGAUCGUAGAAACUUCAAAGUUAAGCGUGCUUAGCUUGAAGCAAUUAUGUUGAGAGGGGAAAAGCAUGUUGAAAGGACUUGUGCUGGUUUGCGGGGAGAACAUUCACUCUAAUAAGCCUUUAAGGAUAGUAAGAAUGCAUGAUGCUGCCAGAUCGAAGAAGAUGCAGGAAAAUGUCGAGGAUCUGAAUUCCAAAUCGUGGUUCGAAUCCUAGAAUUAUUGGGUGAUCAAGCCAAAAAGAAAAAAAAUCAUUUAGCAAAAGAGAAAAUUGCACAAAUAUCAAUUUAAAAAGCAAUUAAAGAUGCAUUGUCAAAUAAACUACAAAAGAACUCUCAUUUCUCAAGAAAGUUAUUGUAGUUGCUCAUAGACUUGGAGUGAAUGACAUUUCAUACCAGAUCAUACAGUAAAUAUGAGGCAUCCUAUUCAAGAUCACACAACAUAAAUAGGGUAUUCUAUUCCAGAUCACACAACAAUGAUAAGGCAUCCCAUACCAUAUCACACAAGUAUGAGACAUUAUAUUUCAUAGAUUACAAAAGAUCAUCUCAUUUCAAACUUUAUCAAGUCUCAUGCAUUCUUUCGAAAUCAUCAUUUCAAGAAAAAUUGGUUUUGUCUUUUCACAUAAACAACGUCAACAUUAACAAUAACACAUAUAAUGUGUUACACAAAAAUGCAACGUAGGACUUGGGGAGAAUGCUUUCAAAACUUUUCUUUCAUUUAGAAAAUCACAAAAUACUUCUCUUAAAUCACUCUUCAUAAUUCAUUUCGUGUUGUAUGAUCAUCUCACUUCAACCUUUAUCAAAUCUCAUGCAUUCUCGAGAACGCAUAAUUUCAUCACAUCAUUCUAGUUUAUAAUUAUAAGACCAAUUCAUUUAUAUAUGCAUUUUAAGAAUUGGAAAGCAAAAGACAAACCAUAUCAUUCAUGUUUUCAAUAGAAAUAUAUUUAAGGAUUUGAAUACAUUUUAGAAAUCCUUUUCAUUUUGAAAAUAUUUUAUGAGAAUAACCACUCAUAAUCACAAUCAGCUAGCUUUUUUGUCUAGUUCCUUAGCCAAGUGUUUCCUUGCACUUUCUUGCAAUUCCUGCCGGAUUCUCAGACUUGUUUUGGAUCUCUGAAAACCUAAAAAAUCUUCUUAAUUCUCUCUUAACUGGACUCAUGGUAAAAGCAACUUCAAAAUGACAGUAUUUCCUCUAUUAAUUUAUAGGGCUUUCUAGUAAAGUCUUCCAUAUUGAAAUAAUUAUUUUUGCCGAUAGUGAGAAGUGGUCCAAUACUAGGACGCUAAUGUCUUUGCACUAUCCUUAUCUCGAAUUUGGAUUGGACGACAAGAAUAAAUCAAUUGCCGACUUCCUUACAUGAGAAAUGGCAUAAUUACUUUCUAGUUAAGUAGGCUUAUAUUGUAACAAGGGUUCCCACGUAGUCUUUCUCUCAUCGCAUAGUUACUUCUUAUCGCAUAAGUUAUUUUCGCCGCAUGGAGUCUUAUUGCGUAAAGGAAGUUCGCGAUCAGAGUCACAAAUGUCUUUAAUAAUGUAUGAAUUAACUUAAUUAUAAAUAUAUCAAAAUUUUAUAGUCUAUCAUUGAUGGAUUGUGACAGACUCACAUAUACAUCUAUUAAUGUCUAUAAUUAAAGUAAUAGACAUCUAUAUGAGAUCUAUCACAAUUUAUUAUUGACAGAAAGUAAAAUUGUUUAUAUUAAUAAACAUUUCUAAUAAUUUUGUCAUUUAAAACAAUUUCGCUUUACAUAAAUGAAUUGUCUUAAGGUUAAUUUUCAUAUAUAUAUAAUAAAACACCAAAAUAUUUAUGGUCCGUGUAACAAAAUCAAAAAGUCUAUGAAGCUGUCCAUUUUUUUUAUAAAUAUUUCAGGUUUGCCGUUUUUGCUUUUGCAUUUCGUGCGACCCCGGUUUCUUCCUCUUCCUAUCCAUUUUCUUCAUUCUCUUCUUCUUUUGCAAUUUUUCUUUUAUAUAUAUUUUUUUGAAAUUAUAAUCAUUCUUCUACAAUUAUUAUUAUUCUUUUUCAUUAUACUUCUACAAUUAUUAUCUUUUUUUUUUUCAAUCAAUCAACAAUCUUAUAUUAUUUUUUUCAAAGUGUUAUUUGCUUCAAGAUCGUGUACCAAAUAUAAAAGAUCUUGGUACACGAUUUAUUGAACAAAAAUCGUUUAAAUCUUGGUACACGAUUGUGAACCAAGAUCCGUUUAAAUUUGGUACACGAUUGUUUAGAUCUUGGUAUGCGAUCGUGUAUUAUUUCCUACAUAAAGCACGUAUCAUGAUUGUUAGAAGAGUAAUUACACAUGAGCGUGUGUGGUUGAUGUUGAUACUACCUACAUAAUCGUGUAUCAUUUUCUACACGAUCACGUAUCAUGUGGUCGAUUAAUCGUGUGUAUGAUUGAGACAUUUUUUAUAUUUUUCAAAGUGGACCCAUUAGUUUUUUUCAUUUUCAAAAUUUUUGUAGGCAUUGUAAAUAUUUUGGAGGUUUGUUAUAUUUUUUAAAAAAACCCAAGUCUUUUUCUUUUCUUUUUGUAUUCUAACUAAUUAAUUCAAUAUUUAAUAUUUGGACCACUGUUACCCACGAAUGAUAUUUUUGGUAAGGAAUCUUCAUACUAAUCCAAAGACGUGUGAAAAAGAAAAUGUGAAUAGCUCACCUUUUUAUUUUCUUGUUUCUUUUUCCACAUUUCAAACAACUUUUCAUUUGCAUAUAUUAAAUUAAAGGAAAAAAAAAAAAAAGAAGAAGAAUAACUCAAAUAUAUAAAAAUUUAGGGUUGAAGAAUGUAAAACAGAGAGUUAUAUACACAAAAAUUUUAUAGGUCGAUGGCUCUCAAGUACUCACUCCAACUUAUUGCUUAUUCUACCCUUUCCAUGACCUUUUUUUUUUUAUUAUAAGAUGUGUUAAAAAUAUAUUAACUUCAAAAUAAAGGUUAAAUUACCAAAAAAAUACUAUGGAAUUCCAUGACUUUGGCUUUCAAUUAUUUUGAAAACCUUAAAUUUUUUAAAAAUUUUUUUGCUGUUAGUUAAAUUGAUGGAUGAAAAAUUUUAUGCUAGGUUAUGUGUUAAAGUAGAUAAAUUCUUUUAAAUACAUACUGAAAGUAAGUUUGGGAGUUAGAUUUGAACAAGAAAAAUCAUUAACAGAAAAACACAAAAUUGAUGGCUUGAGGUUGAAAGGAGGAAGAGCCAUUAUUUCUUUUACUCUGGUAUGUGUGUAGAUUUUAUUCACAUGAACAAAUACAUAUAAAUACUUUCUUUUAUGAACUUAGCGGUUAACGGAGAACAAGUGAGUUUGAAUUAGAGCUAUGUCGUAGAGGUUAGAGGUUUAAUUCAUGAUCCAUACAAGAACAAAAAAAAACAAGUGGAUUUUUUAAAUUCAACUUAAAUACACAAUGAAAAUGGGAAAUAAAAAAGAAAAGAACAGCCAAAACAAAACUAAGAGGAGAGGUAAAUGAUCUUGUAUAUAUAUUGGGAAAAAAAAGCUUAUAUAUUUGCAUGGAGAAACAAAAUAAAGCCAGAGCCAAAAACACACACAACUUCCAAACUCUUUAAUUAUAUCUUGAAUUUGGUUCCAAGUCUUGGAAAGACGGAUCAAAAUGCCAAACUUGUUUACACAAUGUUCAAAAAAGAAAAAAAAAAAAAAGAAAAAGAGGAAACUCACAAACCAUAGCGAAUGUCACUAAAUUUAGUUUUGAUCCAUUUGAAGCUGUUCUUUACACUAGACUUGACUUUGUUUUCCAUGUUGAAAACAUUAUAAGACGCAAUCCUUCUCUUUCUUUGGAGUUCGGGAUCGGCCGAGGUCGAGAACCCGGUUGCUUUCGCAGUCGGACCGUUGAAAUUGUAAGAGUUAGAUCGAGUUUGGAAACCGAACUCACCCGAGGUUGAGGAGGAGUACUUGGGGAAUGAUUUGCUCUUCUCCAUGACCUAGAACUUGGCCUUAGUUUCUUCCACAAAUUGAUCUUCUCACCACAAAAUUUAAAGGAGUUUGGGUUGGAUUGGAUGGUUUUUUAUAUAGAGUAGAUGGAGGAAAUGGAGGGUUGGGAUUAAAGGAGCAUGAUGAUGAUGGUGAUGAGCAUGGUAUAAGUUUGGUGGCAACCCAUGUGUGGUGUUGAAUGUUAUUUUUUUCUUUCAAUUUUUUGCUUUUUAAAUUUUAGAAUAAUUGUAAUAAAAUAAAUAGUGGAAUGAUGAAUACUAGUUGGGGAUGAUGGUGGUGGACCAUGGCUAAGGAUAUGUUAUCAAUGUCAAUCAAGACCAUUAUGGAGUUUCAAAAAAUAAAGAAGAGGGACCCAUAUUCGCCAACUGGGUUUUAUGAUCAUUAACUUUGUUUUCUUAAUCAUAUAAAAUAAAAAUCAGUGUGUAAUUUUUACAAAAAUAUUUGUGGGGUUAGUUUGGUGCAUUUUGAAUUUUGUCUACUAUCUUCCAAAAUUAAAGAAAGAGAAAAAUAUUACUUGUAUUUAUAUCAAAAUUAGCUCAAAAUAUUGCAACAAUUAAUAGCAAUCUUUAAAACUAAUACUAAAUAUACAAACAUUUACCAAAACUCAUACAAAAUAUGUAAAAUGGUAUUGAAUCUACAAACAAGGGCGGAUUUAUGAAGGGACGAGAACCUCUCAUUUUCUUGAUUUUUGUAUUUUAAUAUUAAUUUUGAAAUUUAAAAAUACAAUAUAUAUUAAAUAAUGCUCUUUUAAGUGUAAAUUUAGUUUCUGGUGCAGUGACUAUGUGCUUUUUGUAACUCUCACAUCUUGAGUUCCUAAAAGAAAUAUAAUUUGAUUUUUUAAAAAGAAGAUGAUUUGGUUUCGUAAAACGAAGAUAGUUUGAUUUCCUAAAAGGAAAACAAUAUUUUAAAAGAGGAAAAAAAAACCUAUAUAAGAUAAAACCCUACCUUAUUUCCUAGCACUCGUUAUCUAACAAGCUUUCACUCUAUCAACAAUAUUCCAUGAAAAAAUAUUAUUUUUUAAUUUAUAUUUUUUAUGCAAUUUUUAAAUUCACAUAUUUACAUUACUUAUGUACAUAUUUAUUUUAUUUUGUUUCAGAAUUAAACGAUACAAGAUAAUUUUUUUUCCGUUCAUCGUUAGAAUAUAAGUAUCAUAUCAAUUUACUAGUAAGUUUAAAUUCUUCUUAAUAUUUUUAGUUUUUACUCUUCAAUCUAUGUGAUAAAUCAUAAUACUUAUAUUGUUUAAUACUAAUUUUGUAGAGUAAACAUAUCAGUAUGGAGAGAUAUUUUAAAAGAAAAACAACGAUAGAAACUACAGAGGCAUCAUCUUCAAACAAGAGACAAAUACCUGAUUCUGAUAGAUCUGAUACAAAAAUCAAUUUAGAAGAACUACUUGCAGAUCCUGAUCUAAGAACUAGAAUUUCUGAAUAUAAUUAUAAUAUUCAAGAUCAAGUUCGUAGAGCAUAUCUACAAAAGGGUCCUUGUCAACCUCGGAGUCAUAUUUUUUCAUUCAAGAAAUUUGGGACAAAGUCAAGACGAUUUAAUCCAACUUGGUUUAAAGAAUAUCUUAUUUGGUUAGAAUAUAACAUUUUAGAGGAUGCUGCAUUUUGUUUAUGUUGUUACCUAUUUAAACCAGAAGUAAGUGAAGAAUCAGGAGGGGAAUAUUUUGUUAACAAAGGAUUUUUCAAUCGGAAGAAAAAAUAGAAAUUGCAAACUCAUGUUGGUGGUCAUCCAUAUAGUGCACACAAUCAAGCUUGGGGAAAAUGUGAGGCUCUUUUAAAACAAAAUCAACAUAUUGAGACUUUUUAAAAUAGGAUGUCUGACCAAGCACGAGCUGAGUAUCGAACUGGAUUAGGUGCAUCGAUUGAUUGUAUUCAAUUUUUAUUACGACAAGGUCUUGCAUUUCGUGGACAUGAUGAGACUGAUGAUUCGAAGAAUCAAGGUAACUUUCUUGAACUAUUCCGAUAGUUAUGUAACUAUAACAAGGAUAUUGAAGCCGUAACUUUGAAAAUGCUCCAAAUAAUUUGAAAUUGAUCGCACCUGAUAUUAAAAAAGAUAUAGUGAACUGCAUUACAACAAAGAUUGUUAAUAUAGUUAUAAGAGAUGUGAGUGACAAACAAUUUUCUAUUUUGAUAGACGAAUCAAAAGAUAUAUCUUCAAAACAAUUUUCUAUCCAGAGCAAACGUCAGUUGUACUACAAUAUGUGGAUGAAGGUCAUGUGAUUGAACGAUUUGUUGGAAUCAUCCGUGUCAAUAAUACAAGUGCCUUAUCACUUAAGAAAGCUAUUGAUGGUUUUUUUUCUCAACAUGGGUUAAGUAUUGCUCAUUUGAGAGGACAAAAAUAUGAUGGAACAAGUAAUAUGCAAAGUGAGUUCCAUGACUUGAAAACACUUUUUUUGAAAGAAAAUGAAUGUGCAUUUUACAUUCAUUGUUUUGCUCAUCAACUUCAAUUAGCUCUAAUAAAUACUGCAAAAAAUCAUGUAGAAAUUAUCGGUCUUUUCUUUACGGCUACAAAUGUAGUAAAUGUUAUUGGAGCAUCAACAAAACGUUGAGAUAUUCUACGAGAGAAACAUAGCAUGAGAAUUUUUGAAGCUUUAAAAUAGGGAGUAUGGCAUUGCUUUGUCUCAUAAUUUUAUUGAAUUGUGUCAUCUAACUUAAUUCUUUUAACUUUAUUUUCAAUGCAAUGUUGAUAAUUUGUGAUUUCAGAGAAGGCUUGAUGACAUACACGCAAUUUAUGCAAGAACUUGAAGAUGAGAUAUUGCCUGUUGAAGCUGAGCACAUGUAUGUUCUAAAUGUUAUUUUCAUUUCUUUGAUCUAAUUGAGUUCUCUGUGGAACUUCAUUUUUUAUUUUAGAUAUCAAGAAUACAAGUCAAAGUAUAUUACAACACACAAACAAACCUUUUUUUCACAAGAGAAUGAAGAAUGGUACUUCUUGUCUUUUACAUCCAAAUUUUCUUUCCUUUUGCCUAUUUAGGUUGAGAGACAAAUAUCAUCCAACCAAGGGUUACACAGUUAUAGUUGUUUGAUUUUGAAGUUGAUAACGAAUUGUUGUAGGAAUGUAAUUUAUUGAUGUAACUUCAUACUUAUAACUUUGGAAUUAACUUUGUACAUCCAUUUAUUUCUUGAUGUAACCAAGGGUUGCAAUAUUGUAUUCAAUGCUCUUCCUUGCCUUAUUCUUUACUAGAAAUAUUUCGUUUCCAUAUCUUUAUUUGUUGUUUCCUUCACUUUCUAAGAUAUGCAUAUAUUCAUUUUUUCUUUUGUUUCUUAAGAGUAUUUAUUCUUCUCCCAUUUUGUUACUUCCUCUUUAAUUUUUUGUCCUGUCAUAGUACGAUUUUUUUUUUCGUUCUCUGUCAAAUUUUUUCUUUUCUUUUUGUGUUGAAUAAUUGGAAAAUUUUAGGUUUCGUUGGCUUUAUUUUGUGUAUUUAAUGAGCUAUUGACCUAAUAUUCUUAGUUUAAAAUUUGGAGAAGAGAAUAUGUAAUACCAAGUUUCAAAGGCUAUAAUUGGAUGUGAAAGUUUUGUGGUUGAUUGAUUCUUACGUUUUAGUAUUUUUUCUCUCUCCAUAUUUAGGUUCUGAAGUUCAUUGGUUGUGGUAUAGAGAGUUAAGCAGUAGUUCCCCAAUAUUUUGGGUUUCUACCUUGAGUUGGCUAGUUUAUGGUUCUAGAUCAUGUUAAAAUUUUUAUCUUUCUUUUGUCUUUGUAAAAACAUGUUUAUGUUUGUAUAGCUACUACUAUUUUUUGUAAUUUGGGAUUGACAUAGAGCAUAGUUAGAUGUUGGUUUGUUAAGGAAGGAAGAAAAUAAAGAACCAAAAGAAGCUUGGAACUUCCUUAAUCUUUUUUUCUCACUCUUUUCUUGGUGAAUGUAUUCAGGUCCUAAAGAUUAUGUAGCUGAGUACUACCAAUAGCAGGUAGAAAUGCUUGUUUCGUGCUUGUAUUUUUUUUUUUUUUUUUAUGAUUAAGACAUUCUUCACUGCUCAAAGCUAAAAUUUGUUUUCUUCUCUGUCACUAAAACCAUUUUUGCUUUCUGUCUAAAGUGAAAUAUGUUCGCUUAACAAUAUUAAUCCUAGGUAAGUUGAUGAUGCAAAUUUUGAUCUUGAUUUAUGUUAUACUGUGAAAGAGUUUCUAUAUUGCUUCUUGAUUUCUUUAAUUUGAUCUUAGUAACUUUGUUUUUUAAGAACAAGCGGCCAGAGUUCACUACAUGGUUGUUUGAAAUAAAAAAGGUAAAUUAACAUUGGUAAAUGUGUGGAAUAGUUUUAUGCAAUACUUGAAUUUCCUUCAUUUUUAACACAUUUCAUGCUUUCGUUACCAUGGAGCCUAGGAAUGGAAGUUUGAGUUUCUAUUUGAAGGACAUGAUUGAAGUUUCAAAUUGUUUAUUGUGUUUAAGUUUCAAAUUGUUUAUUGUGUUUGGAAAUAAAAAAAAGAUCUAGAGAGACAAAUGUAACUUAUUAAAGUCAAUGGAAUUAAUUAUUUUAAAACUAGCACAUGUUUGAAUUCAAUAUUAUUGCAUGCUUCUUAUUUUUUCUAGUUUUAAGUAGCAUAUGAGAUUUUGUCAAUGUAUGGGUAUAAUAAUCUAGUUUUUUACACAGAUUUUGUUAAUGAAGGAUUCUGAGUACUCUUUCAUUUUUGGACUUCAUCAUUUUAGUUCUCACUCACGGAGUUUCUCUCGUUCGAGAUUUGUUUUGUUAUUCCUUGAGGACUUGCUUGUUGUUCUCGAAUCAGUCCUCAACCAUUUUUGUUGCCUUCUAAAUUCUAAGAGGGUGAGAUACUAAAUAUGCUAGAUCAAGAAGUUGAGCCACAAAAACCGUAAGCAUCUUGAAAUUUUGUAAUAUUUUGGUAACUCCACUAGAAAUUCUCUUAGUCAAUGUGGUUGAACAAGGUCAACUUUCAAGUUUUUCCGUCUCAAUGGAUUGAUCACAUUAUUUCAGUUGUCAGGAGAAAUACUCUAGACAGCCAUAAGCUUAACUCAGGUAAAUAUAUUGGUGACCGGUAACUCAAUUGUGAACAAGAUUUUAGGAUGAUGUGAUUUCUUCAAGAUCUUAGGAUGAUGUGAUUUCUGUAAUUGUGAACAACACUUAUUAUUACAUAUACUUCGUGUUUUUUGAUUAAGAACGAUGUGUAUAACUCGUUUUGUAAUAGAAUGAUAUGUUUCUAUGUUGUAAAUAUAUUGUAAUAACGAACUAUAUGUAUAUGUUCAAUGAUAUAUAUGCAAUUUGUUAGUUAUUUGAUUGAAGGUUUGUGUUGAUUCAUGAAAUGUAAAUAGUCCAAUUGAUCAUGUUGUAUACCAUUGUGGGAUUUCAAAACAGGUGCAAUAUAAUUAUAUGGGUAUUUCAAAUUGUACAAUUUCAUUUGAAAGAAAAAAAAGUCUUGACAUGUAACAAAUUUUUGACGUUUAUAAACUGUAAGUAUAUAUUUAUUUGACGUGUAAAAACUGUUAGUGGGUAGGUGUUAGUGUUAGAAGUGUAUGAAAAUGUUCGAAGUAUAUUAAAUUAACGAGAAAAUUACAUGAUUAGACAGCCGUAAGACAUAUUCUUGCGAGACUUACGCAAUUGUAGACGCAUCGAUAAGUUUGGACAUCUAAACGCUUCGAUUAUUUUUCAUUUCGGACAAACAAACAGCAGCUUAGUGCUUUUAGGAAUUUGUCUCAUAGUGAGAUUUUUCCUUUUCUUCUAGUCCUUAAUUUUUAUUACAGGUUGAGAGUUUCUUCGUAAAACUAAACAACUUUUCUUAAUUUUCUACAGUUUCAUCUUAGACACAGCUUAGUGGCGUUUCGUCGGUUCAGUUUACUUUCUUACCAAACUAUUGAAAUUGAUAAUGAAAAUAAUAACAAAUAGAAACAAACUGUUGAAUAUUAUUGAAGAUCAAACCAAUUGGUUAUACGUUGGAUUCUGGUCUGUUUUUCGUCGUUUUCCAGUUUCUAAAAUUAUUCUCAAACACUAUUUCUUAUAUAUUUUAAAUACUUGCUUAGAUUCAAAUUAUACAAUAUAAUACUUUCAUUUAAAUCUCACAAAUAAAAUGCAAAAUGAAUUGAAUUAAUUUCAAUUCUUUUAAUACUAAACCCUAAACCCAAAAAAUAACUUUACGAGGGUGUUGGAGUAUCAUUGAGUUGUAGGCUAGUAAUUUUAAAUUUAAUCCAUGUCUAUCAUUGAUAAAAUUUAAUUUUUGUUAUAAUUUGUAGAUAUUUUUAGCUAUUUUGUUAAAAUAUACCACAUAUUUGAUUGGUUAAAUUACAAAUUUAGUUCAUACGAAGAAAUCUAGAUUUUAGUAUUAGAUUAUAAUUAGAAGUAUGUCCAUACGAUUGAUUGAAAUUAUUACAAAUAGUAUUUACAGUCAUGUGGACGGUGGAUGAAAACUUUAUCAAACAAUUUAGAGUGUGUUUGGAUUGAUUUUUGAAAUGUUUAAUUUUUAAAAUAAUUCAUUUUAAGAUAAAUGGAAGUGUUUUGACAUUUGUUUAAAAUAACUAUUUAAAAAAUGAUAUUAUAAAAUAAAUCAUUUUAGAGAAAACACAUACAAUCAAAUUUUAAAAUAAAUGUUUAUUUAGGGUUUAACCAGGAAUUCCUCCCAAAUAUCUACUUUUUUUAUUCUUUUUUUCCUAUCUAUUUUUCUACGUCGUUUUUUUUAUUAUUUUUAAAUACUUUAAAUAUUUUUUCAAUGUGUGUUCAUAUACACUUAAAUAUAGGCAUUUGCAAAUGUUCCUCUCUUAGCCACAUCUAUUUUGCCUUAACAUCUGUAAAAGAAAUCACUAAGACGUCGGUGAAGAACAUGAUCAUUCAGUUCAUGAAAUGAAGAUGAAUGAGGAACAUUAUCAAAUUGCACACCUUAUUGUCUAGUUGAUAUUAUAUUGUCUUGAAAAAAUUAUUGUUCUUAUUUAUAUUUUGUCGUUCUUGGAAAUCAAUUAUUUUUUUAGGGUUUAGUGCUUGUAAGAAUCGAAUUGUCCAGAAAAAUGAAUAAAAAAAAUAUAAUUAAGGUUUCAUUUCAAGUAACUAAAAAGUUAAUAAUUUCAAAAUAACCUACGACUAAUUUUAAAAUAUAUUUCUAAAAAAAAUGAUUCAAAAUGUAUUUAUUUCUUUAUGGAAUUAGUUCAUAAUAUUUAAUAGUCUCUUAGGGUAAUUUGACCUAAGUAUAAACAUUGUUAAUAUAGGACAAACCAAACACAAUUUUGCAUAUAAACAUUUGUAAAAGAUCAAACCAAACACGUGAAUGUUUAGAUUUUAAACUCAUUUUAGAAUUGUUUUUCUAAAACUUGUAUUCUUGAAUAAACAUUUUGUUUGAUAGGCAAUGAAAACCCAUCCUUCAACUAGUUACAAGAUAACUUUAUAAACAAUUUGGGAGGCUUAAGAAAAUCAUAAAAACGCCAAAAUGAAAACUAUUGAAUGUGAAUAAAGAUAUGAAAUUGUUGGGAAAUAAAAAAUUGAAGAUGAAGAAUCUAAACAUGUUAUUGUUGUGUCAAGUCAUUGGAGUGGUAAUGGAAGUUUCAUGAGUCAGCCAAACAAGACUUUUUGAAAAGGUGAGGCCCAUUCUCAUAAAGCCAUUUCCCACUUUAGCCUAAUGUUGGUUGUUUCAGUGCUUUGUGGGGCAUUCAUGUUCUUCUUAAACACACACUUUCUUCUUCUUCCUUUUUUUUGAUCUUCAUCCCCUACAGCCCUUCCCACUCUAAGAGUUGAUAUAACACUUUGUUUAUGUCAACAAAUCUAACACAUAUGUAACCAUUUUCUUUCUUUCCUAAUAAGUACAACAAUUCGAGGGUAACAGAUCGAUUUGAAUCUUCCACCUCUACGAUGAAAGGUUAUGUCAAUUAAUACUAAACUGAAUUGGCUUUGGCAUACGUGAAGUUAAUCUGUGAUAAGAUAGAAGAAAUUUCUUUAAAGUACGAUCAAAUAUGAAAGGAAAAAAUAUUGUGGAUGUUUGCGUUGUUUGAAAUGAAGAAAUUAAAACGACAAUGUAUAUGAUUCAUAGAUACCAUGUGUCUUUAAUUUGUUUUGUUUAUUAACGUAUGUGUUUAGAUUUGUCCACACUACAAGAAUAAACCUUUCUGCCGAUGCAUCAAAGCAUCAGUUGAGACCCCAAAUGAUGUGGAUAGAUUUUACUCCGACGCACAACAAACUGUCAGCAUUGUUGUAGGGAGAUAAGCGUUGGGACAUCAUCUCCCAAUGCAUAAAAUAGAUCUUCGAUGUAUAAACCCUACUGUUGAUAGACAUCAAUACGUUGUCAAUAGUUCAUAUCUCCCCACAUAGUAUCAUGGCAUCGGCUAAUACUUUAUUUGUCAUCAGUAUUUGUUACCUAUCGUCAAAUAGCCAAAAAUGAUGAAAUCAUUUUCGUCAAAUCUUUCGACACAGUCGUUGGGAGAUUAUAUAUCUACCGAUGAUAACUCCUGAUCGUUCUAGGGCGUUGAAAGUUUCUUUAGUUUAUUAGUUUUUUUUUUUAAUAUAACCAAAUAUAUUCCAACAAUAUUGGUUAUCAUCCAGCAAAUUAAAAACAUGAAAAACAAUUAACAUUUAACUAAACAUUUUUUUUUAAUGAUUCAUUUCGGACUUGUCAUUCCAUAAAAGUCUUCCAUAACAAUUAACAUUGUAUCAAUAAAAAAUGAUGGUUUUAGAAACAUUUCCCAUAUAAAGAAAUUCCAUAACAUAUAGCAAUUACAUAUUGUACUCAUCUCAUAGUACUCAUGAGAAACAAAACAUAACAUUGGGUUUUGCCCUAAAAUAUUGAUAGUUUUACUUGCUUGUGACACCAAAUUGGUAAUUUGAAAAGUGAAAUCCUAGUAGUUAUCUUUUCUUUUUGGGUGUUUAAUGUUUACUUGUAACUCAUAUUCAUAUCCAAUGGUGUAUCCAGAAAUCAUAUAUAGGGGCACGAUUAACAAAAAAAAAUUGUAGUGGAUGAGUUUUGAACCCAAGACGUUGAGAUUUCAAAGGGAAGUCACUACACCAAAAACAAAAUAUAGUAAAAAGAUGCAUUUUCUUAAGAUAUAUUGUAAUUUUACACUUCAAAACUAAUAUUAAAAUACAAAAACCAAGAAUGUGAGGGGGGCACGUGUCCCCCGGCCCCUUAAUAAAUCCGCUCAUGUUCAUAUCUAUCUAUUUUCAAUUAAAACUUAAACAAAAGUAUGAAAAGAAAGGUUUAAUUUGAAAUCAUUAUUAAUAUUUUAAAUUUUUUGCGAAAUAUGAUCCUCAAGUUUAGUCAAUCAAUAGAUAACCUAUCCAACAGUCUUAUAUAUAGAUAAAAUGAAGUUUAGAGUCUAAUGAGACAACAUUAUUUUCAUAAUUCAAAUAAAAACUCUUAAACUAGUCUAUUACAAACAACGUUAACUAAGUCCUCUUGUAGCUUAAUUACAAAUUAUCAUGUUGGUUGAGUUUGUUUGUUCGAACACAAUAUUUGAAGUGGUUUGAGUUUAUAUUUCAUUUUAGGUGAUAUGUCACUGAGCAUGUUCUCUACAUGCAGUAUGCUCUCCAUUUGUGAUUCUUUAUGUGAUUUGCUUGCAUUAUGGAAGCGUUGACUGUUAAAAGACUUAGUAAAAUUUUAGAUUUGAAAACUUUGUUUACUGUUGUAUUUUGUGUUGGUUUUGAUAUGGUAUCUGUAGAUUUGUUGUUGAAGAUGUAUGUUUUAUGAAGAUUUAUUAGAUGAUAAGAAUCUCUGUUGCUUUUCAAUAGCUAAUUUGCUAGCCUAGUUUGGAGUUAUUUGAUUAUGUUUAUUCUCUUUUAUUGUUUGAUGCUAUGCAAAUCAAAACAAAUGGUUUGACUUUUUUCUUUCAUUGGUAGAAAACAGAAAAUCUUGAGAUAUGGAAACUUGUAAGAAGGUUUAGACGUUAUGCAUAGACUACAAUUCCGUUUCUUAAUCUUUGAUGUAUGUAUUAAAAGUAAAUUGGCUAUAAAGAUUUUAGUGUUGUUGAUCGUAGAGAUUUUCAAGUACAAUCUUCUAAAGAAUGGACUUACAUGUAAAUUAAAAUUCCACUUUAGUCACUAUAUACUUCUCACGAGAUAUAGUUCUUAUCAAUCAUUUUAUCAAAUCUCAUCGUGGCUACUUGUGAUGUUGGUCUUCCAUCACAGGAGAUAAAGUUGUAAAGCUUGCUCCAACAUGGUAAGUUAUGCUGCUCAUUUAUCCCAUAUUUUCUUCUUUGUUCCUUUGCACUUAACAUUUUUAAUUUAAAUUUCUUAUUUCAUUUCGGGUUGAGCAUUGUCGUUUAACAACCCAACUUCAUAUACUUAAGUACUUAAAGGAAAGGUCGAUAUGAGAACUUCUUCAAACAAUAUCAUUCCCACCUAAACUUUCCAAUUGUACAUAUUCAAAGAAUUAUUGAAUUUAUCUGAAGAUGUAAGGGCUGUAUCUCAAGUCCGAUCCUCCUACAAUACAACCAUGUAGAAACAAUGAUAUCAAAUAUGUAGAGUGUUUUAAGUUUCAGAACCGCUGAAUUGUGCAAUAUGAUCAUUCAAUAAUAGUUUAGAAAAACGAGGAGAGAGUGUAAGCCUAAAUCUGUUCGAAGUUUCUUCUACCAUUUUGCCUAACCUGUUUCGUUUUGACGAAGAUUAAGAUGAAGAUUAAGGUUAACAACUUAUAGCCUAAAUAUUUUGUUGUUUGUAUUAUUUUAUCAUGAAUUAGAUUUGAAGAUUUUUAUAGGGCUAUUUUGGUAAAUGACAAAAUCACUUUUUCUUUGCAUUUUUUUUUGUAUGUGCGUAGUAUUUUAUAAAAGACCAAAAUACUCACCUUUCUCAACUGUAAUUAUUUUUUUCUACGUUGUAAUUAAUUUUGUCAUGCAUUUAGCAACUCAUAUAAUAACUUUUUUCUUAAUAUCUGAGGAGUCAAAUAUCAUUCAUUGGUUGAAUCACAAAAUAACCAAAUUAUUAUUUUGAAUUAAAAUUUUCUUAUGCUCUUUUUGUUUAACUAAAAACUCGCUUAUUUGUUUAUUUUUCAAUGUUUCUUAUUAAAUUCUAAUUAAUUUAAUCUAUAUAUAUAUAUAUAUAAUUAGUUCAAUACCAUUGAUUCAUACCAGGUGGAAAUGAAUUAAAAUUAGAAAACAAUUACAUUAGCUGUGUUUAUAAAAACUUUUAAACUAAAACAUAACAUUAAUUAAAUUAAAAUUUAUAUCAAUAUUGAUUUAAAAGUGUAAUUAAGGUAAUUAUUUCGAUAUAUUGCGUUCUUAUCAAAAGUUUUGUUUGUGUAAUUACGAUAUACAGUUAUGAGUUUAUCAAAAGUCUUUGGAAUAUAAUUAAUUUGUGACAUGCAAUUAUGAGUAUGUAAUUAACUUCGACGUGUUAAUAAUCUAGAGAACCUAUCCGUCUCUUUCUAAUAUAUCAGAAUUUAAAACAUAUCAACAAUUUUAUUUAUUUUAAAAAUUUUUCUAUUGUGGUAAGAUUUUAAGAGUUUUAUUCAUUUUUUAUUUCAAAAUAAUAUUAUUAUUAAUUUUUAUUGGCUAAAUCUCUAACCUUUUUUAUUUCAAAAUAUACUAACUUUUUCGUCAUCUUUUUUAUUUCAAAAUAAAGUAUUAGAUCUUAAUUUAUUUUUAAAUUUUAAAUUUUGAAUUUGAAAAUUAAAAUUAGUUUUUCUAUAAAUAUCUCAACCUUUUUACUAUUAUUAUUUAAAUAUUAAAUCUCAACCUUUUUUUUUUCAAAAUAAAAUCUUUAAACCCUUAAUAAUUUAGAAAUUAAAAUUAGUUUUUGUAUUACAUUUUAAUUUAAUUUUUAAAAUGAUUUUUUUCAAUAAAAUAUAUUAAGAUAUUGUGUUUUUAAGAUAAAAUCUCUUAAAUUCAUAUACAUUUUAUUAAAUAAAUAAUAUUAAUUAAAAAAAUAAGCUAAAAUUUUCCUAAAAGAUAACUUUUGUAUCUUUUUGUUUGGAGGGAAGAUUUUUGUUCUUCCACCCAAGCUUUAGAUUUGAAAAUCAAAGAUGAAAUAUGGAAAAUGAAGAGAGUGUGCAUGCUUCAAAUGUUUAUAUUCUUCUUCUUGAAAAUGCAUGAUGAAAUUGAAGAUGAAAUUUAAACUUCAAAUGAAAGAGGGUGGAGAUUAGGGUUUGUCUUCUUAAACUAUAAUUUUACUUGACGCGUAAAAAUUGUAAAACAAAAAAAUCUCUUAUUCCUAACACGGAAUUACGUUUUUUACCUGUCAAGUAUAAUUAUUCUUGACACUUAAUUACUUAGACACAUUAAAAAACAUCAAGUAAACAGAUACUUAACAGUUUUUAAGUGUCAAGUAAAACCAAUUUUGUAGAAGUGGAUACUCUUCUCUAAAUUGUAUUACAAAAUAUUAUUUUGGAAACUACAUAAAGUUCAUGUAACCACUACUCAAAACAUCCAACUUUCGCAUAAUUCUAAAAAAGUAGAAUACUUGUAAAAAGGAAUUAUAUAUAUAUAUAUGUAGCCACCUAUUUUUAUCCUACAUAUAUAUCUUUUUUAAAAUACUAAUAUUAGUAAUAAUUGCUAAAUUAUUUAUUUCUUUAUUUACUUAAAAAAGGUAAAAAAAAAUAAUAACAUAAUAUCUUAUAAUAUUUCAUUUUUACCAUUUUAGGAAACAAAAAUAAAUCAAUUUGUUUCUUAAAAAUCUUUUAAUAUCAUAUUUGCACUAUUUUAGAAAAAGAAAUGAAUUUGUUUUAAAUAAAAUCUUAUAAUAUCAAUUUUGACUUACUUAAAUUAUUUUAGGAAAAAAGAAAAUCAAUUUUAAAUAAAAGUAUUUUAAUAUUCAUUUGAUGUAUUAAUUUAUUUUUCACAAAAUCUCAAAAUAUCUCAUUUAAUUUAUUUUAGGAAAAUGAAAAUUUGUUUUAUUAAUAUAAUAUCAAAAUUUGAUUUUACUCUUAUUAUUUUUUCCUAAUUUGUGGUACACUCUGGGUCUAUAAAUAGGGACCUUGUCAUUUGAAAAAAUGGGAGGAAAAUAGUUUUUUAAAACAAAGAACGAAAAGUUUCUUACAAAAAGUCUUUAGAGAAAAUUUUGUUAGAGAACCUCUGCCUUACAGAAAAUUUUGUUAGAGAACCUCUCCAAUUGCAAGAAUUUUUUUUUUGCAAAGGUAAGUAUUUUUAUUUGUUAUUUAUUUGUUUAUUCUUGCUUUCUUUUACUUUCAUCGUUAUUAUCUUUUUUUCUUAAAAAAAAUCUUAGUCUUUUCUUCUCCCUAAAAAAUAGAGAAAAAGAAAAAGACAUGAGACUUUUUUUUAUAUCUUUACUUUACUCUCUUUAAAAACAUACACAUAUAUAUAUAAAGAAAAUUUCAUUUACUUAUUAUUAUUAAUAUAAUUUUAUUUGUUAUUAACGUUCUUUUUAUUACUAUUUUUUAAAAAAUUUCUGUAUUUUUAACUUUAUUACUGUUUAUUUUAACUUCUGUUUUUCUUCGUUUUAACUUUAUUAUUAUAACUAUUGCUAUCUAUAUAUUUAAAACUUAUUAUUAUUGAUUUAUUUAUAUAAUUAUUAUUAUUUAUUUAUUUAUUUGUUAUAAUAAUAAUUAUUAUUAUUAUGGGGCCUUGGGGCCACACUUCUUUUUUUUUAAAAAAAAUGUUUUUCUCUUUUUAAAAAAUGUUUUUCUUUCUCUUCUAAUUCUUCUUCCUUUUAUUUAUUUUGUUUCCUUAUUUCUUCUUUCCUUUUUCAUUAUUUAUUUAUUUAUUUCAUUUAUUUAUUUCUUCUUUAUUUUUAUUUAUUUAUCUAUUCAUUUUCAUUAUUUAUUUAUUGCAUGCAUAAUCAUUAUUGUCACGUAGUUUUAGACUUAUCAAUAUUUUUUGCACUUUGCAAUGUUACCGUGAUAUAUUAUAUCAAUUAUUUUUUUCUUCUUAUAUCAUAUUUAUCUUUACAUUUUAUCAUUCUAAAAAAAAAUCCGACAAUAGAAUUAGAAAUAUAUGUCUGCUAUUUCUAAAUUCUUAAGGUGAGAGAAUCGGUUCUUUGGUAGUCUAAGAUCGAUUCCCAAUAUUUUUUUAAAUAAAUAAAAUCUUAUCUUACUUGCUUAAUUUAAGGUAUAUUAUAUUUGAUUGCAUUGUGCAUUAUUUCCUAUUGACCUAACUUUGAAAGUCUUUUUUAAAUUUUCUUUUUUAACUGUUUAGAAAUGUUUACUUUACACCUAUUCCUUUUAAUUUUUUUUAAAAAAUGUUUAUAAUAUAAAUCUAUAUUUCAUAUGUUUUCCUUAAUCAACUUUUUUAAUAACUCACUUCUAUUUCGCUACAAAUAUUCCUAUGAUGGAAUUUAGGAAAUUUGGAAGUCUGAUUUGAUUCCAAUAAAAAAUAAAUUUAAUCAAUGUUUUUAAAAAAAAAUUAUUCAAAGACUAGCCUAUGAUAGUUUUGGAUAAAUUGUAAUAAUUUCUCAUUUUCUUAAGGUGAGAAACUUUCCUUCAAUAUAUAGUCUAAUUAAUGAAAUAUAAUUUCACUUAUUUUAUGAGAUCAUUGCUUCAAAUAUUAGAGUAAUAAGGGAUGAAAUAAAAUAUUAUUUUUAAAAUAAAUUUAAAAAUAUUUUCAAUGCAAGAUUUUAAAUUUGGCUACCGUUUUUCUAAAUGGGUGUUGUGGGGUGCUAAUACCUUCCCCACACACAAAUGACUCCCGAACUCAAUUCUAUUUUUCGCAGACUAUUUUUAAAAAUUGUUUAUUUUAUUUCAGUGUCCAAUCACACCGUAAAAAAGAUUGAUGACGACUUCUAUUUUCUUUUAAAACUAGCUCUUUUGAGGACGUCGGCCGCUCUUCGUCGUCUCGGGGUGGCGACAACAUCAAUCAAAGUGUCUCAAUUUCUUUCCACUACGUAAAAAGUUGAAAUAUAUUCCCAGCAAGAACCAGACCAUAAGAGGAAGGAAUUUGCUAAUUUGGUCUAUGAAGUAAGGGAACAAUAAUAAUCUUGUUUUCUUUUUUCUUUUCCCUUUAGUUGCACCUAUUGAAUUUUAAAGACAAGAAUGAAGAAUGUAUUCCAUGAUUCAAUUCUAGGGCUUGGAUUCUGGCAUUAUUAGUUUUAAAUAGUUUUUAGAGUUAGAAAUAAAUUAAUUUAGUAUUUUUGGCUUUCUCAUAUAAACUAAAGAAAAGAUAUACUACGUGUUUGAUACGGGUUAAAAACUAGCAUAUCAUUUUUCUCACGUGCAUGACCGAGUAAAACCUGAUAUAUCUCGGGUCUCUAUAUUUUUUUUGUGUUCAUAAACUGUAUCAUCUAAUAAUAUAUUUAGUAAUACGAGUUUUAUUAGAAAAUUAGUAGGUGAAUGUAAAAAAUUUAAUUAAACGGUAAAAAUUAUCAUCACCAAAAUCAUAUUGUCAGUUCCUCCCUAAGUUAACACGUUCAAACCUCAAACGUGCAGUGUUGGGAGUGUAGAUUAGAAGCUAUGAAACACAUGUAAUUCAAAGUAUACCAAUGUUGAUACAUUCAUAUACGUGAAAUGGAAACAUGGUAUUCCUUUUCAAAUAUGUGAAGGUGUGAUACACUAAUCAAUUUUGUGUAUAUAUAGUUUGGAUGAGUUGUAACCCUCAAACUCAUAGCUCCACUUAAUUACGUACAUAAAAAGAAUUUCAAAAGUUCUUACAAUUUAAAAUUCGAUUAAAAUUUUGAAUUAGUAAUAAUGUAACUGAUAUUUGGAGUUAUGAUUUAAUGAGUAUUAUUUUAUUGUGUUUGACUUAUAUGUAUUUAUCACUUCAAUUUAGAAAUUUAAUUAUCAUGCUUUAAAGUUGAUCAAUUCUACAAUUUGUCCUAACAACAUUAUUAUAUAAUAUGAGCACAUAUUUGCAAAAUGACUAAAUGUACCUAGUCAAAUUAUAUAUCUUGGUAUAAAUGAGACCCAAAUUUUAGUAUAGAGUAUAUAUUAUAAAUCAAUCUUAAAUCUAUAAAGGUUCUUAAUAUACUAGAAAUAAACACGACAAGAAAUAUCAGUUACGAUAAAAUAAAAAAAUGCUAUCGUUGAUUUUCGAUAGCAUUUUUGAAAUGUUGUCGUAGUCGAUUUGAUUGAAAGUCCAUGACUUUAUAUAGUGCUUUUACACUUCUAUGCAAAACGCUAUAAUAUGUCCCUAGUGAUAGCACAUAUAUGAUGUUGUAAAUGUUUUUUGUAACGUGGAAAAAAAUGCUAUUGAAAAUUUGAUAGAGUUUUUUACUGCGUUGGAAAAUCGUUAUCAAGAUGUUUCAAUAGUGUUUUCAAUAACAUUAAAAAAUGCAAUUAAAGACGUUUUAUAGCGUUUUUUAUUGCGUUCGAAAAACGUUAUCAAAACGUUUCAAUAGCUAUUUUAAUUACAUUGAAAAAAUGCUAUUGAAAAUAGAUAGUGCUUUUUAUUGCGAUAGAAAAGCGCUAUCAAAAUGUUCCAAUAGCGUUUUUAAUAACAUUGAAAAACUGCUAUAAAAGACUUUUUGUAGUGUUUUUUAUUGCGUUCAGAAAGUAUUAUCACAACCAUUCAAUUGUUAUUUUAAUAACAUUAAAAAAAUGAUAUAAACAUUUUUUUGUAACGUUUUAUGAAUGUUGUCGUAGCAAAAAGACCUUAACUUUUUAAUGGUGGUUUUCUUAGACCUAUUAAUAACAAUAUAAAUAGUUGAUAUAUUAUUAAAAGUCUCUUAUUUUUAUCAGCAUUAUUCAUCGUAAUGGAAAAAUGUUGUAAAUACUCCCUUUUCACACAAAAUUUAUUGUUGAUGGACCCUCUAGCAUUUUGUUGUAGUAAUACUAUCCCCCAUAUAUAUAUGUGUUGCUCCAAUACCUUUCUCCAUACAUCAAUCACCUAACAAAAAAUAAAAAGAAAUAUCAUUAUCUAACUCUAACAAUAAAUUAGUUAAAAUUUCUUACAUAGUUUGACUUUAUCCAUUGGCCAUGCUACAGUAGUGCCCACAACAUCGCCAAUAACAAGAAUGUUAGAGGUCGGUGGUUGUCUAUUUCAUUUGGACUUAGUAGUUUCACAUUCAUAUGAUGCAAUUCUAAUUUAGACAAUAUGUCACGAAGCAUGUCCAUCACACGUGAUAACUAUAUCUUUCUGUAUUGCGUGAUUCACUUUAUUCGGUAAGUCAUGGGUUAUAAUCAUAGCAUGCAAGAUACUUGUUAUGUACCUCUUUAUCACAUAAUAGCUAAGGCUUCGUUGAGAGUACAAGUUUUUCUACUGCGAUUCCCAAAUGCAAGCGAAAUAGUAGGUUUACCUGGAUGAUCGAAAGGUCGAACACAGAGAAUUAAAACUAGGAUUAAAACUAUUUAUGCACGUCUAGAGAAUCUAUAAAUGGGAAUAAACGGAUGCGAGAUGAAGAUGCGAACUAACUUAUAUAAAAAGAAGUCUUAUUCUUAACAUUGGUCUGUUUGUACAAGAGAUGGGUUGUAAAAAUGUGAAUUUUGCUCUAAAAAUGAGAAACAAAGAAUUUAAUAUGAUUGGUACCAUGUUCAUAUCAUGAUGAGGAAUACAAAGAUAAAUAUAAACAUAUGGAGUGAUUAAUGAAAGGAAAAUAUAUCAACGUAAAGUAUAAUUUUCUUAAUAUUUUAAUUUUACAGCACAUAGGUUAACAAUUUGUAUGUACUUUGAUACAAGAGGAUCUUAAAACCAACAACAAAAAAGUUUUUAAGUAUAGUAGACUCUAAUUUUUGGAAAUAAACUAGUCAAAGUGAAUUAGAAUCUUUAAUUAUGAAUGAAACGUGAGACUUUGUUAGAUCUAAUUCCCUAAAUGAAAUACAUCUAUUAGAUGUAAAUAGGUAUUAGAUUAGUUGGUCGGGUCUAUAUAUCAUGGCAGAUUCAGAAAAUUUAUAUAUACGAGGCAUUAUAUAAUAAACACAUUAAAAAAUAUUUAAGAAAUAUUAAUAGUUUCAAAGACUAAUUAAUUUAAUACAUAUUACAAUUGUCCACUAUCAGUUUUCUGGUUUAAAAUUAAUAUGUGAUAAGUUUAUUAUCUAACUAAUCCAAUAAACCUUUCUCAAUAUGAGCUAUAAGACAAUGAUUCAUCAAUUAAUCGAAGCAGUCAAUUCUUGAUCACAAUAUUCAUAACAUAAAACGUUUUAUCUACAUUAGUUGUUGCAACUAUUAAAAUCAAUGUCAAUGUGAGUAAUCGAUAAACUAAUGAGUAGAUUUUAUCUAGAAGAAAUUUGAUAUUUGGAAAAAGAAUAUAAUUGAUGUUUGGAAUAAAAAAUAUAUUUUGUGAUACUUGUUAGGGAAAUCAUUCAAAUUUAGAAAACAAUUUGAUAUUUGAACAAAUAAAAAUAUUGAUGUUUGGAUUAGAAUCUAUUUUGUGACAAUUCAAUUUAGAAAGAAAUUUGAACACGAGUUGCUAGUUAACAAGUGGGAGCACAAACACUGCGCUACAACCCUACUUUGUUUAAAAUAAAACAUUAUAUCACUACUAUAAAAAGGGUCUUUCUGGACGGUUACGUGCUUUUAAAAGACUAAACAAAAUGCUAAAUUUCUUCCCUAAAUGAAUACCAAAUGAAUCUCAAACCUAAGUUUUAGGAUUUACACAUGGUCUUGAAAAUAUAUAUUGUGUUCUAGCUGGUUUAAGUUUUUCUCUAUCAACGUAAAACCAAAGUAUUCAAUAAUCGUUUAUUAAUUGAUUUAUCAAAAUAUACACAUGAAACUCAACUAUUCAUACAAAACUAACCAAAACUCAAAGCUAAUAAGUGAUCAUUGAUCAUCAAACAAUUUAACACCGAGUUCAUGCUAAAAUUGCUUUAAAGUAAGUCGUUCCUUCCUAACUGAACUAAGUUUUGUUCACGAUCUAAAUUUCUAAUUAACUCUAUGUUUUUUUCUCAACAAAGGAAAGCAUUUCACCUAAGAGAUAUGAUUAAAAACAAAUCAUGUUAUUCUUAUUCGACAAUGAAAGGAAAAUUUCAUGCAUGAAAAAAGAAAAACAAGCUUCUCAUGAGAAAGUUGGAUGGGCAUCCAAAACAUGAAAAUCCUUUUGGGUGAGAUUUUGGAGACAAAGGGCAAACACCAUGAUGUAAUUGCUGACCCCAAAGAAAAAAUAUGAAUAUAUUCUUUGAACUUAGGCAUGCAACUUACAAAACCAUGGCCCUUUCAUUUUAGACAUUAUUCUAUUUUCAUCACUUUAACCCUUUUCCACAUCCAUUCAUCUCAUUCUUCUUGUUUCCAAUAUUCGAUCCCAUGAUUUCCUUUUUUUUUUUUAAGAAAAAAGGUUAAAAGGUACUUCACAAGUUAGCCACUCAAAUUUUGAAGGGUUUAGGGAUAAAAUUCCUAUGGCAGCAGAAGAUUUUAUAGAACCAUUUCUCCAAUUAAUUUGAGAAUCCCAAAAUACUAGUACAUUGGCAAAAAAUAAUUAAGAAAGUAGUUUUAUUAUUAAGACUUAGAGGCUAAGUAUGCUUUAUAAUUAUAAAUUAGAGAAAGAAAAAAUUACUUGUUUAUGUCUCUGAAUCUACAGAGUAAAUCUCCAAAUUAGGACACCACCUUUUGGGACUUUCCUAUCCUCUAGGAUGGGAUUGGUUUAUGAAAACCAAGUGGGAUGAAAAAAAUGUUUAGAGAGAAACUAUUUUCUUGUUGCAAAGAGUGAAAGCAUUGACUUUUUUUCUUCUUGAUUAAUUGAUUAAAGAAAAUUGUUUUCUUUUAUAUAUUUAUAACUUUCUUUCCUUCUCUUUCCUUCUUAGAUUAGGAAAGAAAGUAUGAGAGAAUCAUGAAAUAAGCCUGUUUAUAGAGUUGUAUGAAAAAAUGGAAUUUUCCACCUCCUGCUUGCAUGAAACCACCCCUUGCAUGCUUAGGUCACCUCAAAACCAUUUCACCAUCUGUCCAAACGUCUAAUUACACUCUCAAUUGCCUACCUUCAAUCUCCUCGCCAAAGGUUAUGCUUUCUCGCCUAAACUAACCUCCAUACACUUGGUCGCAAACCUCCUAAUGCCUAAUGCUUGCUUGCUCGCAAAACCCAUCAUCUAUAACCUCCUUUGUUGCACGCAUCCUUGCGUGCAAGCCCUUCCUCCCAUAGCCCAAGUCUCCUCGCCAUGCUUGCACCCACGACUACAAAUAAUACACAAAGCUUGCGGCCUACUAGUCUUCAUCACCUAGAUCACCUCCUUAGGGGUUAUCUUGCCUAGUCUCAAACCCAAUCUCGUAACAUCUCCAUGCAUAGCCAUGCCUUUGGAGGUUCUCCACGCCAAGCACCAACCAUCUCACCUAGGACGUAUCAUAACGCUUAAACCCUUAGCAUAACCUCUCAACACUUAGUAAAUUUUCAACCAACAAGCCUUCUUUUUUCCUCUUUGGUCAACAACUACACUUUCCGUACUUACGUAAAUUUAUUUUCUUCUUUCCAACUAACAAAGAACAACAAACACUUAACCUCUCAUAAUGAAUAUCACUUAAAACUUUAAGGAAUUCAAGAAUAAGGGUUUACAUUAUUCCUAAUGCCACAUAGGCAGGAGACGUCAGAAGUCCCCUAUUGUAAAUGUGUUGUUUUCGUCGACGGUACCUGCAUCAGGAGUAAGCCAUUCUCAUCGCCUUCCAGUUUGCACGUUGGAAAUGCUUCCCUGGCGCACUAUUGUCGACUUCCUUCUCGACAACAUCUUGUACGUUGAAAGAUCAUUUACCGAGGCAUUUUGAAAUAUAUACUGUUGCAUUCCUGCAUUGGAAGAGCUCUAAAUGUUUCUUGUUCUAAAAAAAGAAAAAAUGAGAACAAGAAACAAUGAGUAAAAAACAAGAAAUAGAAACGAAAAAUGGAAACAUUUGAUAACGGGCCUUAAAUGUCCAAAUCUCAAAAAUAUUAUUGUAUAUAUCGAAACAAAUCUUUACUUUCUAAAAACUUUAUUUUAAUUUUAAUACACAUCCUUUAAAGGAUCAUUUUGAAAUAUGGCAAAGAAGUGAACCAAAAUAUUUAUAAAAGACACCAAAAUAUUAGAUUAUAUCAACUUUUAUUCUUAUCUAUUAUUUUGUAACUAAGAUAGAAUCUAAAAUCAUUUUUCUGUCUUUAUCAAGGUUUGUUAUUUUUUUUCUUUUUCAAAGAUUAUCUUUUUUCAUAAAAAAUAUAUUAAUUUAGUUUGUGAGUGUAAUUGAUUUGUUUAUUAUUAUCUUUCUUUUUUUCACUUUUUUGGGACUUUUUCCUCAAGAAAAAAUAUUAUGAAUGUUUGUAAAAAUAGCAGAAAAAAUUAUGAUAAUAGAGUCUAUGUCACUUAUCUUUUCAAAAUUGCAAAAAUAGCAAAUUUAAAAGCAGAUUACCGUCUCAUUACCAUCAGAUUUGCCAAAUUUAAAAUAUGCAAAAAAGAGUUGCUAUGAGGUGUUUUUUUCUAAAAAAAAAUUUUGUCCUCUAAUGCAAUGUUCCAAAAUAUUAUAAAAAGCAACAAGUCAUAAUAUCCCCUUUUUUUAAAGUUCCUUUAUAAAUUUUAUUUAAUAUAUAACUUUUAUGUACAAAUUGGGUUGGAUAAUUCAAACGAUGGAUUUUUUUGCUAUUUAGCAUACAUUAAUACUUGAGUAGCUAAGUUCAUGUUGAUGGUUUUUUCCCUUAUAUACUGAAAAGGUUUUUCUUUUUUUUUUUGUUUAUUUAUUUUACUUUUAAACACAUGCCUUGAAACUAACAUCUAUUCAGAUGAAACAUUAUUCAUGAAAUCUCCCAAACUUAACAUUCAUAUAUGAAACAUUACUUCAAUCACAUUUAUUGAAACAUGUGAAUGUAUGUCAAGUCACACACCACACAAUACUUUAUUACAAUUGGCUAAGAAAAGAAUAAUAAAAUUUCCAAACAUAGAAACCACUUGACUUGGUCACAUAUAUCUCAAAACAUGAACAAAUUGGCCAUUAUAGUUGCAAUAGAAAAGAGAAGCAUAGGCCAUGCCCCAACUUUGGCUGCGGAGUUUCUAGGUUUUGGUAAAAUAUUAAUAGCAAAUUUCAUGCCUGCUUCGCAAUCAUCUCCAAAGGUCGACAUGAAAUAUCGACGCAUGGGUUGGCUUAAGGAAAUGAACUGAACUUUUCUAAAAACAAAGCUUGGAUUGACACAGCCGUCAAAAUCCGCUUGAGAAAUUGGCUGACCAAUGGAGUGGACCUCGUUGGAUCUUGAUUCAAAUACUACAAUGAAAUAAAAAAUAAAUAAAAAAAAAAACCAAAACACAUUUUUGUUAGGUAAAUAAUAAUAAUGACGAUAAUGACUUGAAAGUGGUUAAAAAAGUGAUAAUUACUGAGUUUAUCAUCAACGAAGAAAGUUCUGUUGCUAGCCCAAUCGGAGAAGAAGGUGGGAGUGGAGGGUAGGUUCCAACCAAAAUUGCCGCCGACCUUAUGUUCGACGGCAACACCAACAUGUAGGAGAACCCCAAGUAGGAGGAAGAAGAAGGCAAAGGAACUGAUUGUUGUAGUACUCAUAUUUUUGGAUAUUUCAGUGUUUUCUAUUGGGAUGAUGAUUGAGAAGAAGAAUGAAAGGAGGGGAGUUAUAUAUUGUUAUUUACGGAAGGAAAAGAGUUGCCAAAUUUGAAGUGAUUAGAUAACAUUGAAGCUACAACUUGUGGAAGCAGACGCCUCUUGUGGUUGCUUUUGAAAAUGUAUGUAUGAAAACGUGAUUCAAAAUUUUUAUAGAGUUUCUUUGUUUGAGUAAAUAAAAUUUAGUUUUUUUUUUUUUCAAAUAUAGUAAAAUUAAACAAAAAUAUUUUUAUAGAAUAUAGAAAGUUUUCAAUUCUAUCUGUGUAUAUCAUCGGUACAAAAUGAAAUUUUAAUACUAUAUUUUGUAAAUAUUUUUAACAAUUUUGACUUUUUUUCUUUUGCCCUUAUAAGUUUAAAAUAUUCAUAAAAUUUUAUAUUAAAGAAUUUAAAAUAAGAGGUCUUUCCAAAAAUAUAACAAGUAGUAAAAUAUUUACACUCUAUAAGAACAAUUUUGAAAACAGAAAAAGCUUAUAGAUCCACAGUAAAAAAAUAUAUAAAAAAUGUCAUGCGAUUAAUUGGCAUCCAGCACGUCUACUAUAUUUGAAAGCUCACAAUUAAUAUAUUUAAAAAACGAUCGUUUAGAUUUCUUUCAUAUAGGAAUCGUUUAGAUUUCUUUCAUAUAGGAAUCAUUUAGAUUUGAUUAUUUCUUUCCUAUACGAUGUUUAGAUUUGAUCGUACCCAAAUCUAAACAAUUUUUUUCAAGAUUCUUUGUAUAUGAUCAUUUAGAUUUGACAAGAUCUUGACACAGCAUCGUUAUCGUUUAAAUUUGGGUAGUCAAAUCUCAAUCGUUUUUUUUAGAGAUUUUUGGUACACAAUCGUUUAGAUUUGGAAGACGAUCAUUUAAAUUUGGUAAACAAAUCUCAACGAUUUUUUCAAGAUUCUUUGGUACACAACCGUUUAUAUUUGGCAAUCAAAUAUCCCAACGAUUGAUUGACACUGAUGCACUUCAAUCAUUGAUAAUUUAGUUUGUUUUUGUUAUUUUUAAAAAUAUCUCUAACUAGUUUAUAUCUAAUAGUUAAUUAAGCUAGUAGUAAUGAUUUAUUGAUAUUAAUUAGGUUUUUAUUUGUUCAUAUCCAAGUAUUCAAGUUAAGAGUAUUAGAAAAGUGAGAUGAAGUAUGGGAAAUAUGAAAAGGCCUUCAAAGUGCAAAGAGGGUUGGUUAUUGGCAAGUGGGAUUUUAAACAUUUGUUUAUUUUGGUACAUUGUUUACACUUUCUAAGAUUAUGGUUACACUAUGGGAUGGCUUUUAUUUAUUUUAUGUCAUGCAUAAAAUAAUAAUAUGUUUAUGCAAUCAUGUGUUUUUCCUUUUAAAUUCAUUGUUUCGUUUUACUAAAUUGAAUACAUUUCUUGAAGUGUUGUGUUGUAUAUUAAAAGGGCUUGAUAAGUAUGAAUUAGGUCCACUUGCCAUUGCAUUUGGGAGUAACUGAAUUAAAAUAUAAGUUGUUUGGUAAAAAAUUUAGGUGUUUGAAGAUCACCUAAAAUAUAUUUUGAAAAAAUGAGUUUAUAAAAUAACGUGGUUUCGAACAAAGAGUUAGAACCAAUUUUUAGAAAAAUGAAUUUUGAGUGUUUAAUGGUUAAUCUCCCUAACUUGUAUGAAACACUUCAACCAACAUCUUCAACUAUCUUCACCAACCAACCUCAAACAGUUGUCUUUGUCGAUUGUCGAUGAUUGUCUCCAACAACUGUGUUGGUGAACCAUCGACCAUUGAUUUUUACACAAUCAUCGACAACCAAUUUUCGUCUACCGUUUUUCCCUCAAAUGCUUUUGGACAUCCUUAGACCAUCGCUUUUUGACAAUUGUAAGUGGCGAAACUUCGGAUGAUUGUUUUUUUGUGGACCACUCCCACAAGAAAAAUAUUGACCACCAUUAACCGCCAAUGGUGAACCUCUCGUCAUCGUUGUCUUGCUACUGUUUAUAGUCAACUUUCGUCUAUUAUUUAUUUGGCAACCAUUUGUUGGCCAGUCUCCAAUAAUUUCUUUACGACAACCAUCAUCGAUCAACUUUCAAAGAACGUUUUUAUGGCAAUUGUUUUCUUCUACCACUGACUACCAACUUUUGUGUAUCGUUUUCCAUGCAACUACUGUUGACUAACCUUCGAUAAUUACUUUUAGUAACAGUUGUUGACAACUUUAGACUAUUGUUUCGAUGAUCAUUGUCGACCAACUUUUAUUGAUCGUUUUCAGUGACUAUUGUUGAUCGACUUUUGUUGAACGUUGAUUACCAACUGUUGUUGGUCAGCUUUCAUCGAUCGUUUUUUGUGACGGUUUUUCAUCAACUUUCGUUGACCAUUUUCAGUGAUCGUUGCUGGCCAACUUCAUCAACCUUUUUUUAUUACAGUUUCUGGCCAACAAUCAACGAUCAUUUUUUGGUAACUCUUGUCAGCCAACAUUCGUCGAUCAUUAUUUGAUGAUUGUUGUCAGCCAACUUUCCUAUAAUGUCUUUUGAUGGUUGUUGGUGGUCACUUUUGUUGAACUUUUUCUGUGACAGUUGUGGGCCAACUUUCAUCAACCAUUGCAAAGCAACUUCUGUUGACUAUUGUUCAUUAACCAUUGUCGGCCAACUUUCGUUAACCAUUUUCGUGAUCGUUACUUAUCAACUUUUGUCGAUUGUUUUUUGGUGAUCAUUAUCGGCUUACUUUUCUCAAUUGUUUUUCGGUGACCGUUGUUCAUCAACUUCAUCAACCAAUUUUCUAUGACUGUUAUCAGCCAACAACCAACAAAAGUUUUUCUAUGAUUUUUGUUGAGUGCCUCUGAACGAUCCUACCACUAACCUAUAAUUAUCAUUUUAAAGUAAUUGGUUGGCACCUUCAACCACCAUCAUCAAUGAUCAUUAGUGACUCCUAUCAAAAUCUCCACCAACAAAUUCUUUUAUUAUAAUUUAAAAUUAUAUAUUAAAGAAAACUAGUUUAUAACAAAUCAAACAAAAUAUUACCUAAAAACACUAGAAAAAAAAUUGCCAAAUGUUUAUUUUUCUUGAAGGAGCUUUUAGAAAAAAAAAAUGUUUAAAUGAAAAUUUCACUCCAAUAAAACUAGAAAUUAAUGACACAAAUUAUGCAUUACAGGACACAAACAAUUUUUGUGACACAUAUUUUGCGUCAUUGAAGCCACGUAAAGAUAUGACAUUUAUUUUUAUACAAUGAACAAAGUUUAACUAUUUGCUAAAAUAUUUUUAUACAUUUGUUUGUGAAAACACUAGAAGUUGAGAAAUAGAAAUAUAUUUGAUGACUAUUUAUUGUAGAAAAUAAAAUAGAAUUCAUUAGAAUAUAUAUACAAAAAAAAAUUAUAAAACAUUAAUAUUAUCAAAUACACAUAAAUUCCUUUGCAAAAAAUAAUAACUAUAAUACAAUUCAUAUAUAUUUUAACCUUCGUCAUCAAAGUUUGAUAAUAGCGUAGAUAGAUUCUAAACUUAAUUUGAAAUAAUUUUCUUUUUCUAUCGUUACAUUUGAACCUUCAUAGCUCUAUGUAAAAGUUCUCAUUGACCAAAUAUAAAGAUCCAAAAUUAAAAAAUAAUAAUAGUAGUAGUAAAUACAUUGCCAAAAUUAUUUUGUAACAUUGGAAACCUACCAAAAUAUAAGUGAAUCAAGCAGUACAUCCUAGAAAACUAUCAAACAACAAUAUAACAUCUAUGCUUGAUCUCUAUUUAGAAAAAGCAAAUUAUUUUAGUUUUCAUUUAUAUGAAUUCAUUGGAGAAAAGAAAAAGUUGAAAUAUCAAGAACCUAAAACAUUUAAAAAAAGAAAAAAAACAAAACCAAAGAACAUCGAGGACCAUUCCAACACCUAAAAGGUGUAUAAGAUCUUACAUUAGCCUAAUCAUCAACGGCAUACAAUUUUAAAUGCUCUUUUCGCUCCAAAUUCCUGAAAUCUCUAGUGGAGACCGACCUCCGAACCUGACCCGUGAUAUGUGCACCAUGGUGGUCUUUGAUGUUGAAGCUUGAGUAUUCUCUUGUCUUAGGCAACGGAGGCAAGUUGAGGUUAUUAGUUACCUGAAGAUGGCCUUGGAUUCUUGAUGACUUCCUGUUAGAGUAUGAAAUUGGAGAUAGCAAGAAGUGAGAGCUCCCUGUUCCCCCUCCCGUGUUCACACUCGAUGAGGUGCUCGUUGUCUUUCGACCUCCCGUGUUAACACUUGAAGAAGUGCUCGACAUUGUACUCCCCUUUCGCACUCCAUUGUUAACACUUGAGGACGUGCUCGUUGUAGUACUCCCUCGCUCUUCAUUUUGUUCGUCGUCAUCUCCCCUUUGCUGUGAAAGCUAAGAAUUACACAAUGUCAUUACAUACACCCAAGGUGGUUACCAUUAACUACAACAAUCAAUUGCUUUCGUAGCAGAAAGUAGAGAAACUACCUGUUUGGGAAGAUUUGAUUCUUCUUUCGGUAUUCCGGCAGUUAAAUCUUUCCUCCGGCGUUCACGGUGCGUAUGCGAACGCCUUGUAACUUUAGCAGUCCUAGACCUGUAAAUUGAUUGGGUAAAUAUAGUUUUGUGUAACUGAAAGGACACAUUUCUUCUCACUUAUUUACAUCAUCCAUAGUAAAUUACAAUUAGUACUUAAAUCAUUGCAAAUUGAUUACGAAUAUGUUUGAAGUUGAUUACCAAGCUAACAGAAAACUUACUUCUGCUGAUUUGUUUUAUCCGGUACAUCGGGCUCACUGUGGAUUAUAGGAAGAUCCGAAAGGCUGCAUGCCAGUGGGCUUGUGUAAAAGAACUGCGGAUUGUAGUUCAUGUUUGUUAGUAUAAUGCUUCAACUACAUUGUUAUACAAAUUGGCUACCUAAAUAAAUUUAGAUUCUAAGGUUGAUUAUAUACUUCAUUGUCAAGGGCUGAAGAUGCAGAGCCACGAUAUGAAGGCUCCAAAGCGAGUAGGGUGUUGAGUAGGCCUAGAGAAGAUGAGGGAAAAUGCUUAAAAGAUUCUCUGAGACUAGGUCGAUACGACUGUGGAGGUCUGAAAGUAGGUGGCAGCUUGAGUUUUCUCCAAUACUCCUCAGAUGGUGUACCACAUAACUUGAAAAUUUUGUGAAGUUGUUCAACCUGACUCAGCAUAAGAAUUCAAUUUUAAAACAAACGUCAUGACUUUAGUUUUAUCAGACAUUAACAAACUGUUCAACAUGGCUCAACUCAUAAUGAAUCCAUCUAUCAGAAAUCCAGAAACGAUGUAACUUCACCUCUGUUCGACCUGGCAGAAUUGGCCUUCCAGUGAACAUUUCUGCGAAGAGACAUCCAGCACUCCAUAGAUCAAUGCCAACCCCAUAUUCUGUAGCACCUAACAAUAGCUCCGGAGCUCGAUACCUGUUAACAAAAUACUUAUAAAAUCUUAAGCAUACAAUGAUAUAUCAACUUCAACUUUUCAGUUUAAUAUCUAAUGUCGUAUCAAUCAAAGCUGAUGUCUAUAAGUUGAUCUUCAGGAAUCAAAUUGGUUUUCUAGAUCCACGAAUGAGAUAUGUUAAAAAUAUACAUGAUAAAGAAUGAAUAUCAUAAAACCCUACGUAAAGGUUAAAAGCUAACAGAAUUACAAUACAACUCCUUGUCAAGUACUCGAGGUACUUGGAACCCACUUUCUUGAGAUGCUACGAAAGGCCAAUUACUCAAAACAAGCCUUCCUUCCUCCUUCCCCUCUCUCUCUAUUAGUAAUCAUAAAGCAUAACAAGCUCCCUAGCUAAUUACUAAUAUAUCCUUAAUAACAUUACUAUCAAAAUAUACCUUAACCUAUCAACCUAAGUUUUUGAGUUUAAGAGUGUGAUAUAACAAUACCAUAGAGUCACAACACGAUUUGUAAGAUGCCUCUUUGGACUGAAAAAAAUGGCAAGCCCAAAAUCGGCAAUCUUCAGCAUCCCAUUUUUAUCUAUUAACAGGUUUGAUCCUUUGAUAUCACGAUGUAGUAUCCCUUUAUCAUGGCAAUGCCUCAAACCAGAGAGUAGCUGAUGCAUAUAGCUUUUGACCUGCAACAAGAAUUAAGACAAGCGAACUAAUGUACAGCGGCAAAUUUGCAUCCAAAACCCCCUGAACAUCAUCAUAUAGUGAAGGAUAUAACCUGAGGCUCCGUAAGCCGUACAUCCGGGUGGGAAAUAACUCGGGCCAAAUCAGUCUGCAUAAAAUCAAAAACAAGAUAAAGACUGAACUGCAUUCUUGAGGUAGCCAAUCCUUCAAGUUUGACAAUGUUGGGAUGAUCAAGUUUCAGCAAUAUCAUAAUUUCUCUUGCCAUGAACUUCACACUCUCAGGUUCCGUUGUAUCAAAACGGACCUUCUUUAGGGCAACAAUCUUUCCAGUUUCCCUAUCUCGAGCUUUAUACACAUUGCUAUAACUUCCUUGGCCUACCUAUUACAUAAACAUUCCAAAGAUAUCAUAAAUAUUCAUCAACAACUUACAGAGGUAUUCAAGUUUAAAUUUCAGCCCAAUUGCAAUGCCUACGCUGUAUCAAUGUUAACAUUACGAAACAAAAUGCAAAUACCACCACGUAAUCAUAGUAGUCAUCAUAACUGCACACUCAUACUUUAACUUUGGCAAUUACGCCCUCAAACUUACGAAUCCGUAGCAUAUAUAUAUAUACCACUCCAUUAGUUGCAACUUGAACAAUCCACAAGAUAGCAUUUUUCAAUCUACCCUUUAACAUUAUCAUUCAGAUGUAGUCACCUUUCAGGAGAAGAAACAACCUUAUCAACCUUAUCACGAAAAUUCAUACAAAAAUUCCAGAGAUAAUCCAAAAUUCAAAUUUCCGUCUUAAAUGCAAAAACCAUACCUAAAUCAUAGGGUACAUCAAAUCUACAACUCCAAACUUAAAAGAAGACAAUUGUAGCAAUUAAACCCCCGUGAACUACAAUGAUUAUAACUUGAAAUUUAAAAGAGAACAAACCACUCCCAAAAUCAAACAAUCAAACUUAGAUCCCAAAUACCAAAUCACUCCUAACCUAUAUCCUCAAACUUACAAAAACAUCGCAAUUAAAACCAACAACUGCAAGUUAAUACAGAGAAUCUAAUUUCAAGGAAGACAAUUGUAGCAAUCCAACGAUCAAAAACCAAGGAACACCAGAUUUUAAGCAAAAAUAAACAAAAACAACCUUAUCCAGCUUGUCAUAGGCCUCCACACUCUUGGGAACCAAGCCAGCUAACACAUGUUUAGGAAUAUUACUAGUAAGCCACUUGGGCCAUCCAUCCACUAGUUCACUGUUGUCUGAACCAAAUUGGUCAUUCCCACCGCCGUGAGGCCUCUCUGCUUCAGAUGACUCCCUGCCAACAAAUCUCCUCUGCCCCACCGACCUCCGAUGAGCAACAAAACCAUCAAUCCCAGCAUACCCAUUGUCCAAUUUCAGCUUCUCAACUCCCCCAGCGGGCGAAUUCACCGAAUGCUUCGUCUGUGCACAGCCCAUGAAUUGGAGAGUGAAAUUUAGGGAUUGGAAAUUGGGGAUUUUGCAGAGGAAAGGGAAAAGGGGAUGAUGAGAAGGAUUUGGAGUGAGAGAUAUGGAUGGGGAAAAGGAGACGAGAUUGGCCGGCCAUGGCCGGCAGUUUUAGAAUCAUGGAAUGAGAGAGAGAGAGAAAUUUGAAGGGGGGGGUUGUUCUUAGGUUUGUCCGCUCAAUGAGUGAAGGGAACAACUUUUGUUAUUGAUAACUUAGGGAGGGAAUUGAAAGCAGAAAAUGGGGAGCUGGGUAUUUGAGAGAAGAGAAAAGUGAAUGAUGAAAAAUGGAGUGGCAAUGAUAGCGAAUGCUGUUGAAAAUGGAUCUUUGGCGUGCCGUUGUGGGGAAGAUGAUGAUGAUAAUGAGAUACUUUGUAGCUUUAACUUCAAAAUUGAAAAUGAAGCGGGAGAAGCCAUUUGGAAGAGAGGAAUUGGAGUGUGUAUAGUACAACAACAUUUAAAAUAUUGAUAUCCUCCCAAGUCCCAAAUCUCUUGGUUUCACCAAAAUAUCUAUUCAACUCUGAGGAUACUCCAUAGAUAUUUACAUUUAGAUUUUACACCAAGUUAACAUAUUUAUUAAUGAAAUAUUGGCCACAACUUUUGAAAACAAAUGAAUUUUGGUUUUAUGCUGAUGUCAACUAUGUAAAGUUAUUAUUUCAACCCCAAAUCCAAUCUUCUCCUUCUUUCUCGUUUUCCAACUUUUUUCUUCUUCUGCUUCUUUUUUACUAUGUUUUUUCUAUCUUCUUUUGUUUCUUCUUCUUCUUUCCCAAGGCUAGAAAUCAAAAGGUUUUGUCUUUUAUUUUUUGCUUUUUCUUUUUCUUAAGGGUAGAAAUUAAAAAGUAGGAAGAAUAUUUGAUAAACGAACAAAAAAAUUUAGGACAAAUGGUAGUUGUGUCACAUAAGGAACAAAGGAAAAAACAAGAGUAAAGAGUGAAAAAAAAAAUGUCUUCUUGUGAACUUUGGGGUCAAAUUGAUACUUUUUCAGACGUUUUCUUAAAAUUCAUUAAAAAAAUUCAUCAUAGCAAAAAAAAUUAGAAAAAAAUAGUUCAUAACAUCUUUUUUUUACCUAUUACAAAUAUGUCAAGUAAUUAAUUAUAUAAAAUGACUAUCAUAGGGUUAUUUGUUUUUAAAUUUACUACUUUUGCAAUUUAGAAAAUAUAGUGACAUGGACUUUAAUAUCAUAAACUUUUUUGCCUGUUUUUUCAAGCGCCCCAAAAUCAUUUAGAUCAUCCAUACAAAUUUCUGUUUAUUAAUUAUAUAACAUUUGUUGGAGUGAAAUUUGGUUUUUUUUCUAUGUUUUGUAAUUUGUUUACGAUUUAAUGAAAAUAUUUAUUUACCUCUCAUGUUAAUGCCAAGUUUGUAGAAACUAACUAGAGGGGCAAGAAUAACCAAAUUAUAUCAAGAACAUAUAUAUAGCCCAGGUGAAAGAUAGAAAAGUGUUCAAUUUUGAAACAUAGGAAUCAAUUAGAAACUAAACUCAAAACUUAGAAAAGUUUCAAAACUAAAUUUAUGAAUGCGACUCAUUUACACACAUUUCACUUUUAUAAUCGAAAGUAUGUUUUACGCCAAAACGUGACAAGAUCCAAAUUUAUAACCAAAUUUAAAAGGCCGCAAAAUCUUACUAUUUAGUUCAGAAAAAAAGGAGUAAAAGCAUAGCUCAACUUUUUUUUUUUCUCCUAGUUGAACUUGUUACAAUUUUAGAGAUAGUAAUAGAUAUGUCCAGAUGCCUCACCUGUUGGCUUUUAUGUGAAAAUAAAGCUUAGAAUCACACAAAUCAUUUCAUUCUAUAUCAUCCUUUUAUUCCAAUAACAAGGAGAAAAGUCCUUUCAAAUCAAUUCUAUUUGGAAGCCUUCUAAAUUCUUCUCAGAGCUGUCCAUGAAAACACAGUUCUGCUAUAGAUUCUAGAGUACAAAAUACAAAUUUACAAUAGGUAUCAAACAAGAUCAGUAAAAAGGUUGAAAAAUACAAACUUGCCGAUCCAAUCACACCCCCAAUUUCUUGCAUCUUCUAUGCAGAACCACAACCCAAUCCUGAUCGAGCAAGGAAAGAUCUCGCUAAAGAGCAAUACUUUUCUUUCUGCUUUUUAUAUUCUCCGUAACGUAGAAAGAAAUAACUAAGGUAAUCAAAAUCAAUCGGAGACAUCCUUGCCUAUAAAGCAUAGUAAAAUGAAUGAACAUUUCGAGUCAAAUCAAAUUGUAUAGAUGGGAAGGACAGUAGAAGAAGCAAGGUACCUGUAUAAGUGCCCAUAAAGCCCAAUACAAGUGAGAAGCCAGCAUGAACGUGUUUGACUCCACAUAGAGAGCUUCUAGAUCUUUUUGAGAAACCUUUCAAGAGAAGACGGUAGUUCUAGUUAGUAUAAAAAAUGAUCGCUAAAGUAUAAAUAACAUGUCUGCAGAUCCUCAAAGUGUGUUACCGUGCUAAUAAUUUUCUGUUAUUCAUACAUUUACAUUUCACUCGUGUUCAAAAAUAUCUGUUAGGCACUAGAUAUUUAGUUUUUGUUAAUUUAGGCGUAUUAAGGGUAAUUAGAAGAUUUGUGGCAACAACUAUGAUGGAAAGGAUGGUGUAUAAAAUCUCAAUCCUGCGGCGUUUUAUAUUGAGGUUCCAAGGUAAGGAAAGCGUUCAGAAAAUAUAAGAUUGGCAGAGGUCAUCGUGACUUUUUAAGAUGCAUCAAACAUCGUACAUAAAUCUUUGGGUGUGACUACUUUUUUAGCAUUUAAAUCGUUUAUGAACGAAAGAACACAUAGGGAUAAUGCCAACCACACCUCAUCUGGUUUUUCAGGCUGUAAAUAAUGCCUGAAGAAAUGAUACUGUUCUUCCUUGGAUGGAUAACUGCUCGGCAAUUGAUAAACUAUAGUCAAACAUCAAUGUUACUACAUUUUAGAAAGAAAAAUUGCCCAUGAAAAGCAGAUUAAAAACCUACCAGCUGUAGUCGCAGUCAUAGCCAGCAUAUUCAUUGAAGUGAUUACCAAUGUCAAAGCCUCUGUAACUGUAUGAUCCGUACUCGAAAUCAAUGAAAUAGAGUCGUCCUGUAUAUGUUUGUAAGACAAGCAAAGACAUCAAAAGGAUGAGCAUCUUAGUGGGGGAAAACAGAGAAGUUCAACUAAAGCUCACAACCAAUAAAACGGAUCCUUGGUUGUCAAGUUCCCCUCAGUGUAACGUCCACGUUGCUACCAUUGUAUCUACUCCGACUUCUCAUAAGUUGUUCAUUCUCAAAGGUCAAAGAUAUGUUAUUUUCUCUUACACAACUAUUUGUAAAGUAGAAAAUACUUUAUCUAGAUCAUGCUGCUUAAGGAUUUGAAGAACCAAACAACAUCCAGUCCAGUUCAAAUUCCCAUCUCCUAACAACUCAGUCUACCAUUUUUCAUUAUUCACAAGGAAUAAACAUCCUUAAUAUUCGGAUGUGAUUGUGAGUACAUGGGAACGGGGGUUCCUCACAUUCAUACCAUAAAGAGGGAAAAAAGAAUGUUUAUGAAAAAUAGAGAAGGAUAAGUAGAUGUGAUUGUCAGUCCAUGGGGACGGGGGCAUGGUAAUACUUUAUAUUAAAGAUGGAAACAAUGAUGAUAAUGGAGAAUUUGAAGGAGCCAAAUAGAGAAGUAGAAUGUAUUAUCAGAGGGGGUUACCUUCUUCCUCAUUUAGCAUUAGGUUCCCAGAAAGCAGGUCGUUGUGAGCAAACACUAUGGGUGCAUUGAGAAGGCUUGUUAGUUCCUGUCAAUUAUGGCAAGUUGCAUCAACAAACAGGAAUCUCUUUUCUAAAGCCAUGUGUAUGAUUCGUGAGUGACAGCAGAUGGUCACUCAAAAUAUAGUCAAACCUAGUAUAAAGAACCAAUAAAAAGUCUCAAUCGAAGAAACAACCUUAAUCUCAAGUAUUUCAUUGUGAAUUUCCUGAAAUGAAAUUGUAUCGUAUAUACUUUGCUUUCCGGUAUCAUCAAAUUGCAGUGUGGAGGCUGAAAAUCAAUAAUCAGAAACGUCACAACCAGUUCAAAAGAAACUAGAACGUUCAACUGCAUGAGGGGUCUGCUGACCAGAAGCCUGUUCUUGGCCAAGAAAAAUAACCUUUAUCGUAAAAGUUUAAGAUUUCGUUCCAUAACUGAGGUUCAUUAGAACCUGGAAUAUAUACUUUGUGGAAUUUAUUAAGCUGUUUAGCAAUUUCGGCAGCUAGCUCUGGCUUUCUCAAAUCUGCAAAACCAAGCAAAAUUAACAAAAUAUUUGUUAUUAAUCAUAGGGUUCAUAAGAUAUUCCCAUAGAUAGAAAAAAUGGUUUGUUAGAUAUACGCUGACGCAUGCGAACGUUAGAGGUGGGAAAGCACUUCCAAGAUAAACACAGAGGCAACUCUAUUAAUGGUAAAAAAAUAAUGGACAACUCAAAUUCAGCUUAUUUAAAGUCAUCGACUUCGUGUUCAUUAUCUGAAAGUUUCAAAGGUUGCAACCUUACUUGAACAAGAUAUGUUCUAUUGUGCACAACUGUUUCUUCUAAAAAAAGUUGCAAGGGUCAUUCCAUUUAAGUUUUGACAGGAGUUGUAAGAGCUUUAUAGUUCUUCACUAUUACUCCUUUAUGUUCAUCAAUUGUUCUUUAGUACUUUUUUUGUCAUUGUCCUUUAGAGUUGUCUUGUUUUGUGACUUUCAAUAUUUUGGAACAUUAGUUUUUUUAAUGAAAAGGGUGAUUUCCUUUUCAAAAAAAUAAAGAAUCCCCCAUUUCAAGUCUGAUGAAACCGCACAUCUCCUAAGACAGACUAUUAUUCUCCAAACUCAUCAAACAAUAUCCUUGAACACAAUCAAGGAUUUUCUUUUUAUUGUACCUUUUUAUUCUUCUUUUACAUGAAACAACUUUUUUUAUUGUAUAAAUAAAAAGAAACUAAUGCUAGAGGGAUAUGGAUGAGAUUAAUACAAAGCAAUAACUGAAUAUAGAAAGAAAAAAAAAAGCAUAUAGGAAAUAUCCUUUGUAAAGCGAUAACUGUUCCAAAUAUUUGUAAUUGGAAUGGCUUUAUACUACCAAUUUUAAUUAUUUUUGUAUUACCUUUAUUUUAUUACUUGUUUUUCUUUCUUAUUUCCUCUCAUGGGGUUUUGUACUUUUGAGCAUUAUCCUCUUUCCAUUUCAUCAAUAAAAAGUGUUCGCUUCAUCACUUGUUUCCUUUCAAAGAAAAAAAAAGCACCAGCAACUCUUCAUGCUUGGAACAGAAUUGUUAGAUGAUAUAUGAUUAAAUUGCCUUCAUCCAGUAGCUUAAACUUUGGGUCAAUUGGUGAUUUAAGAUUAUAAUAUCUAACAGUAAUAAAUGAGUAACCUUUUCAAGGAUUCUCAAUUAUUAGUGACCCCCACCAAGGACUCUCCAAGCAAGGCAACAAUUGGGAUAUUCCUCAAAUCCAAUUGUGAAUAAGGCGAAACAUCAUGGGAGAAUCUGAUGGAAGAAUCAGAUGAGCUAAAUCGGUGUUUGGAUUUGAAUCUUCGUUUUCAAUAUCCAGGAAUAGUUUAAGACCUCCAGUAGUCCUUAGUAAAGACCAAUAAUAUUAAAUCACCUGGAAACCCAUAUGAACUAAUGUAAUGCAAAAUCAAUAUAGAUUACAAAUCAGAAUCUUCAAUAGGAGAAGGAGACUGAGUAUUUGAAAUGAACUUGGACAAAAUAAAAACCCAAUUUAAUAAACUGAUUGAAAAUAUUGAAAGAAGACACAUAUGGAAUCAUUCACACAUAUCCAGGGGCAGAUUACACUUUUAUAAGCCACGUACUCAAAUCUUUCCUCUCCUCGUCCCUCUUCAAGAUCCUAUCAAAAUUUGCUUCUACUAUUGAGAAACUCUAUAGAAGCUUCCUUUGGAAGGGAUGCUUAUUGCAAUUUGGAGCUUGUCUUAUUAGAUAGCAUAAAGUUGCUAGAUCUAUCCCUAAUAGACACGUCGAGCUUAAAAAAAUUCAAAAGAAAAAGACUUCCUUCAACAAUGUUUGGACUGCUCUUCUCAAUUUUGAGUCUUUGGCAGUUUGUUCAUCCAAAACUCAAGAGAAGCAUUCCCAGGUUCAUCAAGCUUACCAAUCUUUCAAGUCUUUGUUCACUGAAGUAAAUCCAGAUCUUUUGGAAGUUUCCAGCUCUCUAAUCCAAGCUAAUGGUUGCAUUACCAGGCGAGGUACAUUGAACUCUCAUCAAGAGUGCGAGCAAAAUCCAAGCGAGGUGCAAUAUGGGAUUGCUAAUCCAGAAGAAGCUGGCAGUCUUGAUGCUCAAGAAGCUCUUGAAUCAGAUGUUGAAUCAGUUUAAACUAUAGGACUUAUGAAUUGGCCAUUGGGCCUCAGAUAUCCUUUCACUAUCUCUUCAUAAAUUUUGGAGUUGACGGUCUCCAGCCAUGGGCAGCUUAGGCAGAUUCUGUGACUUCUCAAAAUCUUCCGCAUUUCUUAAGGAAAUUCCUACCAGAGCUUUAGAACUCGAGUACACAGUUGUACAAUCUAUAGAACAAAUCUCGUUCAAGUAUGGACGUAAUUCCCACAAUGACUUGGAUGAACUUCCUUCCAAGCUCCUGAUUACGGCCAUACUGCACAUUUAGUGCUCCAACAUAAAGAAGAUCUUAUUGAUAAGUGAGUUGUACCAAAUAUAUCCCUAGUUUACUUGAAGAAAUGUGAUUUGCACUGGGUUUUGCAACAAAUCCACUAAUGAAUUUUCAGACCAGCGUAAUUGGAAAACAGAAGGAGGGACUAAUUUCUUGCCAUGUUUUCAUCUUCGACAAGAGGCUGUCAUUCUCUAACCAGUGCCGAAAUACUUAUUGUUUACACAACAGCUCCUUAAACCCAUCACUCAAAACAGGGGCUGGAUAAACCAGAAACAAAACUUCAAAAAGAAACUAAAAUCUGAUAAUUAACUUGGAAGCUGAAAUCAGAUAAACUGAUAAACCAGUUGAAUCUAGCCAAAAAUACCAAGAUCAAGGAAUCAACCCUGAAAUGCAGAAACAAAAGGAGGAGAGAAGAGAGUACAUGGGGGUGGGGUGGGGGGGAGCCUGUGGUUGUGAGCAUGAACUACUUAAAGAAUAAUCUCCAUUUACCUCAAUCAAGGGAUAUAUGAACUACUGAAUUGUUCAAAACCCAGCCCACAUAUUGCUAAACGUGAAAACAAAUUUUAGACCAAGUCUAACUAUUAGAGCGCAAAUAAGGUUAAAUUAAUAUUUCCUUCUCUAUCCAUAUAUCUUAACUGCAAAUCUCUCAGUGCAGCUACUAUUAAAAUGAAAUGCUACAUAAUUAUGUGACAACAUUCAGCAUUAAAGAUUAAAACUGAACUAUCUGCAAACAAGGUGUAAAUCAGAAAAAUUCUAAAUGCUUUUUUACCUGAUGGUUCUAGUGUACGUGCAUGAAUAAAUGACUGCACCAUUCCAUUUUUAAAAACUCCAAGAAGCUUGGCACCAAAUCCUGCAGCUGAAAGAUAUUUGAUUGCCUAAUACAAGAUUUCAUGAGAUUACAGAGUGAAUGAUAAGAUAUAAGCAAAGGUCACACACAACAAGGGAGAGAAAACCAAGUGAAAGAUAAACAAUUAGUAGCAUUAUCUGAAUAAUCAAAUUCAAGAUAAAAUUAUAUUUUUUUAUGAAAAAAAUGGUCUGGUGAUAAGAUUGUACUCUAAAUUUCAUGAAAUCGACAUGAACUUUUCUGAAUCCUCUUGGUUCAAGAGCAUGCAAGUAAGGGGGAUACAACCAUGAUACUAUUGGGAAAAACCAUUGAGACAGAAAAAUGGAACAGAAGACAAGGAAAUGGUGGAAGAGAAAGAAGAUAAGAGAUUCAGCUGUAAGACCUACACUACACCCUUAAGAGACGUCAACAACUUCAAUCAAGUAUCAGACUCUUAAGUCACAAGAUCCCACCCCAGGCAGUUAGCGCUCUCCCUGUCAGAAGCAAGAUAUCCCUCACAAAGCAUAUAACUUGGACUCAAUUACAGACAGAAAAUCAGCUGGCAUUCUCCUUAACAAAUGUGAAUUGAUUGCAGAGAAAAAGUCUUCAAUACCACUUGUAAACACACACAUAGUAUGUGUGUGUGUGUAUUUUAAAGAGCAUAAAAUAGAAAUGAGCAGACCUUACAUUAACAGCUCCACCCAGAAUACCAAAAACAAUUUCGCUGAUCAGAUCAUUCACUAAGCACAACAAUAUUAAUAAAUAACCACCAUCGAAAAUAUUGGAUCAAUUCCCAAGAUGCUAAUAGUAAAAAAGAAAUAUAUGUGUAUAUAGAAGAAAUAUAGAUGAGAUUAAAUUUCUUCUAUGUCAAAGCUAUAGUUCUUGAUUAUCACGUACGCCAAAUAUACAGCAUGAGAAUAUUUUCAAACAAAGCCGAGUUUAGAAUACUUUAUACGUACUUCAAUUAAACGUAAUAAUAGAGAUCAAUAUCGAAUUUCUAAGUUCUAGAACCGUGCAUAUAUCACCUUAAGAAUGGUUAGAUUCGAUUUACAGAGUACAUGAUUCGAUUGUAUUAGGGCUUACACUACGCAAAAAGAUGAAACACCGUUGCCCGCUAUGAUAAUGAGAAAAAAGAAAGAAAACGACGUAAAGAACAGACUAAAACCAACUACACUUGGCGUACACAACAAACAGAUAAUUAAACACUAAGUAAUCGAUCAAGAAACGUCGCAAGUCACCUGUAGUUCCCUGUCACGAUUGAUAACAUAAUCCGUGUUAGGUCCAUAUAGUCUGACGGUGACAGAAACGGAAGUACCACUUUCCUCUUUCACCGUAACCUUUAGCACUGGAGAAGUCAGAAAAAACACAUUUCUAUUACAGACAGAACUCCACAAGCAAGAAAGAAAUCACUAAACACACAUCGAACACAGCCUCGCCUUAAUCAAAUUGAACGAAUAAACACAUUAUGAGCAAACACUCACGCUGAUUAGUGAUUCCACCAGAGACCGUUUCAACAGAGAACCGAGAAGCAUCCAGCUCCGACCACUCCUUGAACAGAUCCUUACACAACUCGCUGCAAGAAAAAUCAAGAAAAAGGAAAACUGAGAACAAAAUUAACAAAACAAACCUCCAUAAUUACCUUCAGUAACCGCAUACCGCGAGCUCCAAGAAGCAAGGAGAUGAAAAUCAUCAUCAAAUUCAUAAAAACAAGAAGCACUCUGGUCGUCUUGGUUCCAGUUUAUGGAAAAAACAGAACACAAAAAGGCAAAAAUACGCAGUAUAAACAAUCCGUGUGAAGAAACUAGAAACGAAACGGAAGAGGAAGCAAUACGAACAUUAUGCGAGGAGUUAUGGCGGGAAGAGGAAGAGAGUGGUCGACGGAAAGAUACGAUAGCUGAUACGACUCGGCGUUGCUAUCUCCAUCUUCUACAGCUUCAACCACAUCGACGUCGCCAUUGUAGAUCUUCUUGGCACCCAUGAUUUGUUGAAGUUUUUGUUUGUGUUGAGAAAUGAAUCAAAAGAAGAAAAAUGAAAAUAUUAAUGGAACAUAUAUUCCUUCAUCUACGAUUCUGUCUUCUCUAAUACCCUCCUGGGCAUUCUCCACCGCGCGAUUAUAAACGUCUUAACUUAAAUUUUCUUAAGAUUUCUUUCUAACCAAGUUUAACAUUAUUGUUAUUAUUGUUAUUAUUACAACAGUUUAUUAGUGCAAAAGCUACAACCCUUUUUCUUUUAAAUAACGUCAAUUUUGAAACAUACUUAAAAAUACAAAAUUAUUGACAAAAAUAAGUCGAACAUCUCCCAUUUUUUUCUUAUUUUUAUAUAUACAUUACGUUCGGUUCGUGACUUUAUCUUUUUUCUAUUAUUUAUAUAUAUAUUAGGGUGAGUCCUACACGUUUUUCUUUUUUUCAUUAUAUAUAUAUAUAUUAAUUAUUCAAAUUCUAAAAAUAUAUCUUUUUAUUAAAUUAUUUUUUUCCUUUUUUCUUUUUAUAUUUAUUAAAUAUAUCAGUCUUCCAUUUUUCUUAUUAAAUUCAUCUUUCUAAAUUUAAUUUAAUUAUUUAUUAAUCAAAAUUAUAUCAUUUUUUCCAAUUUUUAAUUAAGAAAAAUAUGUAUUAAUAAAAUAUGUUAUUAAAAAUAUAUAUUAUAAAAAUUAAAAUAAUUAUUAUUAUUAUUAAGAAAAGUUGAAGCUUACCCUAGCAAUAAUAAUAACAAUAAUUUAUGAUAAAAAAAGUUACUAGUUAAAUUUUUUAAAUUUAAUUUGUAAUCGAACCAUAAUUUUCAUGAUCAGCUUUAAAUUAUUUCACAAUUCUUGUUUUUUCUUUUUGCCAAACAUUUAUUUAUUUUAUUCAAUUAUUCACUUGAUCCAUGUGUAUUGGUGGCUUUAAUUUAAUUUAUAAACGAACCAUAAUUUCCAUGAUCAGCUUUAAAUUAUUUCACGAUUCUUGUUUUUUUUCUUUUUGCCAUAAACAUUAAUUUUUUUUAUUCAAUUACCCACUUGAUCAAUGUGUAUUGGUGGCUUCAAUUAUUAUUAUUAUUUUUUUAGGGUAAGUUUCAACUUCUCUCAAUUAUUGUUGUCUUUUUUAGUAAAAAGAAAAAUCUAAGUCAAUAAUGAAAAUAUCAUGAAAACAUUAACAACUCAGACUCUCCAUCUUCAAGCACGUGAUCUCAAAGCCUUCAUCUUCCAUCUUCGAGCUCCUGGUCUCUAACCCUUCAUGUUCUCCAUCUUCAAGCUCAAUAUACCGCCGUUCUUCACAAACUCAUGUAAUAAAAAAUUUGUUAUUCAUCUUUGAGCUAACAGUUUGCAAACCCCAACAUCCCAUUUCCAAACACAAAUUUUAUCAUAAAAACACUAAAACUUCAUCAUUAAUCUUACAUCUUCAAACCAAAAUUACUAAAAUUUCAAAUGUUUUAGAACCAAUGUAAUUAUAAUUAAAGGUUAAAGCCAUAAAUUCUAGAAUGGUUUUUUUAGAAAUAAAUAAAUAAAGACAUUUCAUAAUUUACAUUAAUAAUUAAUAAUUAAAAAUCAUUUUUAUUAAUUAACAAUACUUCAUUUGAUUUGAUUUAAUAAAUGACAAAAUUAUUCAUCAAUUAAUUUUAGAAAAUGAAGAGUAAAAUAAGAAGAAAAAGUUAUUUUAGAAAAGGAAGAGUAAAAUAAGAAGAAAAAGUUUCUUCAUAUAGGAGCUUUUAUAUACCGUUUAUAUAUAUAUAUAUAGAUAUAGGUAAAGAGAAUAAUUAUUCUUAUUGGUCGUUUUCAAAUUUUGAGGAAUGUAUUUAAAAAUGGGAUAAAAAUUGAGGAACUACUAAAAGUAGUUUUCUCCAAAUUGGGUUUCUAUUUCAAUUGAUUGUGUUUGUAACAUGUAAUAAAAAUGGUCCAAUACUAGCUUUCCUAGUUUCAUUUUAUUUCUUAUAUGUAUUUUUUUAUUUUCUAUUGAGCUAUAUUACUUUUUCUAUUAUUUUAUUUAUUAAUUUUUUUGCAUUUAUAUGUUUAAUUUUAUUUAAAAUUUUAAAGUUUUAAAAAGUUUACUUUUUACUUUCCAAAUUUAUAAGAAUAAACUCGUUUCGUCCCAAGUUUUUAAAAUAUAUUUUUUUAGUUUCUUAAUUUUUUAAAUUAAGUUUAAAAGGUCUAUUUGAAUAGGUCCCUCAAAUAAAUUUUUAUUUUUAUUUUAAAAUAAUUAUAUGACAUUUUAAAUUAGAAGAAUAAUUUCUAAAAAUCAUAAUCUAAAAAAUAUCAUAUAAUUUUUUAAAAAAAAUCAAAUAUAAAAUACUUUUAAGACAUUAUAAACUUAUUUUUAAAAACUCAAUGAGUAAAAGUUAUAUUUUAAGAACUCGUGUCCAGCUAAAAAUGUCCAUUUUUAAAACUCAUAGAACAAAAUCACAUAUUUAUGAAAACUUGGAAACCAAAAUGGUAGUUUUCUAUGCAUUUUUCAAUAUUUAAAUUCAAACAAAGGUUCAAUUUUUAAUAUGUUUAUCUAAAUAUUUUCCUUAAUUCUAAAUUCCAAAAUUUUGCAAUAGCAAUGCUUGUAUGUUAUUGUUUAGAUUUAAAUUUAUUAUUUUUCAAAUUUACAUUAUAUAAAUUUUGUUUACUAACCUAUUCAUUUAGAUUAUCGUUAAUAUUUUACGACCACGACAUUUACAUAAUAAUAUAAUUGAGUUAGAUUUGAACCAACACCAUUUAAGAAAUAAAUUAAGUGAAAAAUGAUAUUUCAUAUCAAAUUUUAACAACAUAUGAUAAAUAAAAAUGGUUUUUUUAAAUGAAAAUAUAACAAACUAACAAAAUAUUUACUCUAUAGAAAGAUUUUGAAAACAGAAAAAUUUCACAGACUCACAAUGUAAAAUACCAAAACUGCUCUAGCCAACACGUGAUUAAUCAUCCACACGUGCACGUGUAAUUUUUCUUCUAAACGACCAUGAUACAUGAUCGUGUAGGUAGUUCAUGAUACAUGAUUGUUUGUUCAUGAUAAACGAUGGUUUUAAAAAAAAUCAUAGUAAACGAUCGUGUAGAUGAUGAUACACAAUCAAGUAGUUUUAUUAUAAACGAUGGUUUUGAAAAGCCCUAAUAAACGAUCAUGUAGAUCAUGAUACAUGACUGUGUAGUUUAUGUUACAUGAUUGUGUAGUUCAUGAUAAACGAUAGUUUUGAAAAGCCAUGUAGUAAAUGAUCAUAUAGUUCAUCUCUGUCCACGACACAUUAAAAAAAAUAAUACAAGAUUAAUUAUUGGUUGAAAACAAAGAUAAUAACAGUAGAAGUAUAAUGAAAAAAAAUAAUACUUUAUAUAGAACAAUGAUCAUUAUUUCAAAAAGAUAUAAAAGAAAAAUUUUAGAAGAAGGUAAGGAAAACAUUGUUGUCGUGAUCGCAGCUGUGAAGAAGAUGGAAAGAAAAAAUGAAGAAACCAAAGUUGGGUGAAAAUUAAAAAACGGCAAGGGCAAACCUGAAAUAUUUUUUAAAAAAAGGUCGGUUUCAUGGACUGUUUAUUUUGUUACAUGAACGAUAAAUAUUUUGAAUUUUGUUACAUUUAUGUAAAUUACCCUAAUAAAAACAAUAUAUAUUAUAGUUAUUAAUUUUUCUGGGAACGUAUGUGUAUAUUAUAAGGUCAAUGCAUUAUAAUUAUUUUUAUAUUUUAAUGAACGUUACAAACAAAUGGUAAAAGAAUGUAUUCUCCAUCCCGUCCCCAUUUGGUCAACAGGGAGAAAAUUCUCUUUAUUCCCUCCCUAAUCUAAUCACGGAUUAUCCAAUCCAAGAAAAGUCGGGUCCAACCUCAUGGGGAAUAUGAACAUCUUUAGUAGUGAUUUUGAGAUGAUCAAAAUCCAUUUUUCUCUCGUCAAAAUCACUUUUCAUAUUCAAAUGAUGGUGUUUAGCAUGAACUAAAAUUGAUUUUAGAAAAAUAUAAAAUCAUUUCAAAUUUAUUUUGGAAGAAUUACGUGAUAGGUAAUUUUUGUUUAGUGAUUGACCGAAAAUCACUCUCAAACUAGUUAUCUAAUUCAAUUUUUGUAUAAAAUAUUGUUAGUUAACCAUAUGUGAAUUUUAUUUAAUUUUAAACAUUUGAACAAAAAAAAAUGGCAUACACAUAGUCUAUCGUUAAAUUGUUAAUAAUUCAAACAAUUAUAUAUGUUUCAAAUUUUCUUUCAAUAUCUAAGUAUGAACGUAUAUCAGCAUAUAUGAUAUAACAAUAAAAUAAAUAGAAAUAGACUUUUACCAUAAUUAUUUAGUUAAAUAACUAUUUAUAAUCUUGAAAAUACAAUUACUAAUUGGAUAAUUUUAAAUUAAUUUUUGGAACCAAAUAUACAUACUAAUUAAAAAUCAGUUCUAAAUAUAUGAAUAUCACUUUCAACGGUUUGCUAUCCAACAUAAUUUUGAUGGUUAAAAAAAUAAAUUUUACAAAAUCAAUUAUACUGGAUCUCUUUUAUUAAAAUCACUAGUCAACAAUCACUCUCAACCACACCCUACAAUCAAAUUUAUGUUUGGUAUCAAACUCGUAAAAGUGAUUUUCAUAUAUUUAGAAUUGAUUUUCAAUUGUUAUGUUUGGUUCCAAAAGUUAAUUUAGAUCUACCUAAUUAGUAAUUGUAUUUUUGGUUAGAGAAGUAAUUGUGGUAAAAAUCCAUUUCUAUUUAUUUUAUUGUUAAAUUUUUAUAUGCAUGGUGUCACACCCCACCCCGAGUAUAUGCUUGUUUGGCCCGUGUUGUGGCUUGAUGUGGCAUGAUGCCAGUUGAAGCUGUUCAACUCUGUAACAACUUCAACUGACCCUUGACUUGAAAGCGUGAAACAUUCAACAACGAAAGGUUUUAAACUUUGAAAUACUUUAAAACUGUAGUAUGAUCCAUUUGAAAUGUCUUUUAUAAAUGUAUAAAACGUGAAGACGUAAACUCUUAAUACAACACAAUGAUGCUUCUAUUAUUAACGUAUUCGUUUGUAGUACUAUGUUUCCCUUUUCUAUUUUCUCAUCCCUUUUACUUUGUUUUUUCUUUUCAAGGAAAUAAGUGGGGUGAGUGUAUUAGAGUAAGCUUGCAUGUGACUUGGGAACCUCUUCUUAGAAAAGUUUACCCAAUUUUCUCAAUUUUUUUUUUGUUGCAAAAUUUAGCUUCUUUUCUUAGUAAAUGCAUAUAUAUAUAUAUAUAUAUAAACAUGACUGCCCAACCCUUAAAUAUGAGCUCGGGUUUGUGAUGUGAAAUUCUGAUAUUUUUGUAUGUGCUAAAUUCUCUUAAUAUGCAUGUGUCUUUUUGUUUCUAUACCCCAUUUUGAGCCAUACCCAAGUUAUGAAUUAUUGCACGAAUGUCAAUUGGUAUAUGUGAUGUGAUUGAAUGAUUGCUUGUAUAAUAAAUCCAUGGAUGCUUUUCUAGCUUUGUCUUCUUUGAUGCGUUAUUAGGAUAUAUGUAUAUGAUACAGUUAGUCCAAAUCUAUCCUAAAUAGUUAAAAAAGGAUAGGAACUGCUCUUUAGAAGUUGAGACGAUUUUAAAACUUUUAUUUUGUCUAACAUGAGUUAGAAAUAUCUUGUCUAGCCACAACAAACUAGAUCCCUUUAGAAACUAUUAGACGUUGAUAAGACUUGUUGUCACUCCAAAGAGAGCAGCCAAACUUAGAAACUAAGUUUAGAACUAUAGAAAGGUUAGCCUACUAGUUCUAGCAAGGCCUAGUUACCACGUUGCAUACUAAAGAAAGAAAAUAAAGGCUUGCAUAAAGAAAAGGUGAGGCAAUUAAGAGCUAAAGAGAAAGUAAUAUGCAUUAGAAAAAGCUCAUAAAAAAAGUGAGAGGUCGGUUAAGUCAAGUAAAAUGUGUUCAGUUCAGAAAACCAAACAACCUUCUCUUAGCCUUCUAACCAUAACAUCAAGUUUGAUGAUGGCUUUGAAAAGAGGAGGAAUCCUUCGUGAUCCACAACAGGGAGAAAAAAGUCUAAAGCGUCUUUCAUCUUUUCAAGCAUGUUUAGCAUUCCACUAGCAAAACUUGAGUGUCUAUCUAAACAUGCUUGUUCUGGAUGAACUUAGUUAAAAUUCAACCUUAAUCGAUAACUUGUAAUCUCUUUGAUAGUUUGAACUAAGUUUAAGCAUUGAGUAACGUGGCUAGGUUGACUCGUUAUAAAUGCAUCCUUUAUAUACUUGCAUGAUUGUUUGUUUUUUUUUCUUAAGUUAAUGUUUGCUUCAUGUGACUGCUGCUGGUUGACUGUUUGAUAUUAUAAUUACUUUUCUUGGGAUGAACAAAGCUUAAGUGGGGUAUUUCUUAAAAAUUUUAAGAAAAUAAAAAUAAAUAAAUGACAUUAAAAAUUUAACAUAAAAUGUUUAAAAUCGAUAUAUUGGAAAAUGAAAUGAUGGAAAAUCGAAAACAAAAUUAAGUCUCCAUAUGGGAUGUCAGUGGAAUUUUCUGUCGCUCGCCAGCUUUUCAUUACCUCUAUAUUUGCUUGAAACAUUAAACAUAGAAAAGGGACGAGUAUAAAAAUAUACUCCGCAAGUGACUCACUACUAAUUUCUCUCUCAUCUUAAUUCUCCUUUGCAGAUUCUUUAGUGUAGAUAAGUAGAUAUAUAGUUUAACUUACACUCAUUUAUAAUGUACUAGUCUUUCAACAUGUGCAUUGCACACGACUCUUUUAACUUGUUAAAUGAAUGUAAAAAAUAUAAAGUCAAUAAAAAAAUCACAUAUAACAAAAUUCAUCAAAUUUAAUUUUCAAAAGAUACAUCAUUUAAAAAAAAAAAGUAUAAAAGAUACACAUUACUAUUGUUAUCACUAAAAUGAUUUGAUAAUGGGUUUAUUGAAGAAAAAAUGUUUGAUAAAAUGUCAUAAAAAAAGAAAGUGGAAAUUGGAGAGGAUUAAAAGUGAUUUUGUAUUAAUGUUUUGAUGUUUUAUGUAUUCCGUAAGAUAUAUAAUGCAUUAAAAAGUAAUAUUGCAAUCAAUAUUAAAUUCUUGAAUUAUAAUAAAACUUUGUUUUUUUUUUCAAACAUGUUACUUUCAUUUUAAAAAUAUAUUUUUUUUCAAAGUUUAUAUCAUUUAUUAUUAGGAAGAAUAUUGUAUUCAUUAAAGAAAACAUGAAAACAUUUGUUGGAGGGAAGAGAUUAUGCAUUUGAGAUAAUUUUUUUAAUCUACUUAUUUGAUGUUUAAAAUCAAAUUAAAAAUUGUUUUUUCAAAUAUAAACCAUACAUUAUUUAUUAAAGCACUUACUUUAUAAUUUAUUUUAGGAAGAAAAAAAGAAAAAGAGAAACGUAGGUCACUUAAUCUAAUAUCAUACCAAAUGAAUAAAUUAUUUAUCAAGAAGAAAAAAUAAACCUACAUAACUUUUUAUAGAAGAAUGUGAUUAUCUAUUAUAUGCUAUAGCACACUAUACAUCAAAUAACUAAUUUUGAAAAAAAAAAUACACAUAAGAUUUUUAUAGAAAAAGGUACACAAAUCUGAUGUUUAUUCAAUUUUAAGAAUUGAGUAGUAUUGUUAAAUGAUUGAAAUUUUCAAACUUUUAAAAUUUUAAAAUUUAUUGUAAAAUCAUAAAUUUGUUAUGACUUUUUAUUAAUUAUUUGAUAAAACUAUUCAACUUCUAAAACUUUUAAAAUUCUAAAAUAAAUUGAAUUUAAAGUUUUUAUUAUUUUUAAUAAAUUUCUUAUGACAAAAACGAAAAAGCUAAUUUCAUAUUUCUAACUUUAUACAUCGUAUUAGCUUUAACUAUAAUUAAUAAUUAGAUUUCAAUAAAAGUUACAUAAUUCGAUCACAAUAAAAGUGUAUUAACAACACUUUACCGUUUUAUUAAUAAAACAACUCUAAUAAAAAAACAAAAAUUAGUUAAAUGAACAAAAUUUAUAUGAGUAAAGAAUGUAUUCUUUUACAUUGUUCAAGAUUUUCCAUUGUUACAUUCUAAAAAAAAAUCUUCAUGGUUACAUGACUCAAACAUAUCUCGCGAAAAAAAUACACACAAACAUAUAUUUAGAUCACAUGUUUACAUUCUAACAAAAAAAAAACUAAUAUUACAUGAUUUAAACAUCCAUGAAGAAAUACAAACAGACAUAUUUAUAUAUAUAAGUAAAUAAAUAUAACAAAAAUGAAAAAAAAUAAAAGAGAACGUAAUAGAUAAUUUGCUUUCUUUUUUACAUCUUUGUUUUUUUUUACUAAUGAUUAGUUUGAAUGAAAGAAAAAAUAAAAUAUUUAUACUAAAAAAUUUUAAAGAGGAGGAAAUUGGAAGGUUGGGAGAUGAUAUAGAAAAGUUAAUAAGAGAUAAGAGAAUGUGAAUAGUUGAAAUAUAAAAGGUAAGAGAAAGAUGAAAAGAAUGGAUGUGGAAAAGAGAAGUUUUAAUAAGAGAAUUAAUUAAUUAGAGAGAAAAAUGCAUUUUUUUUAUACGGAGAGAGGAAGAAAGAAUGAGAGAAUAAUAAAUAAAUUAAUUAAAUAACAUAAAAGUAAAAUAUAGACCAGAUUCAACAAUCAUAUAAAUAAAACAACUUGAAAAAAAUAAUUUAAUUUAGCAAUUAACUACAUUAAUUUUUGUAUUUAAAUGACAAAAUUGCCACCAAAAUAGUAAUGAAAAAAAACCGUAUAAUGAGAGGACACCGUUGGAACAAAAAAAUGUAUUCUCAUCCAUGCUUUUAUAUAUACUAUAGCAAAAAAGAAAUAUAUAUUCAUAUAAAUUAAAGAGGUUGGCUCCAUGUGAGUAACACACUCUACCAUCUUCUAUUUCUUAUGUUACUUAAGGAAAUAAGAAACAAACAAACUAUUAAAUAAUGUUGUCUUCUUUUUGAGUAAGCAUAGCUAGCUAGCUAAGUUAGUUAAGACCUAGAGGUGUCAAGAAAUUAACUGCACUUUUGCAUCUUUACCUUCUCUUUAUAUGCAUUCGAUCUUCUUCAAAUGAGUUUCCAUUUUCACAUGCUAAAUAUUGAACUUCUGAAGAAGAAGUUGAGAGGAAAAGAAUAACAAAUUAAUGGAAUAAAAUACUCAAUAACAUUGGUAAAAGGAAAUCAAUGAAGCCCUUUGUAUAGUAAUGAAAGUCGAAGAAAUUAACUAUUAGUCUUCUAUAAUUAAUUAUAUUACAAAAAAAUAAAAAUAAAAAUAAAAAGAUAUUUAAUUUAUAAAAUGUAAAUGAAAAACUAUUAGUCUUUCAUAAUUAGUUAUAUUAUAAAAAAACAAAAUUUAGAAUGAAAAGAUAUUCAAAUUUUAGUUAAUUUCUAAAAUGUAAAUGGAAAAUGAUUGAUGUUCCAUAAUUAAUUAUAUUACAAAAAAUAAAAUAAAAAAUGAAUUUACCAUAAAACCAUGACGUGAAACACAAAAUUAAACUUAAGGGUAUGACGAAGAGAUUUUUUUUUUCCACAUUGAGGCUUUUAUAUAUACCAUAGAUAAAUUAUUCUACACCGCCUAAUUGAAGAGUAGACCCUAUAACUAAGAUUUUGAUAUCAAUUCUUUGUGUUCGACCUUAGAUUACGCAAGAAACCUAUUAUUUCACCUACACUUGGACAAGUAAUAGGAAAACUUGUACUCAACGAAGACUUAGUAUUUACAUAAUGAAGAGGUACAUAGAGAGCAUAUAGCAUGCAAUGACCAUGAUUAAUGACUCAUCAUGUAGAAUUAGAUACCAACAUAUGCAACAACACUAUUUCCUAAGUCCGAAGUUAACCAACCAAAUCAAGUUUUUGGCGUCGUUAAAUUAAAUUCAAACAAGCAGACGCUAUGGGAGUGUCAACCUAGUUGAUAUGUUUUGAUGCAUCCCUUGAUCCUAUGUCUUUUUUUAUAUAUACUUCUCUUGUACUUUGAGUUUCCUUUAAUUAAUAAAGAGACCAUCUCCAUCUUUUGCGGUACUGAUCUUAGUAUAUAUCUCUUGUACAUUGAGUUUCUUAUUGGAAAGUUACCGUACAAUCUAAGUAUGAUGCAUUAAUGAAAAAUUAAUACAUUAGACCUUGUUCAUUUGUUGAAUGAUCAGAAGGUUAGUGGAUGCAAAUGGAUAUUUAAGAUCCAAUGAAAUUCUAACGAACCUAUAGUUCUAAAGUAGAUUGGUGGCAAAUGAGUUGCAUCAAACAACAGAAAUUCAUUACACAGCAACCUACAACCCGGAUGUCAAGCCAACAACCAUACAUGUGUUACUUAAGUUAGCCAUAGCUCGUGGUUGGUUGAUUUUCCAAAUUGAUAUAAUCAAUAUUUUUCUUCAUGUUUUCUUUCAAGAAUUUGUUUUCAUGGAGCAACCAAUGAGUUUCAACUGCCAAGGUAUUGUCCUUCUUGUUUGUAAAAUUAAAAAAGGCACUUUAGGUCCAAAAUAGGCUCCUCAAGCCUGGUUUGAGCAGUUUGGCUUCUACUUGCAAUCUUUCAGACUCUAUUAUUUUGUCAUUCUAAUGGCAGUUCUUGUUUUGUUUUGAUUUAUGUUGAUGAUAUCGUAAUAACAGGUAGCACUCUAUCUAUUGUGUGUGACUUAAUUGCAAUAUAAAAUGCUCAGUUUUCUCUAAAAAUUCUUGGGCCACUUAGUUACUUUCUUGGAAAUGGAGGAUUGUUCUUGUCUCAAUCUAAACUAGUUAACAAGGACCAAGAUGACUGAAGCAAGGAAUUGGACCAAUGGUUAGUGGGCCUCUUCUUUCUGCUCGACAAGGUGAGACAUUUUUCGAUGUGCAUCUUUAUCAAAAUAUGGUGGGAGCACUUCGAAAUUCCAUACUUACUCGACCAGAAAUUUUCUUCACUGUUAAUAAAACAUGUUAUUUUUUGCAUUCUCCUAAACUCAUUCAUUGACAGUUGGUGAAGCACAUACUGAGCUACUUAAAAGGGACACUCCAUCAUAUAUUAUUACUAGCUAAAUCUUCAGCUAAUUUAUCUCUUUGGUGCUAUGUAGAUGAUGAUUGGGCAAGUGAUCUUGAUGAUAAAAAAUCCACUUUGGGGUGGAAGUUUAAUCAUAUGGAGAUUUUAGAAACAAAUAAUUAUUUCUCGGCCUAGCAUAGAGACCGAGUAACUGUGUUUAGCUGCAACAAGUGUGAUAACCUCAAUGUGGUGUAUCUUAGUGCUAAUCCCAUCCUUCACUCAAAAGACUAAGCAUGUCGAAUUAGACAUAUACUUUGUUUGUGACUUGGUUCUCCAAAAGAAGAUUUCCAUUCAACAUCUUAAGUUGUUGAAGUUGUAGCAAAAAACCUCUAUUUACUACCUCUUUUCAGCAAUUAUGAUUCAAGCUCAAUGUUGGCUUGUGUGGGGCGUAAUUUUUUCUCAUUAUCCAAUUUAUUUGUUCAUUUAAUUGAGUUUGUCAUGGGAAAGACGAUUUGUUUUCUAAGUUAAAAAGAUAAUUAUUUUAAAUAAUUUCAUUCAAAAUCUUAGUUUGAAAGAUAACUAAUGAUAAAAAAAAUUGGUUAACAUGAACUCAAUUCAAAUCUUUAAAUCCGAAGUUUUACAAAUUUCUUCAGGCUUAAGGAAAAGUUUGGAGCGGAAGGACGCGUUUCGUGACCCAAGAGAGCACACGGCGUCGUGUAAGUUCAAAAUUUCAACAAUUUUUCUAAAAUAUCUCCGCUUUGGUUGAGCGUUGGGUCCCCCUUUCUCUCUCUCCACCUCCUUUUCUUAUUGAUGCAUAGAUUACAUUGAUUAGGUUCAGUUUCAUCAUAAUCUCCCCAUUUUUCUCUAGAUUUCAACUCGAUCAAACGUAGAGCUUCUACACUUUUGGAUUCUUCAAAUUCAAUAUCUCCGUAUCCUUUAAUUCGGUCCUGAAAAGGAUUUUCGUUUUGAUCUUCAUCUCCAUGUCGAUGCUUAAUUCCUUCUUCAACAAGGGCUUCAAGGCUGCACAAUGGUAUCUCAUCUUUUUAUUUUGAUUGCUUUUUCCCCAUUUUCUCUCUUAUUCUUCAUUGAACUCUGUUGGUCACUGCUUUAAUUUAUUGAUUUGAGAUUUCAGAAUUUUUGUUUUUGAUAAAGGCGAUCACCCUCUUCGGUUUAUAUGAUUUACUUCACAAUUUGCACUUUUGUAUACAGUAAAACACUGCUUAAAUUGACAAUUCCACGAAUAAAGCUGUUGAGGAAUCGAAGAGAGAUCCAGCUUAAGCAGAUGCGCCGAGACAUAGCUAAGCUUCUCGAAACAGGACAAGAAGCUACUGCUCGCAUUCGUGUAUGUGUUACUUCCUCAAGUGCAUUAGAUCAUUUUGAUGUUGAAAGAGGGAGGAUAAGAAAGGAGGGGCAUUGUUCGAUGUCCUGGAACUUUUUGUUAUCUUAGUUAAAUCUUCUUUUGGAUUCAGGUUGAACAUAUAAUCAGAGAAGAGAAUAUGAUGGCCGCUCAGGAAAUUCUUGAAUUGUUCUGUGAGCUUAUUGUUGUUCGCCUUCCAAUUAUUGAAACACAAAGGUAAUUUUUCCUAACCCAUUUAUUCUUCAUUUGAAAAUAUUUCUUAUUGUAAUGUAAUAAAACAUGAGAAAGAUCUGAAUGCAACUGAGUUAAAUAGGUUACACUUACAGUGCUUGAAGCAGAUAGUAGAUGCUCCCUACUAUCUUUAAUAUACAUGGACCUUUUUUUUGAGGGAAAAACAUCCUUUAGUUUCAUUGACAAUGUGAAAUUACAAUAGUUGAAGAUGUCCUAUCGUUAUGAUUUACUAAACAGCUUUUUCAAUGGUAAGUAACAAAACUUAAAUCAUAUAUAUAGAAGUAGGGGUGCUUACAAGUUACAAAAACAAUACAAGACACUUACAUCAUAAUUAUAGAAGUAAGGGUUGCUUACAAGUUACAAAAACAAUACAAGAGUCAAGACUAUAAGAGGGAACAUGACAAUAAUGGUAAAUGGUUCUUGUUCCACUUGUUCAUGAACAAUUUCCUGACUUCUUCCCUGAGGACAAUGAAGCUCUUCAUCUGGGGGUAAUUUUAGAUCACCAAUCAUGCACAGCUAUGCAAGAAAGGGCAGAAAUGCACGAUCUACUGCACCAAACUAAUGAAUGAUUUCAGUUGUUUAUUAUUUUAUGGUGAACAUGCAGUUGUUUCUUAUCUACUGCACCAAACUAAUGUGUCUUUCGAGUUGUUUGUUAGUUUGUGCUAGGCGUGCAACUGCCCAUCAUUUUGUGGGACGGUGUAUGGCACUAUUUAAUAGGUUGGGAUGUUGCUUAUUAAGACAGGCUUCAUUUUUCCUUGGUUAAGUCUUUUUGGAGAGACCACCCUCUUGAAUGGUGGAAAUGUACUGAUUUGUACUAAUCAAUCUAUCCUUUUCUAAGUGUUUUAGAGAGAGUAGCUUACAGGAUACAAUAACCAAAGUUUAUUACUAUUAAUUGUAUUUUUUCUCAAACAUUUAUUUAUCUAAGAUGUGCACGUAUCUUAUAAAACGUAGAUUAGGGUGUUAGAUCUCUAGUCGGUUUUGAGUUCAAAUUUCGAACUCUCUACUGGACUCCUCUGUAAAGGCUUUAUACUUUUUGAUGAGCAUUCAAUUUAUCUACAUUAAAUUCAAAGCUGCAUUAUGACACACAACUAACUAAAUUUGUAACUAUGGAUUUGUCUACCAAUUAUACUUUCUUAAAGGCCGUUUUCUAUGAGAAUUUAAUUUUAUCAAUAGAUAUGAUAUGUAUAUAAUGAGUUCAGGAUUUCCUUCAUAAUUUGUUAAGGAGCAGUUGCUUCAUUUAAAAAUGUGUACUUGAUGACAAAAAUUAUAAAUGUUGUAUCUGCAGUUCUUUAUUUCCCAAUGUGAUGUGAAUUUAUCUCAAUUGUGUUUGUCCUUUUUCUAUUGAAAAUUGGCUUGUGGCCCUCUCAUUCUUUGGGUAAUUUCAUGAUGAGUAAGUAUCCAUAUGUGUGCUAUUUUGAUUUGUAAAAAUGCAUAUUAGAAAUAUGGUUGUAUUUCACUUUGAAGUUUGAAUACACAUUUGCAUGUAAAGUAUUUUUGUGCAUUUCAUGUGGAAUAUUCUUUCAUUUGAGUUGAUUAUUGCUGAACCUUCCUGCUAUGAUGGAUGUUAAGUCUUAGAUUGUUCAAUGUUAACCUAGUUACCUAACCUGAUCAUUUAACUCCUUUGGAUGACUGAAAACGCCAUGCCUUGCAAACCGAAAUUUAAUUCAUUGAGGGUGUUGCUAACUUGCAAUAAAGUAACAAGUCUGCUUACCAUUUCACAAUUUUUCUGAGUUAACCACCAACCUCUUAUUUUCUGGUGAAAAUCCACGUGGUCUUUUGGAUGAUAGAUUCUGCCUCAAGUUACCUGAAACUAGGAACUACAUGUCCAAAUUGCAAUCUUAACUGCAAAAUAUUUCAAGUCUUACUUCAUAUUUACUGCAGAGAAUUUAUGCAUUCCUUGUUGAAUCAAUGCUGAUUAGUCGCAGCAUCUCGAUAUUUCAUUUUGUCUCAUUUAUUUCAUCUAGUCCAUUGUGAUCUUUGUUUUUGUAUUUCUAAAUGGUGUAUGUCUUUCUAUGCUUAUUUUGGAAGUAUAAAUGAACUUUUUUAUUCUAACUUCACUUUGUUUCUUAUGGUUAUUUUCUUGAGACGUGCUCCUCCUACUUUAUUCUCACCUCUAAUGUCACUUGUCGCUGUAAAACCUCUAAAUUUUCAGGGAAUGUCCUCUAGACUUGAAAGAAGCGAUCUCAAGUGUGUGUUUUGCUGCUCCAAGGUGUGCUGAUCUUACAGAGCUUAUCCAGGUUCAGAUGCUUUUUGGUGCUAAAUAUGGAAAGGAAUUUUUAUCAGCUGCAACUGAGCUCAUGCCUAACUGUGGCGUUAAUCGUCAGGUUCAUAGAACUGCUUGUUUAUGUUUGAUUAGAAGGAAAGCUUUUCAGCAGUCCAUAGGAUUAUAUAUUUCUUUUUAAAAUUCGAUUGCAGUUGAUAGAGCUGCUUUCUGUUCGUGCUCCUUCACCUGAAAAGAAACUGAAGCUGUUGAAGGAAAUUGCUGAAGAGCAUGACUUAGAUUGGAAUCCUGCUGAAACUGAAGCUGAAUUUAACAAAUCUCCAGAAGAUUUGCUUGUAAGUGUUGUUUCUUUUUGUCUCCACUUAUAGUGACCCUUUUAUGCCUUAAGCUUAUCUUCUCCUUUUGCAGAAUGGAUCGACACAGUUUGUCGGCGCAUCAAAAUUACCUCUUCCUCAAGAGAAACACAAUGAAACAUCCAAUACCACUACCGAUUUGGCUAGUGGACCCCAACCUGACUCUGAUUCUGAAUUGGACAUGUUAGACUUUCCUGAAGUUCCAAAGAUGUCAGUAUGUCCGCAGCCUACUAUAGAUGCUGGCUCUGCACCAUCAAUGAUCCCACCUCCAUCUGUGUCGCCACCGCGUGAAACUGAUCAUGCUUCUUUUGAGUAUUCUGGUAUUCCUGAAUCACCGCCACAAAAUCUACACUCGAGACAUGAGGAGGUGACUCUAGUGAGAUCUGUUUCACCCAGCAACGAUCAAAUGAAUGUUUCUGUUGGUGAAGAUAAACAGUUUCUGCCUUUUAUUACUCCCCCAUCAUUGUCACCUUCAUUCUCUCGUAGACAAACUGAGUUGUCGCCAUCCUCUGAUCCAACGACGCCUGAGGAGAAGUUUGAUAUCAAACCUCGGAUCAGAGAAGAGAUAAAUUCACCACUACCCUCUGUUUCAAGGGCUUCUGAGGAGAAGUAUGGUUUCAAACCACGGUUCGAACCAGAGAUAAAUUCAACACCAUCCUCUGUUUCGAGGACAAUGAGUGAGGUCAAUGCAGAUCUCGGUGUUGAUUUGCAGGACGUUCUGGCAGCUGCUCAGGCUGCUGCUGAAACCGCUGAACGUGCUGCCGCUGCAGCUCGUUCUGCUGCUAGUCUCGCCAAGGUUAGAAUUGACGAGCUCACAAAGAAAAAGAAUGAUAAGGACCCUGAAAUUAGUUGCGAAAAUCCGUUUCACGGAGGUACUGCAAGUCCAGCAGAUCAUACAGAAACAUACAAAUUGAACCAACAAGAUUCUCUGGGAUACCAUUCUAGUGCAAUGCCAUAUUAUUCACAAGAUUCUUUUCAAGAACAUCACAAAUUAAGUCGCGAUCCAGAAGUUUCUGAUCACAGCCAACUCAAGCCAGAAAAAUCAAGUUUCGAUUACUCUCCUGGUAAUUCACCAUCUGAACAUCAGACAGUAGCCCCUCAUCAGCCACAGAGGCUCCCUUCAAUGGACGACGACCCAUACUUUUCAUACCCAAAUUUAUUCACAUCACAGAAACCAAAUCCAGGAUUCGAUCAUUCAUCAGCUGGUGGUUCCUGAUCUGCGUGAGGUUUGAGUUAUAUGCAAACGCGAUGCCUUUGAGGCUCAAGGUUUCCUGAAUUGAUAUUUUGUUCAGCUUUUAUCAUGAGUUUUCAAUCUCUUUCAGAGCUAUGGUAGCGAGCAUUCAAUGUACAAAACAACAGUAAAGAUAUAAUGUACAAUUGUUGAUUUCUUUUCAUGUACACUUUUUAUGCCCUUUAAUUUGUAUUUGUUUGAUCUCCAAACCAUGUGGUAUUUGCUUAAUGAGAACGGAAGAGUUCUACGGUGGGGGCAUUGAACACGAAAACUCAGAAUUAGGAUCCAACAUUUGUACAUUUUUUUUUUCUCUCUCUAACAUGAUGGAGCAGAUGGAUGUUGUUGGUAACUAUGAGAUCUUAAAUGAAGGAAUAGGAAUACAUAUUGGCUGUUGAUUUGAAGCAAAUAAGUACCAAGGUAAACGUUGAAAACUUGGGUUUAAUGGGAUGAAAAUUGUAGUUGGGAUUGGGAAAAAAAUUAGAAAAAAUGGGCUGUUCGAAGACACUAAGUUAAACAUUUAUUUUUGAGUUAAUUUUCAUAAAUAUAACCAAACAUUCAAAUAUUUACAACUCAUUUAACAAAAUCAUAAUGUUGGUUCAAUUGGAUACUUACAUUUGAUUUGAGACAGCGAAACACAUGAUAUUUUUGAAGUUGGAGAAUUGAACUUUAAUCUUCAAGGGUGGUCAGCUUCAGGGGUAGAGAGUUCUCUCGCUCUUAAGAGAAUUCUCUUUAAGCUUUAAUCUUCAAGGGUGGUCAACUAGAGUUUUCUCGCUCUUAAGACAAUUAUCUUUAAACCUUCUAGAGUAAAAGAAUUUCAACUCCCACAAAUGAGGAGAACUUCUUUGAUGGGUUUUAUGGGCUUGAGUCAUGUUGGUCUAUGGACCAAAUCCAUGAACUCAAACACAUGAAUUUUGGUCAUAUUUAGCAUUUGAGCUAAAUUAAGCUUAUUUUGAACUCAACUGAACUUUAGUCAAAGUAAAUAAUAUUUAAUUGAACCGAACUAAUUAACUUGAUCCAACUGUUUUAAUAAUAACAUGUGCCAUGAUUAGAAUUAGUCAAUUUAUGUCUUCAAUUAUUUGUAUUUUUCAUCAUUAAUUUAGUAAAUGAUAUGACAAUUUGUGAUUGGUUUCAAAAUUUUUUAUUAAAUUGUGUGUUUGGUCCAUAAAAUUUUAAAAUGUACCCUUUUAGUCACAUGUUUAAUAAGAAUUGACCCGUAUGAUCUCUGAGUUUUUAAAAUGUAUUUUUAACCUUUGAGUUAUUAAAAAUAAGUUUAAAAGAUCCUUCGUGUAUUUCUUUAUUUGAUUUUCUAAAAUAAUUCUAUGAUAUUUAAAUUAGAAAAGAAAUAGUUUUAAAGAUGGUAUGAAUUUUAGAAAUCAUUCAUCUAGUGUAAAAUAUCAUAUAACUAUUUAAAAAAAAUAUAUAAAGUUAUUUGAGGAACUUUUUAAACCUAGUUUUAAAAACUCUUGAACUAGAAAGAUAUAUUUUCAAAACUCUAAGACCAAAUAAGACAAUUCUAAUAAACCUAAAAACUAAAAAGAUAAACUUUUGACUAUAAACGAAGACAAUCAACAUUCAAAACACAUACUAUUAUAAACCAAAUAUAAUAUGUCUGCAUCUCAAAUACAGACCAUAAUUAGUAAGAAAAUAUUAUGAUCACAUAUUAUAAUAAUCUACUCAAACUUGGUUGAAAGAUUCUCAAAAACCAAUUACACAAAGUCUAUCUUGCAUUUAAGAACUAAAGACUAACUAUUUGAUCUAAUCAUCUUAAGUUGAAAAAUACUCACGAGUGCUAGUACAUCUACGACUUUUUAAAGCUUGGAAUUACUUAGCAAAAGAUAACAUUGGAGUUGCAACAUCAAAGUCAACAAAACCAUAAACUUAAGUUUCAUCUUACCACCUUGUCUUCUGUUGGAUCUUUUCGAGGUCAUCAUCCUACAAAUAUUUUGUAUUUUUAAUCCAUAGCAUCAAAGACCAAACAACACCUAUGCAAUCAAACAUGUCACCCAAGAUAUUGAAUAAUUGAACUCAAUAUUUUACAUAGUCAAGCAAGUGGUCGCCUUAUUCCAUGGAAAAUUUCUGUAAUAUCGUCAAUCAAAAACAGUAGAUCUAACAUGAAAAUUUAUGGCAUCUACCAUACAAUAUGAUUAAGGUAAUUCCUUUCAGUAAAAGAAAGAAAGAAGUUUACAUGCAAGGGCACUUUUAUCCUACCAUGAGUUAAAAAGAAAUAGUUGAACAAUGACAAUUAACCAAUUUUCUGAACUUUAUUACGAUUUGGUAUUUGUUUGGGUUUGAUUGCCAUAUUUAGAGGUAGCCCUUAAAUGAGAGUAAUAAAUGUGGGAUGGGAAGCUUAGGAGAGUAUGUAUCCAGAACAAUUUCAGUAGAGAAAUAAAAUUGGGGUUUAGGACAAGACAGCCAGAUGAGUAAAAAGAAGGGCUUUCUAAAGGUUAAACCUGCACAGGUCAAAAUUGCAAAUAGAUAAAAUAUAAAACACCAUCACUUGCACUAUAAGAUGGUACAAUUUGCAAAUGGACAAAGGCUGAUUACUGAUGCACAAAUGAAUUUCAAAAUGCAGUUACAGAAUAAUUAGGAAUAGGAUAUGGUUGCUAAGAAAGAAAAGAGAAACCAAAAAGGGGGAGAAAGAAAAGAAGAAAAAAAGUAGAAGAAAUUUAUAAGUAAAAAUUAAAGUCACAAAUCAUUCCUUUUCUUUACUGAGCCAUGGGGAGGUCAUCUUGGACCAGAAAGCUCAACUGCAUGCAGAUUUUCAGUUGAAUCGACAAUCCAAUCGGAAUUUGGAUGGGGCGAUAGAUCGAUUUCUUGCCGAAGGAUUUCCACCUUUUGCCACUCAUCCCAUCUUUCUGCCAAUCCAUCACCUUCAAGCAUUCUUACCACCUCGGACAUCUUUGGUCGGUCCAUUGGGGAGCCUUGUGUGCAGAGUAAGGCAACUUGAAUCAACUGUUCUACCUCAGAUUCUAUAUAAUUAUUCUGAAGAUCAGGGUCAACCAGCAUUUCUAGCUUCUUCUCUUUCAAUAGUCCUUUCACCUAUUAAAUCGAGAAGUUCUGUUAACUAAUACUUCAUCAAAACAUGUAUAUUUACACUCUUCACAGUCCCCAGCCCCAGUAAUUAAUAAUGAACCUAGGUUCCUUAGUGUUCUUACCCAAUCAAGAAGCAUGACAUCAUCAUCAUUGGCAAGUCGAGCCAAAUCGAAAGCCCUUUGACCAGUGAUAAGCUCUAACAGCAUGAUACCAUACCCGAAAACAUCUGUUUUCUCAGAAGAUUUCCCAGUGGAAAGGUACUCAGGAGCUAUAUGUCCAAUCGUACCACGUACUGCAGUGGUGACAUGAGUAUCUUUGUAAUCCAUAAGUUUAGCCAACCCAAAGUCCCCUACAACAGCUUCAAACUCCUCAUCCAGCAAAAUAUUUGCAGCUUUUACAUCACGAUGAAUGAUCUUUGGAUCACAGUGAUCGUGCAAAUA